rnacentral:lncRNA from 1 species
UAUAUAUAUUGGUGGUUUAGGGCUGAUUUGACACAUAACUUUUGCCACGUGCAACUCAACCCUAGACCACAUAGUUCUACCUCUAGAUCGGAUUUCUGCGAAGCUCGGACGGAGCCGUGCAGGAGUAGAUCAUCACCAUCACUGGCGCAUCGUCACACUGUCAGAGAACUCAUGUACUUCUCCGUCUCUCUUGCUGGAUCAAGAGGGCCGAGGCCGUCAUCAAGUUGUACGUGUGCUGAAUGUGGAGGUGUCGUCCGUUCGGCGCUAGAUCGGAAUGGAUCGUGGGACGGAUCGCGGGACGGCUUGUGGGAUGGAUCAAGGGAAGGUUCGUGGGACGGUUCGAGGGACAUGAAGACGUUCCACUACAUCAACCGCGUUUCUUAACGCUUCCCGUUGAGCGAUCUACAAGGGUACGUAGAUCUAAUAUCCACUCGUAGAUGGACAUCACCAUGGUAGGUCUUCGUGUGCGUAGGAAAAAUUUUGUUUCCCAUGCAACGUUCCCCAACAUCUACUUCCCUGUCUCUCUUGCUGGAUCAAGAAGGCGGAGAUCGUCAUCGAGUUGUACGUGUGCUAAACGCGGAGGUGACGUCCGUUCGGCGCUAGAUCGGAAUGGAUCGUGGGACGACGGUGAUUUGAAUUACGAAGUUGUACCACUACAUCAACCGCGUCUCUUAACGCUUCCCGCUUAGCGAUCUACAAGGGUAUGUGGAUCCAAUCUCCCUCGCGUACAUGAACAUCACCAUGAUAGGUCUUCGUGUGUGUAGGAAAUUUUUUGUUUCCCAUGCAACGUUCUCCAACACUCUGGUACCUCCCUACCAAACUUAUGGCAAGGUUCACAUCAGGUCUGGUACACAGCAUGGCAUACAUGAUAGAGCCUAUGGCUGAAACAUAGGGGACGGUACUCAUCUUUUCUCUAUCUUCCGCCGUGGUCGGCCGUUGAGUCGCACUCAACCUCACACCUUGCAAUACAGGCAAGAACCCCUUCUUGUCCUUCUCCAUAUUGAACCUCUUCAAUAUCUUGUCAAGGUAUGUGCUUUGUGAAAGACCUAUGAGGAGUCUCGAUCUUUCUCUAUAGAUCUUGAUGCCUAAUAUGUAAGCAGCUUAUCCAAGGUCCUUCAAUGAAAAACUCUUAUUCAAAUAGGCCUUGAUGCUUUCCAAUAGUUCUAUAUCAUUUCCCAUCAACAAUAUGUCAUCCACAUAUAAUAUGAGAAAUGCUACAGAGCUCCCACUCACUUUCUUGUAAAUAUAGGCUUCUCCAUAAGUCUGUAUAAACCCAAACGCUUUGAUCACCUCAUCAAAGAGAAUGUUCCAACUCCGAGAUGCUUGCACCAGCCCAUAGAUGGAGCGUUGGAGCUUGCAUACCUUGUUAGCACUCCUAGGAUCGAGAAAACCUUCCGGAUGUAUCAUAUACAAUUCUUAUUUAAGAAAGCCGUUCAGGGAUGCUGUUUUGACAUCCAUUUGCCAGAUUUCAUAAUCAUAAAAUGCAGCAAUUGCUAACAUGAUUCGGACCGACUUCAGCAUCGCUGCGGUUGAGAAGGUAUCAUCGUAGUCAAUUCCUUGAACUUGUCGAUAACCCUUAGCAACAAGUCGAGCCUUGUAGAUGGUCACAUUACCAUCCGCGUCAGUCUUCUUCUUAAAUAUCCAUUUAUUUUCUAUGGCUCGCCGAUCAACGGGAAAGUCCACCAAAGUCCAUACUUUGUUCUCAUACAUGGAUCCUAUCUCGGAUUUCAUGGCCUCAAGCCAUUUGUUGUAAUCCGGGCCCGCCAUCGCUUCUUCAUAGUUCGAAGGUUUACUGUUGUCUAAGAACAUGAUUUCCAUGACAGGGUUGUCGUACCACUCUCGUGUGGAGCGUACCCUUGUCGACCUUCGUGGUUCAAUAGCAACUUGAUCCGAAGUGUCAUGAUCAUCAUCAUUAACUUCAUCUCUAGCCAGUGCAGGCGCCUUAGAAACAUUUUCUCGCGAUGCGCUACUCUCUAGUUCGAGAGGAGGUACAAUUACCUCAUCAAGUUUUAUUUUCCUCCCACUUACUUAUUUUGAGAGAAACUCUAUCUCUAGAAAGGAUCCGUUCUUAGCAACAAAGAUCUUGCCUUCGGAUCUAAGAUAGAAGGUGUGCCCAAUAGUUUCCUUAGGGUAUCCUAUGAAGACGCAUUUUUCCGCUUUGGGUUCGAGCUUCUCUGGUUGAAGUUUCUUCACGUAAGCAUCAUAGCCCCAAACUUUAAGAAACGAUAGCUUACGUUCCUUGCCAAACCAUAAUUCAUAUGGUGUCGUCUUAACGGAUUUAGACGGUGCCCUAUUUAAAGUGAAUGCGGCAGUUUCCAAUGCAUAUCCUCAAAAUGAUAGCGGUAAAUCGGUAAGAGAUAUCAUAGAUCGCACCAUAUCUAAUAAAGUGGGAUUACGACGUUCAGACACACCGUUACGCUGCGGUGUGUCACGCAGCGUGAGUUCUGAAACAAUUCCACUUUUCCGUAGGUGUAUGCCAAACUCAUGACUCAAAUAUUCUCCUCCACGAUCAGAUCGUAGAAACUUUAUUUUCUUGUCGCGUUGAUUCUCCACCUCACUCUGAAAUUCCUUGAACUUUUCAAAGGUUUCAGACUUGUGUUUCAUUAAGUAGACAUACCCAUAUCUACUUAAAUCAUCAGUGAGAGUGAGAACAUAACGAUAGCCACCGUAAGCUUCAACGCUCAUUGGACCGCAUACAUUGGUAUGUAUUAUUUCCAACAAGUUAGUUGCUCGCUCCAUUGUUCCAGAGAACAGAGUCUUGGUCAUCUUGCCCAUGAGGCACGGUUAACAUGUGUCAAAUGAUUCAAAAUCAAGUGACUCCAAAAGUCCAUCCGGAUGGAGUUUCUUCAUGCGCUUUACGCUGAUAUGACCAAGGCGGCAGUGCCACAAGUAUGUGGGACUAUCAUCAUCAACUUUACAUCUUUUAGCACUCAUGCUAUGAAUAUGUGUAACAUCACAAUCGAGAUUCAUUAGGAAUAAACCAUUAACCAGCGGGGCAUGACCAUAAAAUAUACCACUCAUAUAAAUAGAACAACCAUUAUUCUCAGAUUUAAAUGAGUAGCCAUCUUGCAUCAAGCGAGAUCCCGAUACAAUGUUCAUGCUUAAAGCUGGUACUAAAUAACAAUUACUAAGGUUUAUAACUAAUCCCGAAGGUAGAUGUAGAGAUAGCGUGCCGAUGGAGAUCACAUCGACCUUGGAACCAUUCCCGAUGUGCAUCGUCACCUCGUCCUUAGCCAUCCUACGUUUGUUCCGUAGUUCCUGCUUAGAGUUGCAAAUGUGAGCAACAACACUGGUAUCAAAUACCCAGGAGCUACUACGAGCGCUGGUAAGGUACACAUCAAUAACAAGUAUAUCACAUAUACCUUUGACGUUGUCGGCCUUCUUGUUCGCGAAGUACUUGGGGCAAUUCCGCUUCCAUGAACGGUUCCCUUGCAGUAGUAGCACUCAGUCUCAGGCUUAGGUCCUUUCUUUGACUUCUUCCCGGCAACUGGCUUACCGGGCGCGACAACACCUUUGCGGUGGUGGUCUUAUUGACCAUCAACACUUGAUGCUCUUUCUUGAUUUCUACCUCUGCAGAUUUCAGCAUUGAAUACAACUUGGGAAUAGCCUUUUCCAUCCCUUGCAUGUUGUAAUUCAUCACAAAGCCUUUGUAGCUAGGUGGAAGUGAUUGGAGGAUUAUGUCAAUGACCGCAUCAUCCGGAAGUUCAACUCCCAAUUGAGUCAAGCGGUUGUGCAACCCAGACAUUCUGAGUAUGUGCUCACUGACAGAACUAUUCUCCUCCAUCUUAUAGCUAAAGAACUUGUCGGAGACUUCAUAUCUCUCGACCCGGGCAUGAGCUUGAAAAAACGUUUCAGCUCCUCGGACAUCUCAUAUGCUCCGUCCUUCUCAAAACGCCUUUGGAGCCCUGGUUCUAAACUGUAAAGCAUGCCGCACUGAACGAGAGAGUAGUCAUCACUCCGCGACUGCCAGGCGUUCCUAAUGUCCUGGGUUGCCACGAGAACGGGCGGAUCACCUAGCGUUGCAUCAAGGACAUAUGCCUUCUUGGAAUCCAUGAGGAUGAGCUUUAAGUUACGAGCCCAGUCCGCAUAGUUGCUCCCAUCGUCUUUCAGCUUGGUUUUCUCUAGGAACGCGUUGAAGUUGAAUGGGACAUUUGCGUUGGCCAUUGGAUCUACAAUAUUUGUAAAGACAAUUUUAGACUAAGUUCAUGAUAAUUAAAUUCAUCUAAUCAAAUUAAUAAUGAACUCCCACGUAUAUCGACAUCCCUCUAGUCAUCCAAGUGUUACAUGAUCCACGUCGACUAGUCCGUGUCCGGUCAUCACGUGAGACGGACUAGUCAUCAAUGGUGAGCAUCUCCAUGCUGAUCGUAUCAACCAUACGACUCAUGUUCGACCUUUAGGUCUCCCUUAUUCGAGGCCAUGUCUGUACAUGCUAGGCUCGUCAAGUCAAGCUAAGUGUUUUUCGUGUGUAAACUGGCUUACACCUAUUGUAUGCGAACAUUAGAAUCUAUCACACCCGACCAUCACAUGGUGCUUCGAGACAACGAACCUUCGCAAUGGUGCACACUUAGGGGAAUACUUAUCUCGAAAUUUUAAUGAGGGAUCAUCUUAUCUUUGCUACCGUCGUUCUAAGCAAUAAGAUGAAAAACAUGAUAAACAUCACAUGCAACCAUAUAGUGACAUGACAUGGCUAAUAUCAUUUUGCUCCUUUGAUCAGCAUCUUCGGGGCACCAUGAUCAUCAUCGUCACUGGCAUGAAACCAUGAUCUCAAUCAUUGUGUCUCCGUGAAGUCGUCACACCAACUAUUACUUCUACUACUAUAGCUAAUCGUUAGCGAUAAAGUAAAGUAAUCAACAUGUCAUUGCAUCUCAUACAAUAAAUUAAGACAACUCCUAUGGCUCCUGUCGGUUGUCAUACUCAUCGACAUGCAAGUCAUGAAUCCUAUUACAAGAACAUGAUCAAUCUCAUACAUCACAUAUGUAACAUCACAUCCUUUUGGCCAUAUCACAUCACAUAGCAUACCCUGCAAAAACAAGUUAGACGUCCUCUAAUUGUUGUUGCAAGUUUUACGUGGUUGGUUAGGGUUUCUAGCAAUAACGUUUCUCACCUACGUGACAGCCACAACAUAGAUACCCAAUGCUAUUUACCCUUCAUAAGGACCCUUUUCAUCAAAUCCGAUUUGACUAAAGUGGGAGAGACAUAUACCCACUAGCCACCUUAUGCACCAAGUGCAUGUCUGUCGGUGGAACCAGUCUCACGUAGGCGUACGUGUAAGGUCGGUCCAGACCGCUUCAUCCCACAAUACCACCGAAAAAGAUAAGACUAGUAACGGCAAGCAAGUUGACAAAUCAGCACCCACAACUUUUGUGUUCUACUCGUGCAUAGAAUCUACGCAUAGAACCUCGGCUCAGAUGCCACUGAAGGGGAACGUAGUAAUUUCAAAAAAAAUCCUACACCAUACAAGGAUCUAUCUAUGGAGAAACCAGCAACGAGAGAGGUUGUAGAGCAUCUUCAUACCUUUGAAGAUCACUAAACGAAAGCGUUACUAUGAACGCGGUUGAUGGAGUCGUACUCACAGCAACUCAGAUCGCGGUGAAUUCUGAUCUAUGUGCCGAACUGCGGCACCUCCGCGUUCAACACACGUGCAGUCCAGUGAUGUCUCCCGCGCCUUGAUCCAUCAAGGAGGAGGGAGAGGUUGAGGGAGAGAUCUCCACAGCACGACGGCGUGGUGGCGGUGGAGCCACGUGGUUCUCCGGCAGGGCUUCGUUGAGCUAUGCAGAGGACGAGGAGAGAGAGGUGUAGGGCUGCGCCGGGAGAGGAAGAAAUCGUGUCUCCAAAAGCCAAAACCCAAGGGUGUGGCAGCUCUAGAUGGGGCAGGGAGGGCGGUGACCAAGGGUGGAGAGAGGGGGACGCACCCUAGGUGGGCCUUGGGCCUCCUCUACGCCUAGGGUUUUCCCCCUCCCGCUCUCCUUGCGCCUUGGGCUGAGAGGGGAGGGCGCACCAGCCCACUCUGGGCUGGUUCCCUUUCUCCUUUUGGCCCAUAAAAGCCUUUGGGGCUAGUGGCCCCUCCCGGUGGACCCGCAGAACCCUACCGGUGGUCCCGGUACGUUACCGGUGAUGCCCGAAACACUUUCGGUGUCCAAAACCCUUCAUCCCAUAUAUAUCAAUCUUUACCUCCGGACCAUUCCGGAGCUCCCCGUGACAUUCGGGAUCUCAUCCGGGACUCCGAACAACCUUCGGUAACCAUGUACACUAUUUCCCUACAACCCUAGCGUCAUCGAACCUUAAGUGUGUAAACCCUACGGGUUCGGGAGACAUGCAGACAAGACCGAGACAUCUCUCCGGUCAAUAACCAACAGCGGGUUCUGGAUAUCCAUGUUGGUUCCCACAUGUUCCACGAUGAUCUCAUUGGAUGAACCACGAUGUCGAGGAUUCAAUCAAUCCCGUAUGCAAUUCCCUUUGUCUAUCAGUAUGAUACGUGCCCGAGAUUCGAUCGUCGGUAUCCCUAUACCUUGUUCAAUCUCGUUACCGGCAAGUCUCUUUACUCGUUCCGUAACACAUCAUCCCGUGGCUAACCCCUUAGUCACACUGAGCUCAAUAUGAUGAUGGAUUACCGAGUGGGCCCAGAGAUACCUCUUCCUCACGUGGAGUGACAAAUCCCGGUCUCGAGUCGUACAACUCAACAAACACUUUCGGAGAUACCCGUAGUGCACCUUUAUAAUCAUCCAGUUACGUUGUGACGUUUGGUACACCCAAAGCACUCCUACGGUAUCUGGGAGUUGCGCAAUCUCACUAUCUAAGGAAAUGAUACUUGACAUUAUAAAAGCUUUAGCGGACGAACAACAUGAUCUAGUGCUAUGCUUAGGAUUGGGUCUUGUCCAUCACAUCAUUCUCCAAUGAUGUGAUCCUGUUAUCAAUGACAUCCAAUGUCCAUGAUCAAGAAACCAUGAUCAUCUAUUAAUCAACAAACUAGCCAACUAGAGGCUCACUAGGGACACAUUGUGAUCUAUAUAUUCACACAUGUAUUUCGGUUUCUGGUUAUACAAUUAUAAAAUGAAUAAUAGACAAUUAUCAUGAACUAGAAAUAUAAUAAUAACAACUUUAUUAUUGCCUCUAGGGCAUAUUUCCAACAGAUCACACUAAAACUUUAUUCUACUAGAUCAAGAUAUAACCAAAAGGAUCGAACAAAGAAAAAAGAAGAAAGUAAAAGGUGUGAUGGUGAUACGAUACCGGGGUACCUCCCCCAAGCUUGGCACAAGCCAAGGGGAGUGCCCAUACCCAUGUAUUUAGUUGUCUUUCUUCGGAGGUGGUGAUGUUGUUGGAAGCUUAUCAAGUUUCCUCUUAAGCAUGAAAUUUUGUUCCCUCAGAUCGUCUACUUCCUUCUCGAGCCUCAAUAUCUUUUGACAUAAUUCAUCCUUAUUCUACUGCAGAAGAUGAGAAGGGAUAAAUAGAACCUUGGGGUUUCUCCUUGUAUUUGGGAGGCUCGACUUCUUGAACUCCACAUUCAUAUCUUCGGGUCGAGGCAAGGGAAUCUCCUCUUCGUCCGAGCUUUCUUCCACAUACUUGCAUAUCUCCAGUCCCUCCUCCUAGAACAAUACAUAAGGAUCUAAGUCCCCGUAGAGCUUGGGAUUGGAAAGAUAAAGCGAUAUGUAGCUCUCCCCAUCCGAAUCUUGGGACGACAUCUUACUCUAAAUGUGCUGCAGAAACAGCUCAAAACAAAAACAUGAGAUAUUGUCGUGAUACGAAGGUCAAAACCUUCGGGAGAUUAUAUAAUGAUUUUUUGCCGACCCGAGAGAGUAUUCCACAAGAAAACAGAGUCCAGAGUGUACACGAGGUGGCCACAAGCCUGCAGGGCUCGCCUAGGGGGUAGGCCGCGCCCCCUUGGCUUGUCGCCUCCUGGUGCACUUCUCGGACUGCUUUAAAUUUUCCUAAAAUUUUAAAUAUUCCAAAACUGAUAAAAAUUGCCAUUGGAAACGUUUUGGAGUCGGUUUGCUUACCGUAACACAUAUUCCUUUUCGGAGUCUGAAACGUUCUGAUAGGUCUACCAAAUGUACUCCUCUGGAGUUAUGGUAUUGAUAAUAUUGGUUUCAACAUUUAUGGGAGUACGUGAGAUAUAAUGUUUGAUUUUUUGCCCAUUUACCACCUUCGGUUUUGUGCCUUCGACAUUGUUGAUCUUGAUGGCACCGGAACAAUAUACUUUCUAGAUAAUGUAAGGCCCUUCCCAUUUAGAGAGAAGUUUUCCUGCAAAAAAUCUUAAACAAGAGUUGUAUAGCAAGACAUGAUCACCUACAUUGAAUUCACGCUUUUGUAUCCUUCUAUCAUGCCAUCUCUUAACCUUUUAUUUAAACAACUUACCAUUUUCAUAGGCCUGGGUUCUCCAUUCAUCAAGUGAGCUAAUGUUAAAUAACCUCUUCUCACGAGCAAGUUUGAAAUCAUAGUUAAGCUCUUUAUUUGCCCAAUAAGCUUUAUGUUCUAGCUCUAGAGGUAAGUGACAUGCUUUACCAUAAACCAUUUUAUACGAAGAUAUACCCAUAGGGUUUUUGUAAGCGGUUUUAUAAGCCCAUAAUACGGAAACGGCCUCAACCCAAAAGUGAGGUGGAAGAGAAGCGUCGAUCAUCAGUGCACGAGCCGUCUCAAGUAGAUGAUGAUGCUUGCGUUCCGCAAUGCCAUUCUGAGCAUGGGCACCAGGACAUGAUAACUAAGCAAGAGUACCCUGUUCUGCGAGAAAGGCAUGCAAUAUCUGGGAGAUAUACUCUCCAGCGGAGUCAGCACGAAAAGUGCGAAUAGGCGUGGAAAACUGGUUGUGAACCAUGGCAGCAAGUCAUUUGUAUAUAGAGAGAACCUCGCUAUGAGAUUUCAUAAAACAGAUCCAAGUGUAGCGAUGGAAAUCAUCAAUAAACAAAACAUAAUAGCGAUGGCCACCUUUCGAAUAAAAGGGAGCAGGUCCCCAUACAUCAGAAUGAACUAAGUCAAAAGGACGCUGAGAUACUGACUCACUAGUAGGAUAAGGUAAUUUAGUCUGUUUGCCAAGCCUACAACCAUUACAAUGUAUAGAUACAUCUCCGGAUACAGACCCUAAGACACCCUCACGCACCAACGAUGAUAAGCGGGAACCACAUAGGUGGUCAAGUCGAUGAUGCCACUGUUGGAAGGUCAUAUGAGAGGAGGCAGCAAGAGCAUGAGAACUGGCAGAAGUGGUGGCAGCGGAAGGAACAUGAAGCCAGUCAACCUCCCAAAGACCCUUCGACUCACGACGCCGAGGGCCAGCACCAACCAGAGCCUUGGUGUGAAGCUCCUGAAUAGAGCAAGAGUUAGUAUCAAGAAUUACACGACAACCAGAGUCAGUAAGUUGGGUAGCGGAGAAGAGAUUGAUGGUAAGACGGGGAACAUGAGAAACAUUAGGAACGGAAAAGGACGGGGUAGAAAGAGUGCCACAACUAGCAACAGGAAGAGGAGUGCCAUCGGCACUGAGAACAUUAACAGGCGAAACAAGAGGUUGAAGAGAAGACAACCCGGAAGAAUGAGAAGACAUAUGAAAACAAGCUCCAGAAUCCAGAACCCACGAAGAUGUACCUGACUGUGUAGGUGCCGAUGGUGAUGAAGGGGUGGGAGCUAUCGCCACAGCAGCGUAACCCGUCGAUGAAGAGUCAGAAGAAGCCAGAAGACACUUGAGCCGGAUAAUGUCCUCGUCAGUGAGUGAUGGAUUCGAGGAAGACACAUGACUCCCACUGGAGGAAGAACGCCUCUGGUCUCGCUGUUUCUGGCGACAAUCAGCCUCUGAAUGGCCUGACCUGGAGCAGUAGCCCCAGAAUGUAUCACGACACGAUCGUCCCUUCUCAGCAUAAGGAGGGAGACCCACCCCCUGCGGGUGUGGGCGGGAGUGGCGGUGCAGGGGAACGAGCAAAUGACAUUCGAGCUCGGACAGCCAACACAGAGGGAACAACAAGCAACCCAGCAGAACAAAGGCGGGUCUCCUCAGCACGAAGCUCAGCAAGAACCUCUAUGAUAGGAACAUGGCCUCGAGCAAGCAAGUGAGCACGCGGAGGCUCAAACUCAGAGCUGAGGCGAGCUAAUAACUCAUGGACACGCUGAAACUCCAAAUCAGACCGCAUAGUGUGGAAACAACGGCAAGCUCCACACACAACUAUCGGAAGAGAGUUAAGUUGGCGCCAUAUGGCAGAACUCUGUGUGUAGAACUCAUCAACAAAAGAGUGACCUUCCUAAAGAGCAUGCUCCUGACACAUCACCGAUAGGUACAGAGCAUCACCAAAGGGCUGAUAGCGCUGACAGAGAUAAGACCAGAUUGCUGCAACGGUGCCGAGACCCAUGAACUCGGAGGCACACUGAGGAAGGACACUCGUAGUGAGAACAACAGUGGCCCGAGCAUCCUCGUUGCACCACUGAAUGUAAGCAGACAAAUCAUCCCGGUAGACAGAAAGGUCAUCUAAAUAAGCAGAUACCUGAUGAUCAUAAGUCUCGACCACAGCAUCAUCGAGAGCCUUGGAUGUAUCCUGAUCAGCCUAGGAAGCAUCAGCAACGAAAAUAGGCGGCACCGGUGGGGUAGGAGCCACAAGAGCAACAUGGCAGGGCGGACAGGGAAGCUCGCCAGAGAGGACACCCCAUAGCAGAAGAUCGCGCAUGUGGAUACACAUAAAGCCCACAAACUCAGCAUAGUUGGUGCCAUCGAAGAUCACCGAGCACUAAGGAACAACGACAUAUCUCAAAGAGAACAUGAUGAGCUCCCUCUCUCUGAUUCUUCUUUUUUGGAAGUCAACCUGAUCCCGAUCUAGAUCAGGGCCUAACCGGACCAGCGGCUGAGCAUGGCGGCAACGGGCGACCCACGGGGCAGGAAGCCGCCGGGUAGGCCGGAUGGCUGUCUGCAGCAGUUGCAGCCAGACGACAGCUGCAGGAAGCAGCACCCACGGCGGCUGGGACGAAGGAGAGCGCCGGCCGGAUGCGGCACCGGUAGCAGCACAACUGAGGCGAGACCGAGCGAGGAUCAGCCGACGGCGGUGGAUGUAACGCCCAAGAUGCAGUCCUAUCCUUAUUUUUAGCACGAGGGCCUCGGCAGGGAUAGAAACGCAUCUCGUCGUUUCGCAACAAUGGAUAGUUACAAGUACAUGUACUGAAAAGAUGAGUAUAAAGAGUUGGCUUACACUCGCCACAUGCUACAUCAGAGUCACAUCAGUUCAAUACAUGCAUUCAUCAUGAAGAAGAGAAGGGUCCGACUACGGACAGAAACAAACGAUAAAAUAACGACGUCCGUCCUUGCUAUCCCAGGUUGCCGGCCUCGAACCCAUCCUAGAUCGACGAUGAAGAAGAAGAAGAAACUCCAAAUGAACAAUCAACGCGCUCGCGUCAAGUAACCCUUUACAUGUACCUGCAACUGGUGUUGUAGUAAUCUGUGAGCCAUAGGGGACUCGGCAAUCUCAUUUCCAAAGGUAUCAAGACUAGCAAAGCUUAAUGGGUGAGGUAAGGUUAAGUGGUGAGGCUGCAGCAAGCGACUAAGCAUUUAUUUAGUGGCUAAAUUAUGAGUACAAGAAUAAAGAGGGGGGUGAUCUACGCAUAGCGGACGUGAACUACUGAUGAUCAACUGAAUGAUCCUUAACACCUGCCUACGUCAGACAUAACCCCACCGUGUCCUCGAUCGGAGAAGGAGCUCACGAAAGAGACAGUCACGGUUACGCAGUCAGUUGGUAUAUUUUAAUUAAGCUUACUUCAAGUUUUCUAGAACAGGAUGUUAAACAAAGUUUCCACGUUGCCACAUAACCGCGGGCACGACUUUCCAAAAGAUUUAACCCUACAGGGGUGCUCCAACUAGUCCAUCACAAACUACCACACGUUGCAACGGAAUGACCUCGAUCAGGGAGACACAUGAUCUCCUCGGGUUCCCAUUGGAAAAUCUAAACCUCGAGAUAGCCCAAAGCAUCCUCGAAAUCCCUCGCACAAGACACUCGAGAAAGGUAAAACAAGUCCAGCAAGGCCGCCCGGCGUGUCGACGAUCCCGAUAGGAGCCGCGUAUCUCGUUCUCAGGACACGACGGAUGGAAAAGCCUACGAGUAAAACCAAACCUCGAGUUUCCUCGCGGUGGCCCUGCAGUCUACCCGUUUGGGACCAACACCAUCAGCACUGCCCCCCCCUGUAUUAUGUUGAAUUACUCCUCGGGUUCAUGGUGCCCUAUGUUUUUCCGUAUUGACAGAAUUAUUAUGUUGGCAAAUAUAGUACCAAUGUUGGGCCUUGCCAGACGAGCUUUAUCCCAAAACGAGAAUCUAGGGGGUUCGCAUAACAACCCCAAGCAUGUUAGGAGCGCUCAUUUAUGGAACAUAACACCGGUAGCCAAAACUAAGGCGGCAAAGGUGGAACAAAACAUCGGGCUAGAAAGGCCGAGCCUUCCACCUUUUACCAAGUAUAUAGGUGCAUUAAAUUAAAUAGCAUUUAAUAGGGUGUUAUAACAAGGAACACAUGUUUUCACAUGGAAGCAAUUGCACCUACAACUAGCAAUGCUAACAAAUGGUUAAGCAAGCGGUAACAUAGCCAAUCAGUGGUUUGCUAGGUUGUAGAAAGGUUGAAGGUUUUCGUGGCAAUGUUGGGAGGGUGAUAUUUAACAGGUGGUAGGCAGUGAGACAUAACGAUAGAAAUGAAACAACUAGCAUGGCAAUGAUAGUAAUGGUAUCUAGGGAAAUGGUCAUCUUUCCUGAGAUCCCGCUUGGAACAAAAACAACUCUGUGAAGCAGACAAACCGACAUAGUCGAACGGGUCCUCACUUUUCGACACGCUUGCGAAACUCUAUCGAGACAAAGCAAACCGGAAACAAGUAUCAACACCGAUAUUCACCACAGCACAUGCACGACAUAAUGCACAACACGUAUGAUUCAUGAACGGUUUCAAUUGUGCAAGGCAAGACAUGACAACUCACAUCAAUCAAACACUACACAUUAAGUGAAGCUGAUUAUGCAACGAGUUGCAUAUUGACCAAACUCCACAUCUGAAUUAUUUAGUUCUAUCCCAAUUAAGUACACGGCAAUAUUAUAUGUUGUUAAACAUGGCAAGAGGUGAAGUGUAAUUAAACUACCUAUCUAGGCAUUUUAAAUCAGGUCGGAAACGACAUAUAGCAUCUCUAAAAUGACCCCACGCAUUAAAUUCGAAUUAUGUCCAGAUCUGAACUAACAUGUUUUGAUACUUGUUAAACAGAAAAAUAAAGUGGUUCACGUUAUUCUACGCAUCAUUCCAAUCAAUUUACACAUAGAGAUCAUUGCAAACGGAGCUACGGUUCAAAAGAUAUGAUCACCGCAAGAUAUGAUGCCAUGAAUGCAAUAUGUAUGCGAAUGACAGCCACAAGCAUUCCAAACCAAGAACGCAGCAACAUAAUAUGAAACUACAUGAGAUUCUAAGCAAGUUUCAUAUAUGACACGUUCAAAACGGAGCAACGGUUCAAGAAUUACAAGCAAAACAAGAAAUAGCUACAAUCUGCCAAAACAACAACAAGGCAUUUUCUAUACCCCAAACCAACAAGCUACAUAAUUCUAAAAUGCUCAAACAAGACAUGAGCAGUAGUGGUCGAGAUGCACAACAACACCCUACUAAAUACAACUAGCAUGGAACACUAGGAAAAGAACUCACAAAGUGGCAUCUCGCACACAGUUUCAGACUUAGAGAAAAUAACAGUUUGACAUUGCAGUUUUCAACCAGAAGGCAUAUUGACAACAGUAAAACUAUAUGCUACUGGGCACCGAAUCGCAUGAAAAUUUACAUCAUGCUAGAGAAUCUUAAGGACUACAAAUAACUCCAUUGCACCAACCUCAAACAAGUUGUAGAUCACUAGCAAAACUCAUGACAAGAUAGCAACAAAAUAUAACAGAUUUCAGACUUAGAAAUAUUUCAGCACCUCCAAAUCAGCACUAUUUUCUAGCAUGUUGGCAACAAGCAAACAACACCUAAAUAUGAAUUUCUAUAGCAACCAAAAAUACCAGGGGCUAGCUUACAUAUCCAAGAGCAUAUCUCUAGUUCACAACUAAUUCAUAUCAUGCAGUGAAUAAAUCACACAAAAUAAACAAGAGGGCAACAUGGCAAAAAAUCAUGCACGCUAACUUACUCGGAAGGCAAAACUAAAUGCACAGUUAAAUUCUAUGGAUUUUUCUAUCCCGAAAACAUAUAUAAUAUGUGGGGUUGAAAAAUAAAACUAACGUCACACAUAUAUGCGACAAUAUGUCCUAAACACGACAUAGCAAACUGUUGAUAGCUCCUACAUGCAAAAAUGCAAGAAACUACUCUAAAAUACAUGGAAAAGGGUCACUAACAUCGUGAACAUUUUAUCUACGGGAUUUGAACAAACCGGACGUGCACAAAAAUAUCUACGAAUAUUAACCUAUUAGGACAACACGCAAAUCUAGGCAAAUGGCGGGUCAAACUACCCCAAACAUGCAUGCAAGUUGCAAAAUAAUGUACUACGCGAAAAACUACACAAGUUACAUAUAACAUUCGUCGUGAUCCGACGCACGAAUAAAAAUCUUCGGGAGUUUUAAAAUCAUGCAUCUUCCUGAAAUAAAAUAAAUCCGAAAUCCUAAAAACAUAACCACCAGGCCGAAUCUGUCAACUGGGCCCAAACAGGGCAGGGCACAGCUUAACUAAACCACGCUACUGGUGCUGGAUAGGGCAGCAGAGGCUCACCUUCGUGGGCUCGAGGCCCAUCUCGGAGGAGAGGCAGGUGGGCCGAGGGAGGCAGGCUGACUCUGGCUGGCGCGCGCUGGGCGGGAGGCCCACGCGGCGCAACGGUCAACGGGGCUGCUCCCGACGGAUCUCGUCAAAUCGAAUCGACGGGCAACGUGCUCGCGACGGGAGCAUAGGGCAAUGGGACACGAGGCGGUGGCUUUACCUGGCGCGAGGCGGCGGCGCGGGGCUUUGGUGCCAGCGGGAGGCGGCGAUGCGGGGAGGUGUUGCGGCGGUGGAAGGCAGUCGGGGCUGGCCGGAUCCGGGGCAGCGAGCUCCAGCGAGGGAUGGCUUGAGGCAGCUCGGGCCGCUAGCUGCCAUGGAAGGGGCUUGCGAGCUCUCUCUCUGGCUGCACUUCGUUCGCUGGACAUGUUUGGUAGGUGGGAAAACCAGGUGAAUCUGGGCCUUUGGAUGGGAAUCCAAUGGUCCAGAUCUGAUCUGGAAUGAGAUUUCGGGGGAGAGAGAAGAUGGGGCUAGCAGAUGGGGUUUUCUAGGGGGUGGGUGCAAAAUGGCUAGGGGAAAACCCUAGUGGAGUGAGAGAGCUCCACCAUGGGGUGGUUCUUAUAUAGGGUUGGGCUAUGGGGGGAUGGACCUCGUCCGUCCGAUCGCGAUCCGAUGACCACGAACGGAGGAAGUGGCUAGAUGGUUCUAAUGGGUUGUGUAGUUGGGCUAUGGAGGGAUGAGAGGGAAAUGGCGCGGCCCAUGAAAAAGUUUUUAAAACAUCGAACGUCCCGAUAAUUCCACCAGCUAUAGUAUCGCUAUAUAAUAAAUGUUACGGGUAUCAAACGAGCUCCGAUUGCGACGAAAAUUGGCACGCGGCCUGCCUACAUUAAAAUAAGACCGCACACCAAGUUACGACCCAAACCGAGAAUAUUUUAAAAACACUUUUAAAAACAAUAUUUUUAACGGUGUCGCGGGCGUGUGCGAGUGUGGUCGGGUUCAAAACGGACAAUGACGAACACAGAGAGAAUCAACAACUAAUAACGGAUGCAAGUUUUGAAAACUUAUGGCAACAGAGUGCCGAUGCAAUGCAGAUGAUGCGCAUGAUGCGAUGAUGAACGCAGCAAACAAAAUAAUAACACGGCGGCAACGUAAUAAAAGGGGAAUUUUCUAGAGCGUCGGUCUCGGACUGUCAUAGUGGAUCCGGGUGGGACCGGUCGAGAAGCAGCUGGCUGUGGCAGAGUCUGGGCUGGUUUGGGCGAGGAAACACCGGCAGCAAUGGUUUCUGGGCGGGGCCGGACCUGGGGCGGGCGGCGGCAACACGAUGGGGCACAGCCUGGCAGGAGGAGAGCGGGCGGCGAGCUCAGGGGGAGCCAAAUGAGAGGAGGGCGGCCGGAGCAGCUUGCUCGCAUCUAGUAGUGGCGGCGAUGGUGGAGGAGGAGAAAACGGAGAUGCGGCGUACGGGGUGGGAGAGAACCUUAGCAUCUGAUACCUUGUUAGGAAUGAGCAACUGUCAUUACAGGGGGGCAUGGGCCAGUACAUAUACAUAUGGUAAAAGGCAAGAAACCCCUUAUACAAUGGGGAUACAAAGUAAAGGGACUAUACACAUCUAACAACAUGGUCAUCUUUAUAUAAUGAAGGGUACACUUUUAGAGCUACAGAAUAAUGUUUGAAAAAGGCUGUAAUGAUGUACAAGCAUCAUUGUUAUUUGAGAUGAACUCCUCACAUGUUGCUUGUUUUCCAAUCUCAGCAUAUUCAGUUAUGUGAACACUCCUUGUUGUCAUUGUCAUUUGUUGUCUAACAGUAUUAAGAUUGUGGGGAGCUAGAAUCAAGUUCAGAAUGGAGUGCUAGCACUUUUGAUUGUUUCAAAGUAACAUAUGCAUGUCAACAAAAUCAUCUUUAAAAAGGUAGGUAAAAUAGACAUAUAAGAGAGACACUAAGCAACUUGAGUAUUUGAUAUCAAAAUUGCCCCUCUUCCUGUGCACAUGUAGUUUGAACAAUUAAAACAUCAACGGCAAAAAUCAAUCCCUGCCCGAUUUUGAAGUUAUUCUAGCCAAAAGAUGAAUUGAGAUAAUUGCAGGGCACUACCACACUUGGGCACGUCGUGGCUGAUAGGUACCAAUAGUCAAAAGUUUUGCACGUCAAUACCACUUCACGGACUAAUUGUUGCGAAACGGGAUGACAAACGUAUAAACCCGUAUUGACCACGUUUCUAACAUACCUAGCCUACAUGUCAGGCGACACGGUGGCGUACAUGGACCGAACCGGCUACCAAACCGGCUCGGUCGCUCGAUGUGUCCCAUUCAAACCAGGUCGAACUAGACGAACCCUAGCCUUGCUCCCCCCUCUCCCUCUCUGUGCGGCGACUCCCGGCGGCGGUGACGUUGCGGGCGGGUAAGGAGACCUUCCCGGCCUCGGGCUAGAUGACCACGUAGGUCUGGCUGUGGACGACGGCGACUCCAGUUCGUACCACUCCUCCCCUGAUGAUGAGGAUUUGGAGGAGGAGGCGGCACUGUCCAUGGAGGACAGUAUGAAGCUGGCAGAGAUCUGGGUGGCCAACCCUACCAGUAGCCAUCACUGGACCAGUGGUGCUGGUGGCGGGGUGGUGUAAGUGCCUCUACCCUAUCCCUCUUUCUUCCUAAUUAAAAUAUGGCGGGCUAGGGUUAGUUGCUCAUUUGAUAUUAUUUCUUUCAACUCUAGUUUGCAUGAUGCUAUUUGGGAACUUCGAAUUCACUUUGAUUUGCAGCCCAAUUUGGAUAUGAAGCUAUGUAGCUUAGAUGUUACAUUUUUGAACCUAUAUGCAGUGUUGCAAACACAAGGGUUUUAUUUCCCUGGUGAGUUGUACCACAUGAAACAUUUAGGCAUAGAAGAGGAGAGAGAGCAUGGCUUAGAAUUUAUUAACACAAACAUCAAAUUGCAGCAACUGAAGAAGGAAUAUAAGCAUAGUUUAGUUCUGAAUUUGCUAGUGAGGGCAACACCAACUUUUUCAUGUCAAAGAGAAGAGAUAUCAAAUGUCAGUAAUGUUGUAAAUGUCUGUCAUAGAGAAGAACAAUUAGCAGCAAUAUUGUAUCAACCAGUUGCUGUGUAUGAUCUCGGUGAGCAUGCAGUUCUUGUUGUUGAUCCACAAGGUGUUGUUUUUCAUAUCAGUGCUAUUCAACCUACUGUUGUGUGCACCCAAGAGAGCAUAAACUUUAGAAAGGACAAGCUCAAAGCUGUAAUGGAGGAAGAGCCAGUGUUUGAGCAGGCACAUAAUAGUAGUGAUGAAUCUGAGGAUGCAUAUGACAGUGAUAACAAUCCUUUCUGCAUGGAGAAGUACAAGAUUUCUGAAGAUGCAUAGAUAAUAGAGGGGAAUAAAUUAGCAAAGGAAGAAUAUGUAGAUUCAGAUGAAAAUUCAGAUAAGGAACAACUACAUUAUGAGGGUGACACUAAGGUUGAGGAUUUGUUUGAGAUGGAGGAGGAGGAGCAAAAGGAGGAGGAUGUCAAUGUUUUUGCAAGAGAAGAGCCUCUAAUGCAAAAAAAACCUGCAAAAAGGAGGAAGAAACUUGAAGUUAGGAAAGGCCCCACUACUAGCUCACAUUCAAGUGUGUUCGAGGAGGUGAAGCCUGGUUUCAUUCCAUCAUCAGAUGAAGAAGAUGAUUGGUUGUUGUUUGAGGAUGAAGAUGAUGGACAUGAGCCACUCUCAUUUGUUCUACCUAAAGGGGGGGAAGAGUAGGGCCAAGCAAGGGAAACCAAGGAUCUGGUACAAUGGCAAACUUGAGCAACCACAUCAGCAGUUAUGUCUGUACAUGUGCUUUAAGGAUCAACAUCAAUUCAGAGAAGCUUUGUUGAGCUUACACAUAACACAUGCCACAGACUUCAGGUAUCACAGAAACUCAGAUCAAAGGAUCAUUGCUAGGAGAGCACAAGAAGCAGUAUCCAAGACUUAGGGAUUAUGCUCAGACCAUCAUGGAUACAAACCCUGGUAGUAGAGUUGUAGUUACAACAGUUACUCCAAAACCUACUACAAAAAUACCACAUCCAGGACCAAGGUUUCUAUGUUCUUUUGCAUAAAUGGAGCAAGGGAGGGAUUUCUGAAUGGAUGCAGACCAUUCAUUGGUUAGUUAUGCCUUUAUUGUGCAUCACAAAUUUUCAUUGUUCACCACUGCUUUAUAGUGACAUAAAUUGUUCUUUGCUUGUAUCAACAGGUGUUGAUGGAUCCUUCAUUAAGCUGGCCACUGGUGCUCAAAUCCUUGCUGCCACUGGAAGGGAUGGCAAUAACAAUAGUUUCCCUCUUGCAUUUGAUAUAGUUGGACAAGAGGACACACCUAACUGGUGUUGGUUUCUACACCAAUUAAAGAUAUGUCUAGGAGGUGAAACUGGGAAAUUUGGUCCUUAUACUAUCAUGUCUCAUAGACAAAAGGUAUGCAUGCAUAUUCCUGUUAUUAAGUUCUGCAUUAGCAUUUUAUGUUAUAGAUGUAGUUGUACAACAGCUAAGUUUAGCAUGCUAUGUGAUCAGGGGUUGCAAAAUGCAGUAAAUCAAGUUUUCCCAAACUGUCAUCAAAGAUUUUGCCUUAGACACCUCUAUGCAAAUUUCCAGAAUGUUGGGUUUAGUGGGGAAGAUCUUAAGAAAUGCAUGGAUAAUGCCAGCUAUGCUUAUAACCAACACAAGUUUAACAUUGCCAUGAAUGAUGUGAAAAAUGAGAGCAAGGAAGAUUGCAAGUGGCUAAGUGGAAUACCUAAGCACACAUGGGCCAGGCAUGCUUUUGACACUAACUGCAAGAUAGACUUGGUUGUUAACAACCUGUCUAAGGAGUUCAACAAUUACAUGAUUGGAUAAGGACAAGUGGACCAGACAUAGAGCCACCCAAAUUUCAUGUGAAGAGGGGAAGAAAUAAAGAGAAGAGAAUAAAGGGCAGAUUUGAGGUUCCAAAACGAAAGGAUAGUUCAAGAAUGGCCACUAUAACAUGCAGCAAGUGUGGGCUCCAAGGCCACAAGUACACCAACUGCACACAACAGUUGAGACCAGAGUUGACUCUGAGGGAAAACAAGCAUGCGGUAAACCCUUGUUAAUUUCUUUGCAUCUUUUAUGUUCAUGUGCUAAAUCCUUUUGUGUUUAUGUGCUUCGCAAGGCACCUACAAGAUCAAGGAGUAAAGCAAGAUCACAGCCUCCACCUACAAGAUCACAGCCUCCACCUGCAAGAUCGCAGCCUCCACCUACAAGAUCUACAAGAAGGUCAACUAGUAGUGCUAGUGUUCAUAGGCCUUUCACUACCCCAAGAUUUUCUGCUGGAGGUUCAUCAUCUGCUCAUGCCCCAACAUAUGCAGCUAGAGGUUCAUCAUCUGCUCCUGCCCCAACAUAUGCAAUUGGAGGUUCAUCAUGUGUUCAAAGGCCAACAAACCAUUCUGGCUGGAUGGCAUUCUUUACUCCAGUGGUAACCAUCACUGAUGUAUGAGUACUUAGUAACUUAUGGUGUACUAAGUUCUAUGAUGUGUACUAAGUAACUUAUGGUGUACUAAGUUCUAUGAUGUGUACUAAGUGACUUAUUGUGUGCUAGUGGUAACCAUCACUGAUGUACUAAGUGACUUAUUGUGUACUAAGUUCUAUGAUCAGUACUAAGUGAUGUGUACUAAGUGAAUUCUUCUGUGGUAAGUGAUGAGUACUAAGUGAUUUUUCUGGUAAUAUGAUAUGCUAAUGACCCAAGCCAUCUAUCAAUGCAACAUAUAAAAAGAUAUAUAACAAACCACAACAUAGUGGGGUUGAACAUACAUCAAGUCACUUAAACAUGCAUAAUUCAGAGAUUCUUACAUUAGAACAUGGGUACAAACCAUAGCAUAGUGGAGUUCAACCUAACACAUUCAGAAGUUACAACCAGUACAUCCAUACAUUACAUUGCAUUAAAGAACCAUAAUUCACAAAAGGGCACCACAUCAUACUUCUUCUUCAUGAUCUUCAUCUUCAUCUAGCUCAUCCAUCCAAAAUGUCCCUGAUAUUCUUCAACUUCUCUUGGUUCUUCUCCACUGCCAUCAACUGAUCAGCAACCUCCUGCUUCAGCUCAUCCCGACGUUUAAUGAGAUUCUCCAUUCCUUUAUUCAGACCACCAAUGUGAAGGUCGAGCACCCCAAUGUCAUCUUUGAUUUUUUCCUCAGAAUUGUUCAGUUUAUCAACCUGAACCUUCAAAUUGUAGUUCUCUUCACUCUGGGUCUACCCACCUAACAAAAACACAAUUCUGAGGUUGCUGCAAUACAAAAAACACAUAUUAUAUUACUCUGUACAUCACACCAACUAAAAUGUCACCACCUACAUAAUAAAAACUACUAUUGAUUCAUUUAGUAGUAAUCAGUAGUAAUGAUUCAUUUAGUUAAAAUGUCACCACCUACAUAAAUAAAAAAUGAGCAGUACUAAUGACCACUACUAAGCUCCUGCCUAAACAAUGAGUACAUACAACUUGACAUAAACAAUGAGCUUAUGCACUUGUAACUAAGCUCAAUCUUUAGUAGUGCUACACACGAAAUAAGAAUGACCAUUUAUAAUAAACAAUGACCAUCAACAGGAACUAAGCUCAAUCUUUAGUAGUACUACACAGGAAAUAAGAAUGCCCAUUUGCAAUAAACAAUGACCAUCAGCAGGAAAUAAGCAUUCUAGAGCCUAAACUAAGCAUCACCAAAAACAGAGCAGCCCCAAGACAUAUCAUACUGUGGAAAAUGUAAAUACAAAAUAUAUCACACGGAUUCUCACCGGCUGAGAACACAGUAAAAAACUCCUGCCUGUCUCAAAUCCUUCAAAUGAUACCCGACGCUCACGCGACAGCCGAUGUCCGAGCAUACAUCCAGGACCGAAAUCUCGAUGCCCAUGAAGUCUUCGUCUUUGAUGCUAGAAGGGAUCUAAAGAACCAAACAAAAAAUCAGAGACAAAUCCCCCCCCCCAUAAUUCCAGAAACAGAAACUGUAACCCUAACCCUAGCUCUACAACUAACCCGGUACUACAUGCCGUCGGAGGAAGAGCUAAUGUCCACGCUGGACAUGUCGUUGCUACUUUCAUCCUCAUAAACUAUGGCGCGGCGGUGGUGGUCGCGGAGGUUGACAAUCGGCGGCGAGAGGGGCAGGGGCAAGGGAGUGCGAGGAGAAGGGGGGGAGGUGGCGUAUGGCUCGGUCGGCGGGGCCCGAGCCAGUUACAACGAGCGAACGAGCCAGUUCGGUCCAUGUACGCCACCAUGUCGCCUGACAUGCGGAUCAGGUAUGUCAGAUACGUGAUCAAUCCGUAUUUAUACGGCUGUCGGCCCGUUUCGCAACAAUAAGUCCGUGAAGUGGUACUGACGUGCAAAACUUUUGACUAUUGGUAUCUAUCCGCCAUGAUGUGUCCAAGUGUGCUAGUUCCUUGCAAUUAUCUCAUAUGGAAUUGCAUAGAAAAAAAUGAAAGAAUAUACGGAGAGGAGCUGGUACAUCUGAGCUGGUACAUCUGAAACUUGUAGGUUGUGACUUGGAAGUAAUACGUGCAAAUUCACCCCAUCAAGAAUCACAAGAAGAUUAGCCACUCCAUAGGUGACAGCAAACCCAAAAUCGUGCUCCUUGCCGUCCAGGAGGUUGCCCAAGAAUGGCGUGAUAUCAAUGUCAUAGGUAUGCAGAUUGAAUGAGACAAUGCCGGUGAUUGGCCGCGAGAGAAGCGGGUUGACACCGCCGGUGUAGAUGACAGUGAACGGCCAAACAUCACCUACCACAUGGUCAUCGACUUUAACAAUAACCUCCCGAAACGCACCAUUGCUAGGAAUGCUGGACAAAUUGUUGGCCUCAAUGUACUCUUUGGGAGGGUUCGUGUACCAGAAUUCAUCGCUGGAGUGGAACGAAACGAACACCUCAAGGACCGCCUGUUAGGUGUUCGACGGAAUGGAGAGGCUCUUGGAUUGCACGUCGGUGUCAUUCUGGACGGCGAACCACUGCCCGUCAUUCAGAGGCAAGCUUCUCGAGAUGGGUACAAUCAGAUCGGCUAGCGGUGUGAGCGGCGGCGGCUCGGGGUGGAAGUAGAGGAGGAGCGUGAGGUUGACGUGGUAGACACCCUUGUAGGUCUUAUCGACGAGAUUGCCAAGGUACACCGCGACCUCGCCGGGCUCCGCGAGGAGUGACGUGUACCUGGUGACGUCGCGGGAGACAGACCAGACAAUGCCGGUGGCGCGCGGCUCGGCGGUGCAGCUGCGGAGGAUCUUGGCGCCGGUGAGCCAGACGCUGAAGAUGCGAUCGAACUGGCGACCUCGGUAGUCGGUGCUCCACUCGAGCACCGCGAGCGACGCGCCCGUGUGCACGCGGCGGGAGGCACUCGGGCGGCGGUGACCGGGGGUCUGCCGUAUGUCUCGCCGAAGGAGUGGGACAGGAGUUAGAGCAUCUCCAACGGCCGCGCUUCGCGCCGCGUUCAAAAAAUGUGUUUGCCCCGUGCGCGUUUCGGCUGGUUUAGCGCAGGGAUAGGCGAUGGCUCUAACAGCCGCGCUAUAAUGCAGCGCGCGUCGCUCCAGCAGUGUCCAAAAAUGCAGCGCGCGCAGCACGCACAAACCACAUAUACACCACAUAUACAUUUCAAAAUAUAGACGCAAAAACGAUCAAACAAACAAAAUAAAUCAACAAUAAAUAAUCAUUACAACUCAAACAAAUAGUUUAUCCUUCAGUACAACAAAUAAUGCAAUAAACACAACCAAUAGUAUGAACAAUACAAUACAAAUAAUGCAUAAACACAAUCAAAUCAUGCUCUUUGUCGUCCAUACCAUGCCCACCAAUCUUCAAUCAGAUCCUUCUGAAGAUCACUGUGCGUUGCGGGACGCCGAAUGGCAUGAUAGGAGGCAACAAAACGGGCUACCUUUUCAGCCCUCCGUCGCACUCGCACGGGAUGUCCCAAGAGCUCAUACUAUGAGUAAUCUAAAUCUUGGUAACGCUCAUUCUCGAUGAUCAGGUUGUGCAUGAUCACACAAGCGUGCAUGAUGUACCAAAGCAUUUUUUGAUCCCAAAAUCUAGCCAGUCCUCUCACAAUAGCAAAUUGGGCUUGCAAAAUCCCAAAUGCUCUCUCCAUAUUUUUUCUAGCAGCCGCCUGAGCAUUGUGGAAAUCAAGAUUUUUCUUACGUUCCGGCUUUUUCAACGGCUUCACGAAGGUUUGCCACUUUGGAUAGAUGUCAUCCGCUAGAUAAUAGCCAUGGUUGUAUGUACGACCAUUUGCUACAAACUGCACCGGUGGCAACUCACCAUCUGCAAUCUUAUUCAUCAGUGAUGACCGGUUGACAACAUUGAUAUCAUUCAAAGAUCCAGGCAUUCCAAAGAAUGCAUGCCAAAUCCAAGUCUCUUGAUCGGCCACCGUUUCAAGGAUUAUAGUGGAACCCUUUUUUUGGCUGUGGAAUUGCCCAUGCCAUGACUUUGGACAAUUCUUCCAACUCCAAUACAUGCAAUCUAUUGAGCUAAGCAUGCCAGGAAAGCCGCGAGCCUUGUUCAUCGCCAAUAGCCUUGCGACGUCUUCAGCAGUGGGAGAUCUCAAAUACUCCUCGCAAACACUUGCACAAUUCCCACUGCAAAGCGCUUGACACACAUGAUGGCUUGGCUCUCACCCAUAGCCAAGUGAUCAUCAACUAGAUCAGCCGGGAUACCGUAUGCCAACAUACGCAAUGCGGCUGUCACCUUCAAAAAGGUGCUAUGCCCGAGCUCUCCAGCGGCAUUCCUCCUUUGCUGGAAAAACCGGUCAUGGCUCGCUAGUUUCUCUGCAAUGCGCUUGAACAAGUCUGUGCUCAUCCUAAACCGGCGACGAAAAUACGAUUCCGGGUAUGUGGGAUUCUCCAUGAAAUAGUUCUUCAUCAGUCUGUUAUGGGCAUCAAUCCUAUCUCUCCAAAUUUUCUCCCGACCCAUAACCAAACCACCGUGCUUCGGUUUUUUUAUUGAUAUGCAUAGCUAUGAUCAUUGCAAGAUCCUCCUCCUCUUCCAUAUCAAGUUCUUCUUCGGAAGAAUCAUACGACGAACUCAUCUACAAUGUUCAAUACUAUACUAUAAAAACUACCAUUCAAAACAUGCACCAAAUUCAUAAGUUUGGAGCAAUACAUACCUUGUAGGCGUUUUGUCGAACACCUUGCGGGCGCGGCGCGGCAGCGAGCUCUCGGACGCUGUUCCUCGGACGUCGGAGGCGCGCGAGGGCCGGUCGGACUAGGGGGGUGGGGCGGAAGCGCGGCGGCGCGGGGAGGCCGGGGAAGUGCAUGAACGGUCGCCUGGGGGCGCGGGCGGCGCCUGCAGCGGAGACAGGCCGGGGAAGCACCUGAGUGGUCGCCGGCGGGCACGGGCGGCGACGGCGGCGCGGGAUAGGCCGGGGAAGCGCUGAACGGUCGCGGGGGCGCGAGCGGCGGCAGCGGCGCGGCCGGAUGGGGGAGGAGCGAGCGCGGGAGCGCGGGAGAGAGCAGGAGCGAGCGCGGAAGAGUCGCGCGCGCGGGAGCCGGCGCAGCAAAUAAGGGACGCGGGAUUGCGUUUCGGCCAGCGCGCUGAACUGAAAAUGGCGCGCGCGCCGUUUUUGCGCGCCCGCUGGAGCUGCCCGCCGCAUUGCGCGCGCGCUAAAACUGCCUUUUUUACGACGCGACGCUUGUAUAGCGCGCCUGUUGGAGAUGCUCUCAGGUUGUAGGCGGGGCAGGAUGCGGCUGCCUGCCAAACAGCAAAGCGGGAUCCAGCUUUUCCAGUGGCCACAACAACUGCCCGUCUAUUAGCCCGCUUAAUUUGCAUGUGCCCGCAAAGACCCGCCAGGCACAGUCUUAACAGUGUAUUACAACACAAAAUGCAAACUCUCUUGAUUCUCUGAAACGGAAACAAGUUGCUUAUUCAGGCAAGUAAUAUGUAAAGCCAACAUGAAUUUUCUGAAAGACAGUGUACACCUUUGUGCAAACUAGUAUGCACAGCAAUAUAACCCUCUAAAUUCUGAAACAAGUUCUUCAUUCAGUAAACUCAACAAUGUUGAAAGUUAAAACACAUUGAAACUAACCAUCUGCAGUAAUAUGUUCUGACCAUCCGCAGUGGCAUAUCAACAUAUUCUGAAACUGACGAGUUGACGGAUGACCUUUGUUCUCGGAGGAGAGGAAAGAGUGCAACAAGGUUGUGCUAGCCCUUGCUGAAGUAGACAAUGACAAAAGAGCGGCAUCAAUUGACGAGGGAAGCGACCAGGGAACAUGUUCUUCAGCGCAUGACAGAAGCGAUGGAGGAACAAUAUCUCCACUGAGGAUUUCGGCAGGCAGUUCCAAUGUGAAGAUGGCGCAGGCGCUGCCGACGAUCCCACCAUGGUUGCUCAAUAAACAAGGUGUUCUUCAGACCGUAUAUCACAGGAAGGCAAGUAACCUGUGAUAUAACACAAGAAUAGACAACAAGUUAAUCCUUCAUAGCUAGUAUUUGCAAGUGUACUAUUAGAUUGGAAGAACUGCUUAUUUGCCUCUCGAUAGGGAGAACUGAAAAUUCAGACAAUGACAUACAGCAAAAAAACCUCCUCCUACUACUACUACUUGGUUCAGACCACCUUCUUUUUCAGUCAAAAAUUCAGAUAAUGACAUCCGCUCGGUCUUGCUUUCUUGUUAUCAAUCAACAUUUACCUUAUCAUCACUAAUAGAUAUUAAUCAGUUCCUCAAAUCGAUUCAGAUUCGAAAUUGCAUCAACGACCAAUGCGGGAGAAGGGAAGAGAAGGGGAGGGAACCUGGCAAUGGUGAGGAUAUGGUAUUACUUCUGAAGCGGUAUAUUUUCAUGCAUACAUUGGUUUGUUGGCUGUGUCGGUAUCAUAUUUUUUUGUUAUUCAGGACGAUGGAUUCGCUCUACAUGCUUACAAGUGAUAGGUGUUUUAUGACUGUAUUAUCUGAAGCCGAUGUUUGGUAUGACAUGCAAUUGCUGGGACCAUGGUCACGUGUGUGUAACAUGUUCAAAGUGUUUGACUAAAAAAUAUGGUUUAGGCCUGCGUAAUCAAAAUACGGAAUGGUCAUAUAAACCGAGCAAGAAACUGGUACAGGGUUAUAUAGAGGAAAAUAAAUAGAUGUACUGUAUGGUAAAAAGAGCAAUGAUCUCGUACAAUAAAGAGAGUAAUAUUGAUGAAACAUUAUGAAAGUGUCAUUGAUCAGGCUGCAGGUGGGACUGUAGGUGGGAGUCCCACCACAAUCCAUCUGAUCCCAAUACAGUUUGGUGUGAAAAAGUGGGCAUCUCACUAAAACAAAUACUAGUACAAAUUAAGUGGGAAUAAGUGGGAUUCCCACACAACAAAGUCGGCAUAUCACCAUAGCGGCCUUCUCCCGUGCCUUGGGCGCCGGCGCCGUGAGCAGAGACGACGCCCUUCUCGUCGCGUCGAGCAGCCAGUCCACUGCUCGGCUCUUGGCCUCGACGUGUCCGAUCUUGGCCGGAGUUGCAGCAAUCAUCGCCGGGACGGCGGAUCCGUCGCAGUCGGACAUCACGACAGUCCUAACGAGCAGAGCGCAGUCCCGGAGGUUGACGUCGAGCCCGGCGCCGAGCGCAUCAAUGGUGCUAUGCGCCUGCAGCCUGCCAUUCAUGGCCCGGUGGGCUCGCCACGGCCCCCUUUAUUGAACUGCAGUUCUGUUCUUGCCAAAUUUUCGAGCAGUUGUUGAUCUUCAGAACUAACUAUGGACUACAGAAUGGCCCAAGAUUCUCCUCCAUAUUCAGUUCUCCCGGACGGCGCAUCCGAUUCGUACGGGCGCUCUAUGCAUGCCCUACUUCCUAGAUUCCUUGAUUGAAUUUGUUAUUCACGAUGUGCAGAUUUUGGUAGUAUAGUUUACUGCAACUCGUGCAGAUUGUGCUCUGAAAACACAGUUAUCUGAAUCUGUUGGAGUCUGAAACUGUUAGUGUGAGGUGUCUGAAACUUGUAAGCUUAUAGAUAAGUAAAAUAUGAUUUGAAAUUGAAACCCCAAAGGUCGGACAGACGCGCCGGGUCCGCUGUCGUCGCCGCGCCCACCACCGCCGGCACCAACAUCUCCUCCGUGAGGUCGCCCCGCACACUCAUGGCUGGUCACCUGGAGAGCGUGGCCGGGCCGCCGCACAAUCAUGGUCGGGCCGCCGGGGGUAGCGUGGUGUGAGGAGUAGGUAAGAAGCAGGGGCGCGAUGAAGGACUGGCGACCGUAGGAGCACGCUGCGGCACCGCUUGUCGUUGUCUAGGUGGGGUCCCAAUGGGAUCUAAUGAGAAAAAUGGACUAGCCCGAUUAUUGUUAUUUGUUUCUGAUGGGAGCCCACUACAGGAAAUUAAGUGGGAUGGAACAAUUAGUCCCACUUAAUCCCAUCUCCACCUGCAGCCUGAUCUAAGCUCCUUGGGUGUAAGUGGUGUUAGGCACACAGCCGAUCCGUUAGUUUAGCAUAGUCGGUGUAAACAGAAUACCAAACCAAAUUAAUGGUUAACCGAACAAUCGGUUUCCCAAAAUUUUAUGUUAUUUUCGGUUGUCUUUUAUGCUAAACGAAUGCGCCUGUUCAAAUCCUCCAACACACAUGUUCACCUAUGUGCUGCUCUUUGGUAACGACGCAUGCAUCAUCUAAAUCACAUCUAACUCAUACACUAAUUGAUUUUGAUGAAGAUUCGGCCGGGUUUAUUAUUUUUAUUUUUUAUUUGAUUACUCAAAUAAUGUGUAGGAGCUAGAUCGAGACGGGGUAUUUCUUAUCUAGAUGAGAUUUAUCAAAUCUGUUUCACUUUUUCUUUAUGUCACUGCAAAAAUCAAUCUGAUCCGAAGUUCGUGGAGUGUUGUAGAAUCGUGAGGAUAUGCACUUGAUAAGCUGAGAGAUCUUGUUUUGUUUUCUCUGAGGCCUUGUUCGGUCAGCUCCAUCCCCGCUGGGAUUGGGUGCAAACCCCGUCGAUCCACGUGGGUUUCGUCCGGCCGGGGUCAAAAUCCCGGUCUCGCUGCUGACAGCCUUCGGUUAGACCCUGUCUGGACCAAAUCCCUACCAAACCACGUGGAAAUCGCAGGAAAAUCAUCCACGCGUCCCACCUCGUGGAAGCAAACCCUCUCACGAAACGUUAUGCGUGCGCUCUCUCUCUCUCUCCGCCCCGAUCCUCUCUCCCUUCCUCGAUUCGGCGACGACGGCGCGGGCGCCGGAGACGCUAUCGGAGCAGAUGGGCGUGCAUCCUCCUUCCCCUUCCUUCCCCCUUUUCAACUGUCAGCUCAACAACCAAGCGAAGCGGCACGAGCUCGACGGUGACCCAGAACAGCCAUGGAGCCUGGCCGAUCUAAUCUCCCCCGCCACCUCACGCCGGAGAAGAGGAGGCAGCUGGCGACAAGACCUUCAGAUUGGUUCUCUCUUUCUCUCUGUGCGUGCCUGCUCUCCUGUGUCUACUAUUUUUUCUCUCUCUACCUACAGCAAGGCGUUGGUGAUGCCGACCUAGACUCAUGAUGUUAAUUAAUACUCCUCCAAAGGAUUAACCGAAUGCAACAUGGAUUGCAUAGUGACAUGUAUUUAGGCCCCGAGCGGAUUUGGUGUAGGGUGGGAAAUCACCCAAUAUUCUAGAGUAUUUAAUCCACUAGAGGAUUAAAUACUCUUCAACCGAACAAGGCCUGAAGAGGCCGUGUUCUAAGAUUUUGCCAUGAGAUCUUGAAAAUAGAGAGAUUAGUACAGUUAGAAACAAGUAAUUGUGCUUGCCUAAUUCAUUGUUUAUUACAGUGAGGCCGUGUUCUAAUUCAUUGUUUAUUACAGUUAGAGACAAGUAGUCUGAUUCACAUAGUCUUUUACGAGAAUGACUCACAUAGUUUUGACGUGUUAGCCUUCAUUGUUAUUUCAGAGGAUGUAGACCAGGAAACUAGCAAAAUAUCUAAAGGAACAAGAAUCCAGUACAGUACCCUGUUAAUGGUGUAUACUUGAUAUUGUUAUGGCAAAACAUCAUGACGAAUUAAUUCAUUCACACAUCAGACAUCAUAGUUUUAUUACUUAAUAUUGUUAUGGCAAAAACACCAUGACUAAUUAAUCUGUUAACACAUCAAGCCGCCGUUCUUUGAUUCGGUAUGAUUUGCACACUUACAUUUCAUUAAGAUGUAAACUUAUUUACUUUCACUUCUGCUUCGGUACAAUCUUUAAAUACAUCAACGGAUGAGAUCUAUUCAUAAAUUUUUAUAAUAAAGGAUGAAAUGGUCUUUUUAAAAAUACGUCGCUCAUACUUACGUCGCAAUGGGCCGACCCAUUAGUGGAUGCAUGUAUGACCCGUUCAUCCAGUUAAAUAUAAAGCCGGUCUAUUGGUGGAUGCAUGUAUGACCCGUUCAUCCAGUUAAAUAUAAAGCAAAAAGAAUAUUGCAAGGGAAGGAUUUAAACAAAAGACCCCCCUACUACAAGGAGAGGGUUGAUAGCCGCUAGGACUAACAAACACUGGUGAUUUAGUCCCUCCGUUUCUAAAUAAGUGACUCAACCUUGUAUUAAUUUUGUAUUAAAGUUAGUAUAAAGUUCAGUCACUUAUUUUAAGACGGAGGUGAGUAUUACGUAACACAACAUUUUAUAAAGGCUAUUAGCAGCGCCAGAUCCUAAAACAAAUCUGAACCAUUUUUUUCUAAAAAGGUGAAUAUUUUUAAAAUGCGAAUAUUUUGGAAAAGUUGUGAAUUUUGGAAAUCUCCAAAUUCUUUUAGAAUUAUAAAAAAAAAUUAAAGCGGACAUUAUUUGAAGAACAAAGAAAUUUUUAAGAAUAGGAAGUAAUGUAGCCAACAUUAUGUAAAACAUAUAUUUUUAACAUUUAUCAAAAACAUAGUUUUAAAAAAAACUAGAAAAAAGUUUAAAACUAGCUGGUACUGUAACGAUUUCAAUCACUGUUCGCCUUUUAGUAAAAUUGCUCAUGAUUUCAGAAAAUAUUCAUUUUUAAGUUUUGUUCAUUUAUUUUAAAAAAUACGGGGUUUCCAAGAAAUGUACUUGUUUUUAAAAAUUGUUCACAUUACAAAUAUUUAUCAAAAAUCCAUGAAUAUAAACAUACGUUUUUUAUAAAAUUUAGAAUUUAGAAAUAUAUUCUGUUUUCUACAAAUUUUUCACAAUUUUAAUAAAACGUUCAAGUUUGUUAAAAGUUGUUCAAAAUUUCUUGUUUUCAUAUUAUUUCAUAAAUUCCAAAAAAAUAUGUGAAUUAAAGAUAAUAUUCUUGUUUUGUAAAAUUAAAUAUGUUUCUAUUUUAAUUUUUCCUCAAAUAUUAAAAACAAUUGGGAAUUCUAAAAUAUGUUUGUGCUUUUGAAAAAUUGUUAAGAAUUUGGAAAAUGGUCCAAUUAAGAAGGUUUGUUCUCUGAAUUAAAAAUGUUUCCAUUUUUAAAAAAAUGUUAGAGAUUUAAAAUUUUGUUUAAAAAUAUUUGUUUGUAAUUUUUUUAAAAAAUCUGGAUUCUGCGUUGUACUUAGUUCUUAAAGUGACGCGCUCAUUUUUAAUCACCAACACUUCUCAGGUCAAUUGGUUUUUUUUUUUUGCGGGAUUUCUCAGGUCAAUUGGUUAGGAGCUGUUCUUUGUGAUCUACAGAAGCGGGACUCAUUUACUUUAUUCAAUGCAUAUAGCUAUUUUACAGGAGGCCUUUGAUCAACAAGCAUCCAUGUUGUGGGUACCGUUAAAAUUUACUUUCAGGUUUUAUGCAAUCACUAGGAAAAUGUUUCAUGCGUUGCAACGGAAAAAAAUAUCAUUGACUCGGUAUUCAUGAUAAAAUCAUUAUGAUUUCUUUAAAAAAAUAUAAGUAUCGCUUAAAAUAUAAGUGAUGACAAUAAGCAUGGUAUAAAACAUAAUUGAUGAUUUGAUUUAUUACCCACGUCAAACAUCUCUAACAUGAAGAAUAAUUAUUUUUGAAGCAGACCAUCUUUAAAAAAGUCUAGCAAAUAUAUGUGUAGUUGGAGUAAAGGCCAAACAAAACAAAAACUAAACAUUUUUUUUAUGAAUGGGUGCGCUUUUAGGGCCAUUGUUUCUAAGUGUUUUUUAGACCUUUUACUUUCAUUCACUAAUUGAGCAUAUGGGAAUGAAAACUCAAUUCACACAAAGAAUAAAACUCAGUACACCUACCUUCCCAGUGCCUAGAGGUUCAUAUAGCAGGACACCUGAUCGUUCUGGCAAUUUAGAGUAGUACACUGAUUCAAGGCAUUUUGCCUUUUUUGAAGGUCGGUUAUCAAAAUCCUCAACGAUGCUCAAUUCAGCUUUGUCAGCCAUUUUUUGCAAUCACAAAAAAGAGCUAAACCUCCAAGAGUUAGUUUGUUCAAACAAUAUUUCGGAUUAUGUGAAGAUGCAACUAUCAUAGAGUUGUAUCAAACAGGGAGAGAAAUUACAAUACUGUAGAUAGUGGAGUAGCCAUGUAUUCAUCUUGACAGUAAAUCAUCUAAUAAUCUUGAAAAGUUAAUUAUAGGCUUUAUAAGCUACUGGUUUUUGAAUUUCAACCUAGCGGAGCAAUCUGGAUGUUUCUCAAAAGGUCAUAAUGAUUCUUCACUAAGUUGGGAAGAGCAAAUCAAGGCUUUAAUUACCCGUGGAAUGUGAAAACACAAAAGGACUUUUCUUUGAUGUUUGACGAAGCUAUGAUGUCUCGAAGGAAGAUGUUUGAUGACGACAAAUCUAGAUAUGGUCACAUGGCUACUUUAUGAUGAAAUACUUUUGCUCAUCAUUUUUAUUGGCUAACCUGCAAAAAUUUUGUACAUUCAUACAUAAGGUUGCACUUGCACAACUUUUUUGUUUGAACCUGGUAGCCAAAAAGUCAGUAAUAGAUGAUAAACUAGAUUUGUUUAGGUAGUUGUGAAAUAUAUUUUCAGCUCCAGUAGUAACAAUGGAGAUGUCAUAUAUCAAAUAAAUAAUGUAUAUCAUAUUCUACAGUAACAAUAGAGAUGUCCUAUUUCAUAUGAAUAAUGAAUAUGAUAUUCUACAACUGCCAAAUAUCAGGAGAGAACCCAAGGAAAUUCAUGAUUAAUUAUUCCCACCAAAAAAACCAGUCUAGACUGAAUACAUGUGCUACAUGCCUCACUUGACUAUAUAAUUUUAUCGACAACAGAAUACGUCAGAGUAACAAAUCAAAAUUGUUAGCAAUUUAUCACUGAUCUUCGAGUUUAUUUGCCCAUGAACGUGAACUUAUUCACAAAUAAUAACAUGCAAUAGUUUCAAUCACUAAAACUUAUCUACCCAAAUAUGUAUCUUUCAGGCCAGGUUUAGAUUCUUGUGGAAAUCAAGCUAGCACACUGUCCAAUCAACAUGCAAACUGACUCCACCGCACAAAUAGGAUCCCAUGCCCCAGAGCCGGCCGCCGAAGGCCUUGCCCCUGCGAGUAGCUGCAUCCCAUCCCGCCCACCACCGCAUCCAACCUCCAUUGCCUUGUGGAGGCGUGGUGAAGGCCGUGGUGGAGCCACCGCCGUUUCUUCAUGCAAUUAAUCAUAUAAAAGGUGUGUAGUCCCUAUCCUUCGCCAUCUUUCCUUCUCUUACCUCAUGAGCAGCCAUGAUUGACGCCUAGAGUAGGGGCGGAGCACAGAGCGCGGCGGCCACGACCAAAGCCUUCACGCCCAUCUCGUCGUAACCCUCUGCCGGAUUCGGCGCUCGCUUAUUCUCACGCUGGCCUGCCUCCCUUGCAUCCUCCUCCUCCUGGCCGUUUGUCCGUGGCGGCGAGGAGAGUGUUGAGCAGCCCAUCGCGGUCGUUGGUGCGGGCCCGAAGCACGGUGGCCUGGGCCUCGACAUCGGUGAACCACGCGCGGAGAAAUCAGGUGACGCGGGGGAGGAGGUAGGCCGGGGUGCAGGGAGGACGGUGCCGCGGAGGAUGAGGACCGGCGGCGGAUCCAGAUGGGGUUGGGAGGCACGGUCGCUCGACUCGUGCGUGGGGCAGAAAUACGAAACGUUAUUUUCACUUAUUUACUGGAGUGCGGGUUAAUUACUGGAAACGGCACGGGCUUUUGUGCAAAAACGCCAUGACGGACGACAGAAGCCAUCGGUGCUUUAUUAUUAGGGAUAGAUUGUAGUGAAAAUGUAUUCAAUAUUUUUUUAUCUAUUAAUCAUAUCAGUACAGCCAACACCCUACAUUUGAAAAUAUUAUCUUAUAUUCUCAUAUUUCCUUUAGUUUCCCUUCACCCAUUAGGCAAAAUGAGUAUAUGCACAUGUAUGGACUUGGCUAUCUUACCAUCCUUUUCCGCAUCUUGUGACAUAUCCAUGAUGGGCGAUUCAAGCCAAAUAUCAUAUGUGUGUGAUGUGUGCAAAAUAUGCAAACAUGCCUUGAUUGUUAUGAUGUUGCAAUGUCAUGGGCUGGUGGGUUGGAAGGGAGAUUGUAGUCGUGGGAGGCAGGAGGCCGAGGGCGAGUCCCUCGCCGACCUAUCUUUGGAGAAGGGGGUGAGGAGAGGCGCCGAGACGCGGGAGCAAGGGAUGAGAGAUUAGAUUGUUUUCUUCUUAACUUUAUUGAUCCCCAAAGCUGGCUAUAUAAAACCUUAUUACAAGACUAGACUCCUACUCUAAUUGGGAGUUGGCAGGGUAACCUUCUACGGGACUAAACCUUUCCAUCUAACACAACUUCUAUAAUUACAAUAUGCCAUAGCUUAGGCUGGUGCAGGCCCAGCCCGUGUGGGUCGUCGCCUAUAGGGCCGACCCCACAUAAAAUCUCCCCCUCCAUUCUCAAACACCUCGUCCUCGAGCUAGAAACCUGGAUAACAAUCACGAAAGGUAGGGACAUUCUCCCAUGAUGCAGCAGACGCCGGCUGGCCCUCCCAUUGAAUGAGCACCUGUUGAACGCCGCGAGCAAUAGGAGCACGCAAUGCCUUGAUAGGAGUUGGAUGCACUCCACCUUGAAACAGCGGGGGAAGCAUUGGCGGAACUUCAGGUGGCUCACCAUGGUAUUUUUUCAGGACCCCAACAUGGAAGAGAUUGUGAAUGCGGGUGCUUGGAGGUAGCUCCAAACGGUAGGCAACCGUAUCAAUCUUACGAGGACUUUGAAAGGCCCGUAGAAUUUGGGAGCCAACUUCCCUUUAACGCCCACUCCAAGGAAUGCAAUCCGCCGGUGCUGAAGACGUAGCCAAACCCACUCGCCAAUAUCAAAAGAAAGAGCCUGAUGCUUAUCAUCAUAGUAAUGCUUGUACUGUUGUGCUGCCUGAAGGAGACGCUCACGGAUGUCAAGUAGGUAUUGAUCACGGUCGAGGAGCUGUCGUUCGACUGUCUGGUUGUGAACUUCGCCCGACGUAUAGUCCCGGAGCGAGGGGGAUCCCGACCAUAAACCACCCUGAAAGGAGUAUCCUUCAAAGCUGAAUGGUACGGAGUGUUGUAGUUGUACUCUGCCCAAGGUAACCAUUGCAGCCACUGCCUGGGACGAUCCCCGGUGAUGCAACGCAAGUACAUAGUGAUGACGCUAUUCACGGCCUCCGAUUGUCCAUCAGACUAUGGAUGAAACGCCGAACUCAUGUGCAAGUGCGUCCCGGCAGCGGCAAACAUAGCCUUCCAAAAGCCUGAAGUAGAAAACCACAUCCCGAUCUGAAACGAUGGAUGUUGGAAACCCAUGAAGUCGGACGAUGUUGGAAAAUAAGGUUGUAGCGACAGACUCAGCAGUGUACGGAUGCGCCAAGGGUAUGAAAUGUGCAUACUUGGAGAAACGGUCCAUGACGGUCAGGAUCACACUCUUGUCGCCCACCUUUGGAAGUGCCUCAAUGAAAUUCAUGGAGAUGUCUUCCCAAACACGAGAUGGAACCGUCAAGGGCUGCAACAAGCCGGCUAGAUGAAGCUGCUCCGUCUUGUUGCGUUGACAAACUUGGCAAGCACGAAUAUAUUGCUGAAGUGCUACCCUUGCUAGCGGUAGAUGGAAAUCACGGCGAAGACGAUGAAGUGACUUCUGGAUACCUUCAUGUCCUGCAUCGUGGGCUGCAGCCAAGACUUCCCCAACCAGUGGCGAAGCGGGUGGCACAUAAGCCCGCUGCUGAAUGGUGACAAUACCGUCCACGAGAGCCCAGGGCGGGCCCAACUCACCAGAUUUGAGUUGUUCCCUUAAUGCGACGAGCAUGGGGUCCGUGUGAGCAGCCUAGCGAAGAGCAUCAAAGAGAUCAAAAGCAGGCCCGGAUAUGGCAAGUGCCUGGCCAGGAAGAGCAUCACGUCGAGAAAGAGCGUCGGCGAUGAUGUUUUGACGACCUCGUUUAUAUUCCACCGUGAAGUCGAACCCCAACAAUGUGCUCACCCAAUGAUGUCGCGGAAUGGUAGCGAGGCAUUGGUCCAGUAAAAACUUCAAGUUGUAGUGGUCAGUUUUGACGAUGAACGCACGUCCCUACGGAUAGGGACGCCAGUGGCGCACGGCAUGCACCAGACCAAUGAGUUACCGCUCGUACGCGGCGAGUGAAUCAUGACGCAGAGCGAUGGUUUCCGUGAAAUAGGCAAUGGGCCCACAGUGAAAGAGACGACAAAAUCCGGCAGCUGAAGCACAUGGGCAGUGGUAAGAGCUGUCUUGAGAGCCUCAAAGGCGGUAGUUGCUGCACGCGUCCAAAGAAAUCCGUCUUUUUUUAGGAGUGUAGUGAGGGGAGCUGCAAUGGUGCCAAAAUCUCGGAUGAACUUGUGGGGGUGGCCUGCCAGACCUAAGAAACCGCGCACCGCCCAGACAUUGCGUGGAACCUGCCAAUCCAUAACGGCGAGAACCUUGUCUCUGUUCAUGGCGACUCCUGCAGCGGAGAUGACGUGUCCCAGAUAAGCCAUGGUUUCCUCCCCAAAAGAACACUUGGUGCGCUUGAGAAACAACUGAUGUGCGCGCAUAGCCUCCAAGACGAGCUUGACAUGAUGAAGGUGAUCCGACCAGGACGAGUUGUAGAUCAAGAUAUCAUCGAAGAACACAAGCACAAACCGGCGAAGACAAGGAUGAAGGACGUCGUUCAUGAGUGCUUGGAACGUUGCUGGGGCAUUGGUCAGCCAAAAAGCCAUCACCACAAACUCAAAAAGGCCCUCAUGUGUGCGGAACGCCGUCUUGUGGAUAUCCUCAGGGGCCAUCCAAACUUGGUGGUAACAGGACCGGAGAUCCAGUUUGGUGAAAAACCGGGUGCCCUUCAGCUCAUCCAGAAGUUCAUCGACAACGGGAAUAGGAAACUUGUCCUUGAUGGUGACAAGGUUGAGACCAAAGUAGUCGAUACAGAAACGCCAAGUCCCGUCAUGCUUCCAGACGAGUAGAACUAGGGAGGAAAAUUUUGAAGAGCUAGGACGGAUCAGACCACGAGCCAGCAUCUCUGAACAUUGGCGCUCCAGCUCGUCCUUCUAAAUUGUUGGGUAGCGGUAGGGGCGGACAGCAACCGGCGGUGUCCCAGGAAGAAGGUGGAUAUGAUGGUCAUGGGCACGCUGCGGUGCAAACCCUAAGGGUCCGCAAAAACGUCGACAAAUGUGGCCAACAGGCCGUCUAGGAGAUCCUUGCCUUUGCACGCAUGUAUGCUGGCAGGCCUUCCGAUGGAACAAAGGACCGACCACUCCACCCGGUGAUCCGAGUGCCAAAACGACAUCCACUGCGUUGUGAAGUCUGAGAGAACUGGCCCAAGAGUUUUUGAGAAAUUGUGUGCUGAGGACGAUGCCGAACCCGCCCAAUGGAAUGGUAUGCAGAUCCACCACGAAAUGCUCCUUGUCAAUGGUGACCGCAGCUUGCUGCAGGAGUCCGUGACAGGUCACCUUAUCGCCAUUAGCGACCGUGACUCCCAGGCGCCGAUUGGAAGAGAAAGGAAGCCCGAUGAUGGUGCCAGCUCUUUGUGGAUGAAGUUAUGAGUGCUGCCCGAAUCAAGCAAGGCUACGAGGUCACGGUCCCCGAUGCGGAGAGUAACCUGCAUUGUGUCGCUGGUGGGAAUGCCGGUGACAGCCAAGAGGGAGAUUUGUGCCUCCUGGAAAUCCUCAAGGUGCUCGUCGUCGGUGUCGGCGGACUGUAUGUAGAACAGAUGUUUGCAGCGAUGGCCCCGCGCAAACUUCUCGUCGCAAUUGAAGCACAGACCCUUAGCGUGCCGUUCAUCCAUCUCGACCAGCAUGGGUCUUUUGAAGACGAGUGCGGGCGAGGGGCUAGAGGGGUCUGGUAAGGCCGGAUUAGGUGCACCCAUAGGCCGGGGUGGACGGCUGGUCCGUAUAGUGGGGGCUGCGGCGCUGGUGAAAGUAUUGAGGUGCUCAAAGGAGAUUGCUAAGUCCAUUGGCCGGAUCCAAAGUCGCUGGUUUCAGCAACUCGAGCUGAGUUUUCAUGGGCUCGCCCAAGUUGUUGCUGAAGAUAUCCCUCUCAUCAUCGUCGGCAAUGGGGCGCACCCGAGAGAGAUUCUCUAGGAAGCGCUUGGAAUAUUCUGCCAUGGCGCCGGAGCGACGGGUCGAGAUAAGCUCGCCAAAGGGGUUGGCCCGUGUUGGCGGACUGAAAUGGUUGGCGAUCAGCUUUUGAAACUCAGUCCAGGACGGCCGCUGGCCCAACUUUUUCUCAAGGUGGCCAUACCAUAGUGCGGCAACAAGGGUGAGGUGGUAGGAGGCAAACCAAGUUUUAUCGGCCUCCGACGUCCGUUGGACCAGUAAUAACAGGUUGCAACGUGUCAACCAGGGUCGUGGAUAGCUGGACCCGUCAUAGAGGGGAAGUCGAUCUUGUAGAGGCGCGGCGCCCGAUCUGGUGGUUCGGUCAUGACGGUCGGGGCUGCGGCAUGGGACGGCUCGGGUGGCCGCAGGAGGCCGAUGCAGCCUAGUUGAGUCGUGCCCUUCCCUUCAAGCCGGAGGAUGGCCAGAUUCUGCAAGCACUGCUGCUGGGAGGCAUCGGCGAACUGUCCUUGGAGCUCCUUGAGUGUGUCAGCGAUCGAUUUGAGGGUAGCGCGGUCCACUGCGCGCUCCGUCCGUGCGGUGUGGUUUUCUCCUCAGAGAGGCUGUUCAGCGUGGCUACCACGGCCUCAUGAUCCUCGUGUCGUUUGAGCACGAGGUCUUCUAGGGUUUGCGGCAAGGGCGCCGGCUACGGAAGCGGUGGAGGCGGCGGAGACAUCACCGCCUCGAUCGACGAAGAAUCUCAUACCAAGUUGUCACGGGUUGGUGGGUUGGAACGGAGGUUGUAGUCGUGGGAGACAGGAGGCCGAGGGCGAGUCCCUCGCCGGCCUAUCGCUGGAGAAGGGGGUGAGGAGAGGCGCCGAGGCGCAAGAGCAAGGGGUGAGAGGUUAGAUUGUUUUGUGCUUAACUUUAUUGAUCCCCCAAAGCUGGCUAUAUAAAGCCUGAUUACAAGACUAGACUCCUAUUUUAAUUGGGAGUUGGCAGGGUAACCUUCUAUGGGAUUAAACCUUUCGAACUUGCCCAGACUCCUAAUCUAAUACAACUUCUGUAAUUACAAUAUACCAUAGCUUAGGCUGGUGCAGGCCCAUCCCGCGUGGGUCGUCGCCUAUAGGGCUGACCCCACAUGACAUGCAACUACGAGGUUAUUAAAUGGUUUAUUACUAUGCUACUGCCAUGCCUCACACUAUUUUUUAUGAUGAUGCAUUUAUUCUUUUUUGGAGAAUUAAAGUUGUGUUUUCAAUGACGUGUGUCGUAUUUUGAUGUGCUAAAAUAUGACGAAGCUACUGAAUUUAUCGUUUAACAUUCAAGAAAACUUAUGCAUGUAUGUCUUGGGUUGACAGGGAACAAACUAUCCCCCGUGAUUUUUAGCUUCGAUGUGCCCUCGCCUUCUGUAAGUAGCAUCUCUAUCCCUGUCAAUUAUUUUUCAUAAAGAUCUCAACGUAUACACAAGGCACAAUGAAUUAUCUUGCUUCUUUCCUGAAGCAUGUACUAGAUCACUUUCUACUUUCAUGCUUCCGGUGGAUAGAUUAUAAACUUUGCAUGCUGAUUGGUAAAGAAAAUAGCUCAAGCAAUUUCAAAGUGAUUUGUUGCUUGGUGCCGUCUAACUCUGAACUUUAUUCUCAUUUUCCUUUGUUACUGAAGAUUAUUUCCCACACACACGCAACUGUGAAGGUAUAUGUGCUUUUUGUUUCUGGACAAGCCAUAUACAUGUUUGACUGCUAAUCAUGAUGCCCUGCUUCCUUCUUUGCUGAAAUUUUACAACAGUGCCUCUACUAACCUCAUUUCAAUUGAUGAGUAGACACCUUCUAUUUGUUUUUAUGUGUAUUGCAUAGCAUAGGAUUUUCCUCCCCUCGAGCUUUCCAGUUCAUAGAACUGAAUCAACAUUACUAAGAAAGGGAACUUCAGAAAGAUUUGCCUGUUCGUGAUAGAAACAAAACUGAAGAUUACACCCUUCUGGUUAGAUAUGGGUACUCCAAAUCAGAAGACACCUUCUUUUUUCUGGUGAAAUUGCUUCCAAAAUCUUGAUUACAUUCAUAUCACAUAUACCUUCAUGAUGUGUUGAUUAAAGGUGAAAAGAAACAUUUCAUGAUAGUGAUAGAUGACUCCACUAUAUAUUCUGUUAUAUACUAAGAUGAGGCUCUACGCUACUUUAAAAUCAAUAAGGUAGAAGUUGAGAACCAACUUGAAAAGAAAACUAAAUGAGUCCAGUUAGAUCGUGGUGGAGAGUAUUUCUCUAAUGAGUUUGUUUCUUUCUGUGCAAAACAUGGUACUAUUCAUGAGAGGACGUCUCCCUAUUCACCACCGUUAAAUUUAGUUGUCGAAUAAAAAAAUCAUACUCUAACAGAUUUGGUUAACGUCAUGUUAGAUACAUCGGGUUUAUCCAAGGCAUGGUAAGGGGAGCCUAUAUUAACUUCAUGUCAUGUCGUGAAUAAGGUUUCGAUAAAUGAUAAUGAGUUCCCUCCCUAUGAGCAGUGGCCGAAGGGAAGGAUGACACUCUCCUACUUAUGUAUUUGGGGUUGUUUGGCGAAAGUCAAUGUGUUAAUCCUCAAAAAGCAUAAGCAUAGAUCAAAGACCGUAGACUGCGUUAAUUUGGGCUACACUAAGAGUAGUGUGAGCUAUAGAUUUCUGAUAGUGAAAUCUGAGGUACCUGACAUGAAGGUCGGUACAAUCAUGGAGUGUAAGGAUGCUACAUUUUUUGAGGAUACUUUUUCCAUGAAAGAUAUACAAAGCACUUUUAGAUAGGAAUAUGAGGAGACUCAGGAGCCCACCAUUCCUAUGAAAUAUUAUGGACAAACACAUAUGAAAAUCCCGAGGUGGAUGGACCCUUGGUAGGGGCAAUAGGCAAAGACUGCAAAGACCUUUGGUGAUGAUUUCUUCAUGUAUUAUGGAUGAUAAUCCCACCUCUAUUUCAGAAGCGUAUGCAUCUCCAGAUGCUGACUACUCGAAAGGUGCGGUGUGGUGUAAGAUGGAUUCCAUCAUGGCUAAUAGGACAUGGGAAAUUAUUGAACUUUCUUAUAUUCACAAACUAUUGGGAUCUAAUAAGCUUAGGCCCAACGGUACAGUUGAAAAGUACAAGACUAGGCUUGUGGCCAAGGUUUAUGCUCAAAUAGAAGAAGAAGACUCUUCGAUACUUAUUCACUUGUGGACAGACUGGCCACCAUUUGAGUAUUACUCUCAUUGGUGGCCUUGCAUGGUCUUUUCGUCCACCAGAUGGGUAUUAAGACGGCUUUCCUGAACAAAGAGCUAGACGAGAAAAUCUACAUGCAACAACUAGAUGGCUUGGUAAUAGAUGGUCAUGAAGGAAAGUUGCGUAAGUUGCUGAAAUAUUUAUAUGGCCUAAGACAACCACCUAAUCAGUGGCGUGAGAUGUUUAAUACAACUGUGACAUCUAUUGGCUUCGUUGUUAGUGAAGCUGGAAAAUGUGUAUACUGUUGCCAUAGUGGGGGUGAAGGAGAUAUAGUGUGCUUGUAUGUUGAUGACAUACUGAUAUUUGGAACCAACCUCAAAGUGAUUGAGGAUGUAAAGUCAUUCUUAUCUAAGAACUUUGAGAUGAAGGACCUUAGGGUGGUUGAUGUUAUCUUGAACAUCAAGCUAUUGAGAGAUGAUGAGGGUGGAAUUACACUUCUGCAAUUCCACUAUGUUGAGAAUAUUUUGAGGCAUUUUGGAUAUUCGGACUACAAAAUUUCUCAAACAUCAUAUGAUCCCGGUGUGCUCAUUCGAAAGUCCGAAGGCGCAACUAAAGAUCAAUUGGGAUACUCUCAAAUUAUUGUAUUACUUAUGUAUCUAGCGACUGCAACAACCUGACAUUGCUUUUCCUAUGAGAAAACUUAGUCACUUUGUUGCUAAUCUAGGUGAUGUACAUUGGCAUGUUGUUGGAAGAAUUAUGAUUUAUCUUAAAGGUACUAUGAACUUUGGACUUCACUAUACUAGAUACCCGUCGGUACUUGAAGGGUAUAGUGAUGUGAAUUAGAUCUCUCGUGCUAAUGAGAUGAUGGCCACGACUGGGUAUAUGUUUACUCUUGGAGGUGGUGUUGUUUUCUUGAAGUCUUGCAAGCAAACCAUCUGAACGAGAUCAACAAUGGAAGCAGAACUAACAACAUUAGACAUGUCUGCUGUCGAAGCAUAAUGACUUCGAGAUCUUUUGAUGAAUUUGAAAGUGGUUGAGAGGCCAAUUCCGAUUAUCUUGAUGAACUAUGUCAAUCGGAUAAUUAUUGUCAAAGUAGAGUGUUCACAGGACAACAUGAAGUCCAACAAACAUAUAAGAAUAGGAUGAAGGUUGUGAGACGUUUAUGAAACUCCGGAGUGAUAGCGUUGGAUUAUAUCCAAAGGAUCUGGCAGGUCACCUUACUAAAGGGCUAUAUCGUGUUGUGAUAGAUAAGACAUCGAGGGAGAUGAUUAUGUGGCCCACAUGAGUUGCCAUGGCGGUAGCCUAAUCUAUGUGAUCGAAGAUCCCGUGAAGCAAGACCAACACUCUCAAAUACUAGUUGGUAGGAUGACUACUAUCUUAGUGUAUUCGAAAGCUCAUAUAAGCAAGAUGCUAUCCACAGAGCGAUUUUUGGAGGAAUACACAUAUAUGAGCCCGAGUGCUGGUCACAAUCUAUGAGACUGAGGUGAUCUCUAGAAAUCUCAUGAACAGGUAAGGAGUGUGACUAAUAUGCUCCACCUCAGGGGUCAUCCUUCGACAACCUAGUACUAUUAACACAUGUGGUAAAGCUUCUUUAUUUGAAACUGACAAUUGAAGGCAUAGUCCAUAGUUCAGUUGUGAAGGAGUGUAGCUGCUUGCUCUAGGUAAAGUUCAACCUUAACAUGUUUUCACUGAAAUACUCGUAUAUCAAAAUAGUGAUUGGAACAUAAUGGGCCCUCGAAAUCUGGUGGGGGAUUGUUGAAAUCUGGGGUGGGCAUUAGGCCCAUUCAACAGUUUCUGAAAAUCUCUAAAGGCCCAUGUAGGUGUCAUGACAAGGGAGUGGUGGGAAGUGUAGUCCCAUCCCACUAGAUAGAUAGGAGUUGGACCUUCUUAUAAGGGAUUCAUUUCCACAUGUUAUUUGAGCUUGAGAAGAGAAGUGACCCUCGUGCACUCCUCCAUCGCCGCCCGCCUUGCCACACCUCAUUAUGACGCAUUGUGGGUUACGAGAAUGAGCCGGGUCAAGAAUACAUACGCGUUUAUUUUUUCCGGUCACAAAUGGACAGUCCCAAAUAGAAGAGCCACAAUCUAAGAUGUCGGAUCGUGGGCUAUUGCCGACUCGGACGUGGAUCCAGCACACAUCUCUCCAUCCGGGCGUGCAUAUAUAUAUGAGGCGUCGGCCAACCCUAGCCGCCAUGAUAACAUAUCACAUCUGCUCCACGCGCACCGCCCCUGUUGUUCCUUUUUCUACUACUGUCGCCGACGACUCCAUCAUGUUAAUGGCGUAUAUGGUUGAUGGGAGAGCGGGCCUUCAAAACCCCGCCUCUCCGGAUCCUACACUAUACUCCCUAAUUUUAGAGCUUUCCCCUUUGGUUGAGGUAUGCAAUUCUAAGCCUUGAUUUUGACUCGAUCAACCCUUGGUUGUGGCAAUGAAAUCUCUAACUUCUUUACGCUCCCCAUUUUAAAGCCCACACAUUCAAGUGAGGUCAUUAAUUUGAAUUGGAUAUACAAUUGAUUGGGUCGUUGACCCGGGCUUGAUGGUGUGAUCUCUCUAGAAUGGGUCCCUUGAUAAGUACAUAGGUGGUGUGGCCUUGGUUGAUAAAACGGAAGUGUCACCCAUGACACAUUUAGCAUCAGCAUAACAGACGCAUCCAACAAUAUAAGUAAUUUCCCUUUGUAUUUGUAUUAAUUAAAAGACGUCCUUCAGUCACAUGGUCAAGAAAGAUGCAUCCAAAAACCACAAUAAAAAAAGUAAAAUGAUACAUUCAGGAACGGUUCGGUACGAUUUGGUCAUACCAAACAUUCCUCCCACCAAUCACUUCCUUGAUUUCACCUUCGGCCCACUGUUCCCCUAAUCUCUGACCAUAAGCUCACACAUCCAUCCAUAACCAUGAUUUCGCAAACUAUGUCAGUAGGAAUAGCAUAUCUGAUAUAAAAAACACUACAUUGUAUCCCCCACACGCCAAACCAAAUACCAUGUAAAUAAUUUUCACAACUCUAAAAAUAUUACCACUUAAAAAUAAAAACAGUACAAACCGAAGAACAUAAGCGGCACGGCAAAGCGCGAGAUGCCCUUCUAAUAAUUAUCAAAUAUGGAAGUUCACAGAAGUUCAAUUACUAACUAGACUCGAUAAUCUCUCCUAAAAGCAUCUUAUCACAAUUAUAACAGGAAAGUCGAGAGAGGUUUAAUAUGAAAGUUUAGAGAAGUUCAGGCAAUGCUUGUUUCCAAAAUUCCAAGAAUUAUGUUUUACAUUUGUGAAGAAUAGAUAUGGUAUUGGUGAUUCUGAGCAUCCAAAAGGUGAUUACGAUAUCCGCUACCAAAUUGUAGGAUGUGCUGUUAGUAUCAGCUCCUGACGUUCUUUCAUUGUAGUAAAAUAACAAUGAUGCGUCUAGGCAACAUCAACUAGUUACUGCACUUUGGCCAGCAACAGUAUAAUACCAUAAGAAAUUUCCUAAGGCCUCAAUUGGAAUUGUAGGAUGUGCUGUUAGUAUCAGCUCCUGACAUUCUUUCAUUGUAGUAAAAUAACAAUGAUGCGUCCAAGAAUUAUGUUUGCAUAGCAUAGGAAUUUCCUCCCUUUGAGCUUUCCAGUUCAGAGAACUGAAUUUGACACUCCAAAUCAGAAGACACCAAUCAACAUUACUAAGAAAGGGAACUUCAGAAAUAUUUUCCUAUGUAUUUGUAUUAACUAAAAGACGUCCUUGAGUCACAUAGUCAAAAAAGAUCCAUCCAAACACCACAACAACAAAAAAAGGAAAAUGAUACACUCACGAACGAUUCGCUAUGAUUUGCUCAUACCAAACAUUUUUCCCACCAGUCAAUUCUUUGAUUUUCAUCGUUGGCCCACUCUUCCAUUAAUCUCAGACCAUAAACUGACACAUUCAUUCAUAACCAUGACUCCAUAAACUAUAUCCGUAGGAAUAACAUAUCGGAUAAGAAAAACACAUUUCAUUGUAUCCCCCACACGCCAAACCAACUAGCACGUAAAUAAUUUUCACAACUCUAAAAAUAUUACCACGUAAAAAUAAAAAUAGUACAACCCAAAGAACAUUAGCAGAGCCGCAAAGUGCGACAUGCCCUUCUAGUAAUUAUCAAAUAUGGAAGUUCAGAGAAGAUCAAUUACUAACUAAAUAAACUUGAUAAUCUCUCCUAGAAAUAUACUAGCGUCUCAUCAUAAUUAUCAACAGGAAAGUACAGAGAGGUUUAAUAUGAAAGUUCAGAGAAGUUCAGGCAACCGCUUGUUUCCAAAAUUCCAAGAAUUAUGUUUUACAUUUGUGAAGAAUUGAUGUGCUAUUGGUAAUUCUGAGCAUCCAAAAGGUGAUUACCAUAUCCGCUACCAAAUUGUAGGAUGUGCUCCUAGUAUCAGCUCCUGAUGUUCUUUCAUUGUAGUAAAAUAACAGUUCAAGAAUUAUUAUGCGUCUAGCCGUCUAGGCAACAUAAAGUGAUUACUGGAGUUUGGCCAGCAACAGCAUAAUACCAUAAGAAAUUUCCUAAGGCCUCAAUUGACAUCCCAAUUCCAAUAGCAGGCUAUAUAUAUCAAGAGGAAGAACAGAUGUCUUGGAUUACAGUUAACCGAGAACAGGCUGAUCAAGAAAUAUUGCAGUAGCAAAGAUCAACAAAGAUCGCACAUCAAAUCCAUGUCGCUCCAAUGAUUCCUGGACGAGCGGAAAAAUAAAUCGAACGAGCGCGACGAUCAACCGACCUUGCAGCUUGCACCCCGCAUUCACGCGUCAUCCCCAAUGCCCGCCUCGUCGCUGACCGCCGUACUCGACCGGUCGUCAGAGAGGCUGCAGCGCUCCAGGCCCUGCACUGCCGCGCGGUCGAACCCCGUCUGGUCGAAGAAGUACCGGCCGGCCUCCGGUGUGCCACAUCAGGCCCAGGCACAGCACCGCCUCGGCGUCCACCCCUGUCUUCUUCUUGUCGUCGCCGAAAACCCUGGGGUCGGAAAAGAGGAGGCCAGUGCGCGGCAGCACCCACGGGCCCGGCCCGGCGUCGUUGUCCAGGGCCGGCGUCUUCUCGCCGUAGUCCGUGCGCUCGAAGAAGGGGUUCGCGGUGGACCUCUCCGACGGGUCCGCCUCCGCGUCACCGAAGGCACCUGCCUUCUCGUCGCAGGGCACGCGGCGGCGGACGAUGGGCCGUUCCAGGCGCAGCACCGCCUCGGCGUCCACCCCUGUCUUCUUGCCGUAGUCCGUGCGCUCGAAGAAGUGGUCCGCGGUGGACCUCUCCGACGGUUCCGCCUCCGCGUCGCCGAAGGCACCGGGCACCCUGGGGCGGCGCAGCAGCGGAAGAAGCACGGGCGCCGCCGCAGCGGUGACGGUGAAGUCAUCGAGCUUGCGCUCGAAACUCACCCGGCUCGGGCGCGGUAGCCCAGCAACACGACGCGGCGGCGGCGGUGGCAUCGGCGGAUGCAUUUCUCUACUCUCCCGUCUCUCUCUCUCGCUUCGCUCCGAGGAAUUGCGGCUGGUGGCGUCUGCGAUUGCGGUGGCCGAGCGGUGAGCAAAGAGGAGGAGGAGGAGGACGGACCGGGAAGAUUGAUUUGGGGGGGGGGGGAAAUCCGUUGGUUUGACCUGGCGGUUAAGGUCCACCUUGCCACGCUGGAAGGAACCCCGCCGGAAAAAAUAAUAUGAACUAGGCUUGCCUACUCCAGUUCCGGUGCUCCUCACCGUCAAUUCUUCAUCGAACGCUUUGCAAGAUAUUUCUUUCGAGCGUCUCUUUUCUAACGAAAACAAAUCACUAAAGUCAUGGGUUGGUUUGAGGACCGAAAGUCAUGAAAUGUCAUGGUUUCAUCCCAAAGGUAUGGGUUGGUACCAUCCUUAUGUUCAGUUGACAAUAAAAAAUGUCAUGGGUUGGUCUCGUCCCGAUGUUUAGUUGGAGAGAUGCAAUGAGAAGAAUCUGAUGUCACUCACCUCUUCGAUGUAAAUGAUGAGAUUACAUCUCUAAACAAAUAGAGUUCUUUGCAUUUGACAAACCUAUAAUUUAAAUUUUCAACAACAUUUUCUUUCUAUUUUUAACACAUGCAAAUAAAAAUAUAUGAUCAUGAGUACAUACCAAAUAUUUACAAAAAAUAAUCACGAAAAUGAAAAAAUAACCACGAAAAAAAUAAUCAUGAAAAUGAAAAAAAAUAACCACGAAAACUUUUGUUCGGGUGCGGGGGUGAGCACGGUGAGAAUUGCUUGGUUAUUUCUUUUUUUCUUUGCUUUCAUGGACGAAUGACGAGUCGAUUCCUCCAAAUCGACGGAAUCACUUGGUGAAGCAUCUGCAGGGAAUAUUCCCUGCAUGCGGAUGACUCAAUUUCGGUUCCUAACCCAACUAAACACGAGAACGAAUGUAGGGAUGGAAACAACCCGUCCGAUUCCACUUCGUCCUGAAACCAAACACACCCUAAACUCCCGUAUUCUCAUCCUCCCGUAUGUAUUCUCUUCAUCCCCUUUCUCUUUCCCUUCCGACAGCCGACGCGGCGGAGAAAGCCAAUAAACCACCAGCUGCCGCCCUAUCGUCUCGAUCUCGUUCUACUCUUGUCGACUUCCCUUCUCCUUCACCCCACCGGCAACUUUCUCCCCAACAACAUGUCGUGGUAGCACGAGCUCGGGAUUGAAUCGAAUGGAACAGUCAGUCAAGAGGAGGUGCGUGUUGCGGUGGUGUUGCUGCCUUUGAAGACCAUGACGACGGCACGACGGAGGCCGCGACGCACUAGGAGGACGACCGCCAUCCAACGGCUCUUUCACGCGCGUUGCUCCGUCGCCAGGGACCCGGCACCAUGCCCAUGCCCGGCAAGGUCGCCCUCCUGCGCGCUAUGACACGUACGUUAACUCAUCUUUGUAUCCUCGUCCUCUCUACUAUUUUGUACGUCGUCAUUUGAGCUACCUAUAUGUAGCUACUAGUACUAGAGCACACAUGCACAAAAAGAAAUCGCAGAUUAAUUUGAUUCAUGUUGUGUGUGAUCUGUUAAAAGUUGAAAUUUUGUUGUGCAAAUUUCUAGAUCGAAACUUGUUUUACCAUGUCCUAGAUGCUUAGCUACCUGAGUUUAGUUUUUACAUGUUGAGUGCAUGUAAUUAGAUUUUUUAUGAAGAUGUUUAUUUUGCGCCAAGAACACGGGCACACGAAUAUUCUGGGUUUUGGAUUAGGCGCCAACACUGCUUUGCUAACAUAGCAAGGUUAAAGCUAUGUAGGUCCCUAAAACCGAGUCCUCCCAUCCUCUUUGGAACACACAUCUUCCACCACGCCAUCCAAUGCAUUUUCUUUUUCAGCUCAUCAUCUCCCCACCAGAAACCCACAAUUUCAUCCGUUAUAGCCUUGCAAAUGUUCAUCGAAAGAUUAAAAUCUGACAUGGCAUAAGAGGGAAUUGCUUGUGCCACUGCUUUGAUCAAAAUCUCUUUUCCUCCCAAAGAUAGAAGUUUUUCUUUCCAUCCCUUUAGUUUCUGGCAUACUCGCCGGAAGUCGCUUAGACGCCUGCCCCACGAUGGGCGCCAACUGUCGUGGGUAUAAGUCUGACAGUAGAUGAGUAAGGUACGAAAGGAUGGGCAGAGCCUUAGCUACGGCGAGGAUGUAUGAGUUCAGGCCCCUCUACGGUGGAGGUAAAAGCCCUACGUCUCAGUGCUCUCGGGAGCUUAGUGUCGACUGGAAUAUGGGGUUACAAAAAUGCCAACCCCUGCACCAGUGGGGAAGGGCGGCUUAUAUAGAGUGCGCUGCCCUUCACAACGGUCCGGUGGACAGGGGUGGAGUAGUGGCGAAUAAAUGCCUACGUUACAGGUAACGUAUGCCUUAAAUGCUAAUAAUGGUGUACGAAAACGUAUGACCGUUGCCCUCCAGGGAGGUUACGAUGUACAGAAUGGAAUCCAGUCGGUACGAUUAAUACGCUCCGAAUGCUCGUCACCGACUGGAUGAUGGGGGAGUCGUCACCCAAUGGAUGAGGGAAGGUCCACAGUUCAGUCGGAACUAUCUAAGGGCCUUGUCCUUUAUGAAGGGUAGUCCUUGGGUAGGACCUAUAGGGCAGGCCUAUUACCCUACCCUGGGACUAUAACCCCAUCAUUAGUCCCCGAAUGGGUCGGGGUUGGAACGACGAAGUGAUGCGUGGAGUACGGAUCCGACUGGUAUGGAUGUGACUUUGGCGUUGUUUGCCUCUAUCCAUUUUAUCCUCUCGACCAGUGAUCCGAGUGAAUAUAUCCGUGAAACGAACCGUCAGGGACCGAGUGCUUCCGCGGAAUCUUUCGAUGUGACCAGUCAACUGACAGCGGUGGAUUUUCUGGGAUCCUCAAAUUUUGGUUGCCGCGCGCUCAGCGGGGAUGACGACAUCGUCAUCGAGUAGUUUCUGCCGCCUCGAUUACCGCGCCUUUAUCUUCUCCACUAAUAUCAAAGCGGCCGGUCGGGGGAUAAGAUUUCGGGGCCACCUGUUAGUGACCCAGUCGGAAGCUUAUUUAAACCUCUCUAGCGGGGGUUUCUCGUUGCGCUGCCCUGGUUACUCGCACUCGCCUCGCUCCUCCCGUAGCUCCCUGCGCGCUCCAAGCCUCCUCCUUCCUCUCCUCCUCUGCGGAUCUCUGUCUCCACCAUGACGAAGGGGCAGACGAGCAAGCUCGAGUCGCAGAAGAAGAAGAAGAAGAAGGCGGCACCUGCUCAGCGGCAACAGCGGGCACUGCCGGCGGGUUGGAUCCAGGGGGAUUUCCUCCCCUUCACGGUGACGACGGACGACCUGCUGGAGCUGGUGGAGCAAGGCAUGGUUGCCAACAAGUCGUGGAGGCUGCCGGCGGAGGGCGAGACGAAGCCGGCGCCGCAGGAGGGGGAGCGCGUCUUGCUGCUCAGCCACGUGUACAGGGGCUUCUCUCUGCCUCCUCACCCCUUCUUCAGAUGUAUUAUGAACCACUUCGGGGCGCAGCUCCAUCAUUUUCCUCCAAACGCGAUAGCCCAUCUCGCCGCAUUCGUCACCCUUUGCGAGUGUUUUAUCGGAUGUCCCCCCCCCAUUGGGGGCUCUUUAAGUACAUCUUCUCCGCUAGGUCCCAGACUGUCAAAAAGCUUAGCCAGUCGGACGAUAAAACUCAUCUCCUCCAGCUGUGCGGCGGCUUAGGCUUCCAAAAGAAAACGAAGAGUAGCUACCCCCCGCUCCAGUUGUCCGAGUCAGUUAGGAACUGGCACUCGACCUGGUUCUACUGCCAAGACAUAGCUUGUCCGAAUGUCGCGACUGGGUUGCCACCCUUUAGCCUUGACCGUCCGGCCCAUCCCAGGCAGCUUGCGCUCACAAAGGUGGAGAAGACCCAGAUCCAACCUCUGGUCGACGCACUGAUUGUUGUCGUCCGCAAGGGGGUCACCGGCACGGAUCUGCUGGAGACUUUCCUGGGUCGGCGCAUCCAGCCGGUGCAAUCCCGACACCACGCCAUGUGGCACUACGCGGGGCCUGAGGACUCCACUCGGACUCAUCCAGAAUGCGUAACUGGGGAGGUUGUGACGGCGUGGGUCCGCGGCAUCACAGGCGCCUGCGAUAACCCCCAAGGAGCUCGGCGAGUGAAGCCCUUCCGCGCUGACAAUCCUCCUCCGAACGAGGUGAGCACAUCUUGUCGAGUGCUUUCAAUCUUCUUAGAUUUAUCGCUUUUUCUUGCUCCACCACCUGACGUCUGAUGUUGUCGACUGUAUUUCGUGCAGGCGUGGACCAACUGGCAUUCUCCCGUCUCGAACGGGAAUCCAGCUGAGGAAGAGGAGGGCAGCCAGGAGGGCAGCGUGGACAGCGCCGAGUACAUCUUCGGCAGUGGGGAGACGGAGGAGGAGACCAAAGAGGAGGAGGGGGAGGCUGGGGAGCAAAGCUCGCCACCUCCACCAUCAGAGCCUCGAGCCAAGCGCCUCACGAACCUGCGACUCUGUCGGCUCCUCCAGCAGCUCCGAGUGCUCCGCCAGCUCCUCCCGUGGCUCCGAGUGCUCGGAGCAUGAAGAGGACCAGGGACGCUGCUGCCGAGUCCACAGACCAACCGUCCAAGGUGGCCAAACCGAGUGGGUCCAAGCCUCGGAAAGCUUUGCCUCGGAUGAGGAUCGCUGUUCCAGUUGCCUCAGCGUAAGUGUCUUGUUCUCCUAUCUUCUUUUAGUAUUUGAUUAAACUCAUGUUUAUCGGUCGAGUGGAUUUUACUCGACAGAGCUGCUACCUCCGCCACCUCUCUGCCAUGCCAGGACAAUUAUCCCAUGGAUACGGAUAACGCUGCCACAUCCCAGCAAGGUACGUUGUGACGACUCCGAGAGUUCGCAUUAUUGUUUCACGAGUGCUGUCUUUAACCUUGCCCUUUUUCUGUAAUCUCAUGUUGUUCAGUCGGGCUUCCUUCGGAGGUGAUUCAUCUGGAGGAGGACGACCCGAAGGGGUCAGGGCAAACUUUGGCGCCUGUCCUUGAGGUUGUUCCAUCUGCUGCUGCUCCCACCAUGGACGCGCCGCCGACCAAGACGAUGCUGUCGACUGAGGCGGUGCCCCUCGCGGCGGAACCGACUGGAGCAGGACUUGGGAUGCCCAAGGAGUCUCCUGUCGUGCCGGGUCCGUCGACCGUCCAGUACGACGCCCGACACCUCCGGAAGACCAAGUGGGAGCCGCCAAGGAGGCUAUGGUGCAGGUGGAGUUGAUGGUGGGUGACGCCAAGGGAGCGUACAACUCCAUCACAUCUUUGUACAAGAGAAGCUUGGAGCUCCGGGACGAUAUCCGAGUAAGUGCGCUAGUAAGUGUUUACUUUCCUCUUGUAACCCACUGGGGGUUUAAGCGAUAUACUCGGAUACAGUAGGAUUAUUUUGCAGUGGGUUCACUCCGAGUGAACCCAGUGGGUGUAGUCCCCGAGACUUCUGUCGAGUGCUUGCACCGGCAGUUGUCUUUAUAUGCAUUUUCCGUGACUUGAUCGGAUCAGAGCUGAUCUGUCUGAAUGGUACCAGUGGGGGCACUCCGAGUGCACCCACUAGAUGUAGUCCCUGAGAGUAGUUUUACUCAGGUCGGGUAAUAGUAGUCUCAUAGGCUUGUCUGUUUGUCAUGUAGCUCAAUAGGGCCAACCUGUUCGAGCUUCAUGCCAGUGGGGUCACUCUUAGUGAACCCACUUGGUGUAGUCCCCGAGACCGUUGUCGACUGCUUGCGUCGGCAGGGGUCUGAAGAACUUUGAGCUUUUAUUGUUUUCCUUGUUGAAUGUGUCUGAUCUUUCCUUUGCGCUGAUUUGGCAGAAGACUUGCGAAAUGGGAUCCUCGUACAAUGCUCUGAAGGCUGAAAAGAUUCAGCUUGCUGCGGAAUUGGAGGCGGCUGUGAAUGACUUGGCUGGUGUGAAGGGGGCUCUUGCUGACCGAGAGAAGUCUUUGGAGGAGUCCCGGGAGACCAACAAGGCAUUGGUGGCCGAAAUUGAGAAAAUGGGCAAGCAAAGAACUGAACUGAUGGGUCAGAUGAAGUUGAUGAACAGUCGGUGCAUUUCGCAGGAGAAGUACGUCAGCGACUGGGCAAGGAAGAUGAUUGCACUUCUCGGUGGUAAGUUUUUUGCCGAGUGCUUCUUGACUUUGUAGUUCAUUCUGCGCUUACUUUUUGCUCGUCUUGUCGUUGCAGAUUUUUGUCUGGGCGCUGAGGCUAAAGCAGCUGACAUUGAGCGGUCGGUUAUUCUAAACGUUCCACUCGACGAUGAAGCCAAUCGGGACUUGCUCCGAGCGCAUAUUCGCCUUGGCAGAGUGGGACCUUUCAUUGGCCGCCUGAGAGAAGUCAUCGGCCGGAUCGACAAGGAGCUGUGGCCCGAAGAUGAUUCCCGACGAGAAAUAUAAGGGUUGAUGACUCGGCUGGAGGACGUCCCGAACAGAGUGCAGGCAUGGAAGAAGUCUGCCGCUCGUUGUGGUGCGGACGUGGCACUAUCGCUGGUCCGAGUGCACUGCAAGGAAGCUCGCGAAGAAAAGCUGAAGGCGUUGCAGGUCGCCAACACCAAGAAGCUUCGAUUCGAAGAUUUCAUGGAGACCUUCCUCGAGACAGCCACACGCAUCGCAGACGGGAUCGACCUUGAUACCUUUGUGGAGCCUGCCAGACCCGGUGCUAGUCCUGGUGACGCUUGAAAAACUUUACCUCGGUAUGCCGAGUGCUAUCUGUACCAAACUUUGGCCACUGCUGUUGGCCGUCACAUUCGUGGUUCGAUGUGGGUAAGCUUGACCCACACCGAGCCGACUAUCGUAGAUCCAACUUUGAAUUCGAAUCGAAUAUUUUGCUCUUCUUUCGCCAAAAAAAAAUUGACACGAUUUUGGCUCGUGGUUUUUGUUUGGUGUUUCUUGGUGAAGCCUAUGGCAAACAUGCGGAGCAUGUAGUUGCCAGUUGUCUUCACAUCCACAUGAGCCUCAAUGAGGGUCUGUCAAGUCUCCGAGUGCGCACUCGGAGCGAGCUUUUACUUAGGUGACUCUUCGUCGCGGCUAAGUCUCCGAGUGCGACUUUUAGUGCACACUCGGAGCGAGUUGUUACUCAUGUAGUUGUCAGUUGUCUUCACAUCCACAUGAGUCUCAAUGAGAGUCUGCUAAGCUUCUCAGUGGAUCUCUAGGAUACACUCGAAGGAAGCUUUUUACUUAGGCGAUUCUGGAUCGCAGCUAAGUCCUCGAGCGCGACUGUAAGGUCGUGCUCGGAGCGAGUUGCUAUUCAUGUAGUUGUCAGUUGUCUUCACAUCCACAUGAGCUUCCAUGAGGAUCUGCUAAGCCUCCGAGUGGAUCUCUAGGAUACACUCGAAGGAAGCUUUUUACUUAGGCGAUUCUUGAUCGCAGCUAAGUCCCCGAGUGCGACUUUUAGUGCACACUCGGAGAGAGUUUGUACUUAGGUGAUUCUGGACCAUGGCUAAGUCCCUGAGUGCGACUUUUAGUACGCACUUGGAGCGAAUUUUUUACUUUUUAGACCGGAGUCUGCCAACGCGGAAGAAUUUUGAACUUGCAAGAAAUCAAUCUGCUUUGUAUUACUUCAAUGAUACUUGUUCUUUACAUUGCCUCCGUCGGCGGUCACGUGUAGAAGCGCUUCAGGAGAUCUCCGUUCCAUGAUCGCGGCUCGUCCGUUUCCCUGUCGAGAUUGUAGAGUCGAUAUGCUCCGUUGUUCAGCACCUUGGAGAUGAUGAAGGGUCCUUCCCAAGCGAGAGCCAACUUGUGAGGUCUCUGCUGAUCCACUCGGAGCACCAGGUCGCCUGCUAGGAAUGUGCGACUCCUGACGUGUCGUGCGUGAAAACGCCGUAUAUCUUGUUGAUAAAUCGUUGAGCGAGUCAGUGCCAUCUCGCGCUCUUCUUCUAGUAGAUCCACUCCAUCUUGCCUGGCUUGCUCUGCUUCGGCUUCGGAGAAGAGUUUGACUCGUGGAGAGUUGUGAAGCAAGUCACUCGGAAGGACUGCCUCUGCUCCAUAAACAAGGAAGAACGGGGAUCGCCUUGUAGAUCUAUUUGGAGUUGUGCGGAGGCCCAACAACACCGAAGGCAGCUCGGUGACCCAUGCGCCGGCAGCAUGUCCAACUUCUCGCAGGAGUCGAGGCUUCAACCCUUGAAGAAUAAGUCCAUUCGCCCGCUCUGCUUGCCCGUUUGUUUGGGGAUGCGCCACAGAUGCAAAAUCCACUCGGAUACCUUGGCCUGUGCAAAAACCUUUGAAUCUGUCCGAGUCAAAGUUUGUGCCAUUGUCAGUGAUUAUGUUGUGCGGAACCCCGAAUCUGGCGAUGAUGUCUCUGACAAACUUGAUGGCCGUAAGGGCGUCGAGCUUCUUGACGGGCUUGGCUUCAAUCCACUUGGUGAACUUGUCGACUGCUACCAAUAGAUGAGUGAAUCCCCCUUGGCCUGUUCUGAAGGGUCCGACUGUAUCUAAUCCCCACACUGCGAACGACCAAACAAGAGGGAUUGUCUUCAGCGCAGACGUUGACUUGUGGGACUUGUUCGAGUAGAACUGACAGCCUUCGCAUCAGUCGACCAUAUCUUUCGCCAUUUCAUUCGCCUGCAACCAGAAGAAACCAGCUUUGAAUGCUUUGGCGACGAUUGCUCUUGAGGAGGCAUGAUGGCCGCAGGUUCCCGGGUGAAUUUCUUCCAAGAUCAACUGUCCCUCCUCAGGGGAGAUGCACCGCUGAAGGACGCCUGAAACACUUUCCUUGUACAACUGGCCAUCAAUGACGGUGAAGGACUUCGACCUGCGGACGAUCUGCCUCGCUUGGACUUCGUCUUCCGGUAACUCUUGCCUCAGGAUGUACGCAAUGAACGGCACAAUCCAAUCGGGGAUGAGAGCAAGAAUCUCCAUGAUCAAAUCAACCACAGCGGGGACCUCGACUUCAGUCGAAUCUGUUGAGCUCUUUGGUUGUACUGGUUCCUUUGUGAAAGGAUCUUUUUUUACUGAGGGAAGGUGUAGGUGCUCGAGGCAGACAUCACUCGGGACUGGUCUCCGAGUGGAUCCAAGUUUCUCCAAUUCGUCAGCUGCUUGGUUUUUCACUCGCGGAACAUGGUGAAGUUCCAGACCUUCAAACUUGUUCUCGAGCUUCCUCACUGCGUUGCAGUAUGUAGUCAUGGUGGGGUUCCUUACAUCCCACUCCUUCAUCACUUGAUUAACCACCAAAUCCGAAUCGCCAUAAACCAUCAGGCGACGGACGCCGAGUGUGAUGGCCAUGCGCAAUCCAUAAAGGAGAGCUUCAUAUUCUGCCUCAUUGUUGGAGGAAUCGAAAUGUAUCUGCAACACAUACUUAAGUUUAUCACCUUUUGGCGAUAUGAUCACUACGCCAGCGCCGGAGCCAUUCAACAUCUUGGACCCGUCGAAGAACAUUGUCUAAUGAGCCGAGUAGAUGUGAGUCGGUUGCUGUUGCUCUACCCAUUCUGCUAUGAAGUCAGCCAGAGCUUUAGACUUUAUAGCCUUCUUGGCUUCGAACUUGAUGUCGCAGUAUAACAUCUCCAUUUCCCACUUCGCCACUCGGCCUGAUGCGUCCCGAUUGUGGAGGAUUUCCGACAACGGAGCAUCAGAAACGACAGACACCGAGUGGUCUUGGAAAUAAUGAGCCACCUUCUUCGCAGUCAUGUAGAUCCCGUAAAUAAGCUUUUGAUAAUGGGGAUACCUCUGCUUGGAAGGAGUCAGGACUUUGGAGACAUAAUAUACUGGCCGCUGAACCUUGUACACUUUGCCUUCUUCUUCGUGUUCGACUGUGAGAACAGUGCUGACGACUUGAUUUGUAGCCGCGAUGUACAGAAGAAGGGGUUCUUUACUGAGCGGGGCAGUAAGAACCGGCUGGGUGGAAAGCAGGGCUUUGAGCUCGUUGAAAGCAAUUUGGGCUUCGUCUGUCCACUCGAAAGUAUCUGAUUUCUUCAUGAGUCGGUACAGAGGUAGCGCCUUCUCGCCGAGUCGACUGAUAAACCUGCUCAAAGCCGCUAGGCAACCUAUGAGCCUUUGAACAUCAUGUAUUCUGACCGGCCGCUCCAUUUGGACGAUGGUCCCGAUCUUUUCGGGGUUGACAUCGAUCCCUCGUCCGGAGCGAAGAAACCGAGCAACUUUCCGCUGGGAACACCGAAUGAACACUUGGCAGGGUUGAGCUUGAUAUCGUACCUACGAAGGUUGGCAAAUGUUUCUGCCAAGUCAGUCAGCAGGUCAGAACCUUUGCAUGACUUGACUACGAUAUCAUCCAUAUACGCCUCCACAUUUCGACCGAUCUGGUCAAGGAGGCAUUUUUGGAUCAUGCGCAUAAAAGUUGCUCAUGCAUUCUUCAAACCGAAUGGCAUAGUGAUGUAGCAGAAGCACCCGAAUGGGGUGAUGAAGGCUGUUUUUAAUUCAUUGGGACCAUAUAGACGGAUCUGAUGACAGGCCGAGUAGGCAUCAAGGAAUGACAAACGCUCGCAACCCGCAGUCGAAUCAACAAUUUGAUCAAUGCGGGGGAACGGGAAAUGGUCUUUCGGGCAGACCUUAUUGAGAUGCUUGAAGUCGAUGCACAUUCAGAGAGACUUGUCCUUCUUGGGCACCAUGACAACAUUGGAGAGCCACUCGGAGUGGUGUACCUCGCGAAUGAAGUUGGAUGCCAAAAGUUUAGCCACCUCCUCUCCGAUUGCCUUCUCUUGUGCGCGGCGGACCGACGCAGGCGUUCUCGAAUGGGCCGAGUAGCAGGAUCCACAUGCAGUCGGUGCUCAGCCAACUCCCUGGGUACACCUGGCAUGUCAGCGGGCUUCCAUGCGAAAAUGUCCCAGUUCUCACGGAGGAAUUGGAUGAGCUCGGCUUCCUAUUUUGGAUCGAGGGUGGUGGAGAUGUUCGUCGGGGCAGCGGUGUCAUCCGUCGGGUGGAUGCUGACCUUCUUCGUGUCUCCCGCCGACUGGAAUGCGGACUCUGAAGCUGGCUUCUUCGAACGCAUCAAGUCAGCGGGGUCGGCUGUCUUCUUGUACUCGUCCAGCUCAAGGAUAGCCAUCUGCUGAUCGGCGAUCCUCGACCCCUGCUGCAGACACUCCUCGGCCCGCUGUCGAUUGCCUGUGACAGUGAUCACACCUUUGGGACCCGGCAUCUUCAGCUUUAGAUACACGUAACAUGGACGGGCCAUGAAACGCGCAUACGCCGGACGGCCCAGAAUCGCAUGGUAUGCACUCUGGAAGUCCACCACCUCGAAUGUCAGCUUCUCCUUGCGGAAGUUCUUGUCGGAGCCGAAAACGACGUCCAACGCGAUCUGGCCGAGUGACUUGGCCUUUCGUCCAGGGACGACUCCGUGAAACUGCAUGCUGCUCUCGCUAAGUUUGGACAUCGGAAUGCCCAUCCCCUUGAGAGUGUCGGCGUACAUGAUGUUCAAGCCGCUGCCGCCGUCCAUGAGGACUUUGCGCAGUCGGACUCCUUCCACCACCGGGUCGACGACCAGAGCCUGCCUCCCCGGGGUGGGCACGUGUGCUGGAUGAUCCGACUGGUCAAAGGUGAUCGCAGUCUGAGACCAUUUGAGGAACGUGGGGUUGGUUGGGGUGGCCAUGUUCACCUCCCUGUUCACCAGCUUCGGUCGACUCUUGCUUUCCACGUCAACAAAAAUCAUCAGUGUUGCAUGAACUUGGGGGAACGGAUCCUCCUUGUCCUCAUCAUCCUGUUCAUUGUCCUUUUCACUCGGCUGCCCUUUGCCGAACCCUUGGAUCAGGAGGCGACAUUGCCGAGUGGUGUGCUUCGGGAAUAUGGCGUUGCCUUCUUCGUCCGUCUUCGUGUGGAUUGGACAUGGUUGAUCCAGGAUGGAGUUCCUGAACUGCUUCUUCUUGGGGGUGAACUGAGCUUUCCCCUUGCCCUUGAACUUGGCAUUGGUAACGGCUGCUGCCUCUUCCUGCGGAGUGGACGGAGCUUUCUGCUUCUGCUUCCGAGUGCUGUUCCCAUCUCCAUCGGCGACUGCUUUAUGCUUGCCGCUACGUAUGCGGUCCUCUUCUUCGCCAUUUGCAUAGCGUGCGGCUAUCUCCAUCAUCUUUCUCAUGGAGAUGUCGCAUGUCCGACCGAACUUCAGGUACAGAUCUCUGUACCGCACGCCUGCCUUGAAGGCGCAGACUGCUUGGUGCUCUGUGACGUUCUCCACUGUGUGGUAGAGGGUCGUCCAACGCUGGAUGAAAUCGCGCAGGGGAUCAUUCUGCUUCUGGACACAGUGCUAGAGCUCCACGAGACCAGCAGGGCGUUUGCACGUGCCCUCGAAGAUCCUGAUGAAGACUCGGGCCAGAUCUGCCCAGCUGUAGAUGCUUGAAGGAGCCAACUGGUUCAGCCACGCUCGUGCCGAGCCAUCGAGGAUCAGGGGGAGAUGUUUCAUGGCGACCUGGUCAUCUCCGCCACCGAUCUGGACCGCCACUCGGUAGUCGUCCAGCCACGUUUCUGGCUUGGAUUCUCGUGUAAACUUGCUGAUCCCCGUCGCCAAUCGGAAGUUGGGAGGGAUGUCAGCUGAACGGAUGGCCCAACUGAAACACUCAGGGCCAGAGACAAUGGUCCUGCUUCCACUCGGACGGUCUUUGUCGUGACCAUCACGGUGAGCUCGACUCUUGUCGACCUUCCUGUGGGCGAUGUACCCUCUUGUGUCGGGCCUUGGAUCAUAUGUGUCACCGACUGAACGCCGAUCAUCAUGAUGUCGGGGCCCGUAAGGUCCACCCCGCGGAGGGGUGCGUGAACGGCGACGAUCUUCGGGAUUCAUGGAACGGCUGCCUCCUCUACGUCGCUGAUGAGAAUCGGGGCUAUAAACCGACCGAUGUGUGUUCGCGUGAACAGAACUGUUGUGGAUCCUGUUGUGUGACUAGGAGACCGCCAAAUUAUGCUGCUGCGCCGUGUGCAACAGGGCACGGAUCUGCUCGAUCCCUCUACCAGCCUCUGAAUCAGUCGGUUGGAGGGAAUCGGCUAUCUUGGCAGUGGCAGCCAGGUUGAGGACGGGUGUGCGGAACACCUCCAGGUUGCUCUGACGAGUGCGUCGACUGGCAGAAUGGCGGGGUUGACGGCGAGCGCCGGAUGACUCGCCGACCUCGUGCUCGUUCCGACCAGUCUGGCGGGGACUUUCAUGGGAAUUGGCCAUGAGAACUUCGGUUGUGGGCCUGCGACCCAAGUACUCGGAAGGCAACUCAAUCGGAACUGAGUCCAAGCACUGGGACAACGGUGCGACCACAACCGACUCGAGGACCGCCAAAUGAGAGGACGCGUUCUGGCGCGCCAGGGCGUGUCGCACCCAACGCUGGAGCCGCGGACGGCGGGACCGCUUGUUGCGGCGCGUGACGGGGGCGAAGAUCGACACCGGAGCCGAUUGCUGGAAAAGAAGGACACAAUGAACACCGACACGGAAGUGUGUAGCCCCGCGACUGGGGAACGCCUCGACGUCGAGGGGCGCAUCCCGAUGCCAUGCCGAAUCGUCAAUGAUGAAGGAGAGUGCGCCGAAGAGGAUCUCAUGACCCAUGCACAAAUCUCCACCGGACGACAUGAUGAAAAGAUGAAGUCGCAAACUCGCCGGAAGUCGCUUAGACGCCUGCCCCCACGGUGGGCGCCAACUGUCGUGGGUAUAAGUCUGACAGUAGAUGAGUAGGGUACGAAAGGAUGGGCAGAGCCUUAGCUACGGCGAGGAUGUAUGAGUUCACGCCCCUCUACGGUGGAGGUAAAAGCCCUACGUCUCAGUGCUCUUGGGAGCUUAGUGUCGAGUGGAAUAUGGGGUUACAAAAAUGCCAACCCCUGCACCAGUGGGGAAGGGCGGCUUAUAUAGAGUGCGCUUGAAAGUGCGUUAUAUCGACUAGAGGGGGGUGAAUAGGAGAUUUUUAGAAUUUCAUCACUCAAGGAAAUUCUUUUUGAGGAAAUUCCUCACUGAUGACUAACUUCAGCGGAAACAGUAAAGGNNNNNNNNNNNNNNNNNNNNNNNNNNNNNNNNNNNNNNNNNNNNNNNNNNNNNNNNNNNNNNNNNNNNNNNNNNNNNNNNNNNNNNNNNNNNNNNNNNNNNNNNNNNNNNNNNNNNNNNNNNNNNNNNNNNNNNNNNNNNNNNNNNNNNNNNNNNNNNNNNNNNNNNNNNNNNNNNNNNNNNNNNNNNNNNNNNNNNNNNNNNNNNNNNNNNNNNNNNNNNNNNNNNNNNNNNNNNNNNNNNNNNNNNNNNNNNNNNNNNNNNNNNNNNNNNNNNNNNNNNNNNNNNNNNNNNNNNNNNNNNNNNNNNNNNNNNNNNNNNNNNNNNNNNNNNNNNNNNNNNNNNNNNNNNNNNNNNNNNNNNNNNNNNNNNNNNNNNNNNNNNNNNNNNNNNNNNNNNNNNNNNNNNNNNNNNNNNNNNNNNNNNNNNNNNNNNNNNNNNNNNNNNNNNNNNNNNNNNNNNNNNNNNNNNNNNNNNNNNNNNNNNNNNNNNNNNNNNCACAGUCCCUACCGUAUUUUCCUUGAGCUAAGGACACACAGUCCUCGCCCAACACUCGUGGUAAGUCUUCAUGGCAGACUUCCAAACCCUCACAAACUUGGUCACCCGACGAUCCACAAUUGACUGCUCGAUUGCUCUAGACCUUGACGUCUAACCGUCUGGAGGAUCCGCAGUCCUCAAAGGUAAAAUGCUUCAGUCCCACACAGGAACAACUUCUUCAGUGAUGCUCAAUCACUAGGUUUGGUUUGUGGUUUCGGUGGGUGGUGUAUUUCCUCACUGAUGAAUUACUUUUGAAAGCUUUGAGGAAUUUGGGUUGCUCUUAUGACAAGUGUCAGUUUCUAACGGAGCAGCCAACCAGCUAAUGGUUGUGGGGGUGGCUAUUUAUAGCCUGGGAGCAUCCCGACAUGAUUUGACACUAAUGCCCUUAAAUAAUAUGACCGUUGGAGUGGAUAAGACCAAUGACUUUGCGUGGUUAUCGAAACGGUCGGAACCCUCAAGUGUGAGAGUCCUCAUGUCACUCAUAUUCCUCACUUGAGGCUUUUGAUAGGAUUAGGCUUGGGUUGAGCAUCAUGAGGAAAUUCACUCCAUAGUGUAACUUCGACCCCCUUUAACAGUACGGUGUUCCUAUUCAUCAAUUGCGAAGAAAGUAAAACAGAAAACGUAAAUCUUCACGCUUCAAUUUCUUCAGAACGAUUUUCUUUAGGAACCACUGGUCUUCUCAAUAUCAGUAUCUUCAUGAGCACACUGCAGAGAAUUCUGUAGACAGACCGGGGUGUGUACUUGAGCUCAUGGACGAGGAAUGUGGUUCUUGAGGGUUUUCCUGCAGCCAAAGGCUUCAUGAGGACUUCCAUCAUUCCAUUUGGCAGCUCACGCUCACCAUAAAGCUUCACUGCCCCAUCUGAGGGAAUUGGUACAUGCAGUUCUCUGAGAAGUUCAGAAGCAGGAGCUUUGUAGUGAGUAUUUUGGGACAUCCACUCAAACACCCAAGUGUCGAUGUCAUCAGCGUUGCCAGAUAUGUGCAGAAUGGCAUAGAACUAAAGAAUGAGCGCGCUAUUCCAGUCUGAUAUGUCUGAGCACAUAGGGAGCAAACCUGCAUCGUGGAGUACACUGAGGAUUGGUUCCAUGCAAGGUAUUGCUACAAGCUCAACAUGAGGAAUGUGCUGGUGCUGGAAUAUCUUGUUGCAUCCACAGAGCACAGAGGCAUAGUAGUUCAUCUGGGUCCUUGUCCAAAACUUCAGAUGCCUCAUUUGAGGCUUGUCAUAAGGAUUCUCUCCGAUGAAAUACAUGCGUUCUUCAAAGAAAUCUUCUUUCUGAAACUUUGGACGCUUGGAGAAUGGUUGGCGCUGAACUGGCUUAAAGUUUUGCUGAGGAAUGGGGGAGGAGACAACAAUGGCAGUCUCUGGGUUGAGCACAAUGAAUUCCUUGUCUUGGGUGGGUACAUUUUCUUCAGCUUUUUCUUCAAGGAAAGGAUUUCAUCAGCUGGUACAUCACGCUGAGGAGAUGAUGCUUGCUCUGGCUGAGCCUUAGGCUGAGGAAUUUCCACAUCUUUCUCAUUUGGAGGAGUUGGGUCAGCCUGUUCCUCAUCUUGAGGAGUCUUCUUAGAAUGUACAAUUUCAUCAGUCUGAGGAAGUUCAGCUUGUUUUUCUUCAGCUGGCUUUGUGGAAAAAGCAGUUUCAUCAGCUGGUGCAGCUGAUGCUUGAGCAGUCUCUGUCUAAGGAAUAGGAGGUUGAGGACUGUCGUCAAUCUGAAUUUCCUCAUCAGUGUGUUCCUCAGAGGCGACAUCCUUCAUUUCCUCAUCUGCCCUUGUAGCUGGGUCAUCAAUGACGACCAUCUCAUAGGAAGGGGCGACAUUGAGAGGCACUGGGUCCAGAGGAGCAUUUUCUUCAGUUUCUUUGAGGCGCUUUGCCUCUGUCUCUUCUACUGCUGAAGAGGCUUUUCUCUUCUUGGCUUCCUUUUCAGCAGCCCUUGUUUUCUUCGCGUCUGAUGCAGACGGAAUUAUCUUCUUCACCUUUGAAGCUUUUGGUGAAGGUGUUCUUUCUUCAGAUUCUUCAGCUGGUAGUGAGGAACCAGCUGGAACAGAGUCAUCAGCCUGCUUUGAUGAAGCAGCUGGAUCAGGAGCAGUCUCAUCAUUGGUUGCAAUUUCAUCAAUUGCAGUUUCCGUGAUGAUUUCUUCAAUGGCCGGUUCAUCAACACGGUGCUCUUGGUGUUCUUCCUCAGCUUGAGGAGUUUCCUCCUCAUCAGGAGAUGCAUCUUCUGGCUGCUCAACCAAGGACUGAGGAGUUGGUGCUGGGGGUGGGUUUCUUUUGUUGUAGUCAUCAACAACACUAGUGGCUAGCUUGACGAAAUUGCUCUUGAUGCUUUUGCGAUCUGACAGCUUGGCGUACUUGUCAGUCAGUACUUGCAGCUCUGCCUGGGUUGACACCAGUGCAUCAGGAGUAAGUUUGAGGAGAUUCUGCCUGAGGAAUUUCUCCUUUUUGUCCUUUGCAACCUUUGCCUACCUGGUCUGCUGUUCUUUCCACUUGGCUUCAUUUAUGAAGGUGGCCACCAUGUGGCUGAUGCCAGGAGGAAGUUUCAAAUCAUCAAUGGGAGUGUUUGGAUCCUCAUACCAGAUAUUGAUGUAGUCAAGGAGGACCUUGGGGUCCAUGGCCAGAGGAAUAGCACUGCCUGAUGCUUGUGCUACCCUUUCUUGCUUGUUUCUGAUGAUGGCUUGCAGGGUUUCAUCAUUAUAUUCAUCACUUCCCUCUGAUGCAGAUGGGACUGCGAUGAUUUUGCUGGGGCUGGGCAGAGGUGCAGGUUCAACAGUUGUCAAAGUCUUCACAAGUGGUGUUGAAGACUUAGUCUCCGAGCUAGUUGCAGCUGGGAGUGAGGAGCUGGAGCUGGCGGUCGUAGGUUUCACGACUUGCUUCUGUACUGGUUUUUCUUGAGGCUUUGGAGGUGGAGCUGAGGAUUUUUGUGCUGAGGAUAUUGGUGCAGAGGGUUUUGGCGAUGAUGGUUUUGGUGUUGAAGGUUUUGGUAGUGAGGGUUUUGGUGCUGAGGGUUUUGUGACAGAAGUCUGAGAAGACUUCUCUUGAGGCUUUGGAGCCUUUGGCUUUGUUGGCGCACACUGCAUUUGAGGAAUCUCUAAGCCUGAGGUUUCUGCAGCUGAGGAAUGAGCAGCACCGGAGGCAGCAGCUGAGGAUUCAUUGAAUUUCCUCACUGCAGCUUCUGCUUGCCUCUUGAGCUUGGCCAGAUGCUUUUCUUUCUCAUCUGGAUAGUCAUCAAUGGUCAUGAGAGUUGAGGGAUGUGCUACUUGAUGAUCCUCAAGUGGGGCCCUUCUGCCAGGAGGCUUCAAAGCGAAUUUCUUCGCAUAUUUGGGAGUCACAAACCUAUACUCCUUCCAUUCCUUCGCCCAUCGGCGUUCAAUUUUCUGCAGCCGUAUUUUUCUCUUGGCCAUUGUCUCAUGUUCAUCAGGUGUGCAGUAGUCCAGGUAAAUGUCCUCAGGGAUAUCAACAGCUGUGUUCUGCUCAAGCUUCUUUCCUCCCUUCUGUUUUCUGUCUUCCUCCAUUUUCUUGAGUUGAGGAUUUUGCUGAUGAUUUUGAACUCGUGAGGAUUCUGAUGAGCCUUGAAGAGUUUCUUCCAGAAACGCUGCAAAUGAGUUAAUGUGAUGAGAACCGAGAGAUUCAUCAGCUGACAUGUGUGUACCUGUGAACAGAGUAUGGUUGCGAGGAAUUUGGAGAGGUCAUAUGCGUUCUCAGGUUUGAGGAAAAUGAAAAAGUUUGAUAGUUUGAGGAAUAUAACCAGUGGUUGAGGAAUUUGCCUAAGCAUACUGUUCUUGGGUUCCAGAGUUGUACAGGUCCGAAAAUUUGCACAACUGAGGAAUCUCGUGAUAGUCUUAGAUGCUUAGCAUAGUUCAUCAAUAAUUGUGGUGAUAUGUAGUGUUCGAGGAAUCAUGUGCGCAUCGUAUCUUGGGGAAAAACAGAUUUCACAUAGAAGAUGUAAAAUUUCAGAUCUAAUAUGCUGUAAAAAUGGGAUAUAUUUACCCUAGAAGGUGCGUACGAAGAACACAGAAGGUAGUGUUGGAGAGGCUCUUCGUACGAGUGUCCAAUGCACCCUAACUUGGCGACAGAGGACGUCUACGGCGGCGGCGGACAAAGAUGAUCCGACUCCGGCGUGGUUCUUGGCGACGAAGAGGUCGAGGCAGCAAAGCUCUUCCUCACCGGCAACAAGACUACCAGCGGUGGCGCUAGGGUUCGGUGGAGUGUGCUGUGGCAGGAGAGCGAUGAGGCGAAGAAGAGGAUACCGAGGGGGAUAAGGACAUAUUUAUAGCCCAAAAGUUACUGUUUGGUGCGAAAAUUUCGGACCAAAUAGCCCUUGCCUCUACGUCUCCGCAGGACACGUGUAGCUCCCAUACGAUGCGGUGGAGAUAGUGGAGAUCGUGGUUAUCCGAUCGUGGGAAGUGGGGGUUCAGUUACUGUGUCUUUAAAGAAACAAUUUUUGAAGAUUUGAGGAUUUUCCUUACAAAAUCAUCAGCUAACAAGGACGCAGUGAGGAUUUUGAACAAAGUUUCAAAUAGAACGCAUAUGAAGAAUUGAAUAGACUGGGUAAGUAUAGAAUAGAGGGAAAGUAGGGUCCAAUCACAUUCACUUAGCAGAAACAUCAACUUGAAGAAAUAGCCAUAAGUGAAUGAUGUUGAGGACUAGAAAUCACAGUCUACCUAGUCAAAUGAAAGUCAUCAAGUUUUUUUGAAGAUUUUGUAAUAAAUCAUCACAAUGGAGAAUCAACUGUUUUGAAGAAAAACACAUUGUGAGGAAAUUGAUCAUUUGAUGAAAAAAAAAACUUGAGGAAUUUCAUAUAGGGUGGUGGCGUUACCCACCAUAUAAGAACGUUGAUUACAGACGCCGCGUACAAUUGUCGUAGGGCCCUGAGAAUCAAUUUCUUCGUUAAUUUCUUCACAUUCAGAGUGACAUUCUUCAUCAGUUGAAGAAAAUCGAUUCAUCAUGUGUUGCACAUCUAAGUCAUCAACUUUUCAUAAGUGUCAGGAUGUGUGGAUGUUUUCUUACAAAACAUUUGAAGAUUCUAUGAUAUUUAGCUCACACCGCAACUUGCAAAACCUUUUCUCAUCCAAGGGCUUAGUGAAGAUAUCUGCUAGCUGAUCAUCAGUCUUCACAUGGUCGAUGAGGAUAUUGCCCUUGAGGACAUGGUCCCGAAGAAAAUGAUGACGAAUCUGGAUGUGCUUGGUCUUCGAGUGCUGUACUGGGUUGUAUGCAAUCUUGAUAGCACUCUCAUUGUCACAGUAGAGAGGUUCAUUUUUCAUGUUGAUGCCGUAGUCCUUGAGGGUUUCCUUCAUCCAUAGCAAUUGAGCACAGCAAGAACCAGCAGCAAUGUACUCAGCUUCGGCAGUGGAGAGUGAUACGCAGUUCUGCUUCUUUGAGGACCAGCAAACUAGUGAUCUUCCGAGGAAAUGGCAUGUGCCAGAAGUUGACUUGCGAUCCACACGGUCACCAGCAUAGUCUGAGUCAGAAUACCCUACCAGAUGAAGAUUGGGCCCUUGGGAUACCAUAAUCCUAGUGUUGGUGUGUGAGCUAAGUAUCGAAGAAUAUGUUUCACAGCCUUAUGGUGUGAUUCCUUCGGUUUUGCUUGAAAACGUGCACACAUGCAAACACUAAGCAUUAUAUCUGGCCUAGAUGCACAUAGAUACAAUAAAGAGCCAAUCAUAGAACGGNNNNNNNNNNNNNNNNNNNNNNNNNNNNNNNNNNNNNNNNNNNNNNNNNNNNNNNNNNNNNNNNNNNNNNNNNNNNNNNNNNNNNNNNNNNNNNNNNNNNNNNNNNNNNNNNNNNNNNNNNNNNNNNNNNNNNNNNNNNNNNNNNNNNNNNNNNNNNNNNNNNNNNNNNNNNNNNNNNNNNNNNNNNNNNNNNNNNNNNNNNNNNNNNNNNNNNNNNNNNNNNNNNNNNNNNNNNNNNNNNNNNNNNNNNNNNNNNNNNNNNNNNNNNNNNNNNNNNNNNNNNNNNNNNNNNNNNNNNNNNNNNNNNNNNNNNNNNNNNNNNNNNNNNNNNNNNNNNNNNNNNNNNNNNNNNNNNNNNNNNNNNNNNNNNNNNNNNNNNNNNNNNNNNNNNNNNNNCAUGGACAUCUGAUAUUCCUCACUCAUCAUGUUGGCAAAUUCAUCAUUGUAUCUUUUGUCAGUACAGCCAAAUAUAAUAUCAUUGACAUAUAUUUGACACACGAAUAGCUCAUUAUCAUAGGAUUUAGUGAAAAGAGUUGGAUCGAGUGAACCAGGUUUUAAGCCUUUCUUCAUGAGGNNNNNNNNNNNNNNNNNNNNNNNNNNNNNNNNNNNNNNNNNNNNNNNNNNNNNNNNNNNNNNNNNNNNNNNNNNNNNNNNNNNNNNNNNNNNNNNNNNNNCUGGUGACAAUAUGGACAGCGAUGUUCAUAAUAAUGCUAAACCUAGCAGUGAUGAGGAUGUGGAGAUUGAACAUACGGUUAAUCCUGAUAACCCACAACCUAAGAGAUACGAUUAGAAUGACUUCACUGCUAGGAAUCAUGGUAAAGAAAGGGAGCCAUGGGUUCAGAGACCUAUGCCCUUUCCUCCUAAGUCAUCUAAGAAAAAGGAUGAUGAGGAUUUUGAGCGCUUCGUUGAGAUGAUAAGACCCAUCUUUCUGCUGAUGCGGUUAACUGAUAUGCUCAAAAUGUCUUCGUAUGCCAAGUACAUGAAAGAUAUCGUGACAAAUAAACGGAAGAUACCAGAUCUUGAGAUCUCCACGAUGCUUGCUAAUUACACAUUCAAAGGUGGAACUCCUAAGAAACUUGGUGACCCCGGAGUGGACACUAUACCUUGCUCCAUUAAAGGAAACUACGUAAGAACCGCCUUAUGUGACCUUGGAGUCGGUGUUAGUGUUAUGCCGCUCUCUCUUUAUCAUAGACUUGAACUGGAUAAGUUGACUCCCACUGAAAUUUCUUUGCAAAUGGCCGAUCUAAUCAACUGCUUUCCCUAUCGGCAUUUGCGAGGAUGUGCCUGUUGUGGUUGCUAACACCAUUAUCUUAACAGACUUUGUUAUCUUGGAUAUUCCCGAGGACGAUGCUGUUGCAGUCAUCCUCGAAAGACCCUUUUUAAACACUGCAGGGGCUGUUAUAGAUUGCAACAAAGGCAAUGUCACUUUCCAUGUCAACGGUAAUGAGCACACAGUGCACUUUCCGAAGAAAAGAUAUCAAGUACAUUGCAUGAAUGCUAUCGAAAAAACUUCAUCGAUUCUCAUUGGGAGCUUUGAAUGCCCUAUUCCUCGUGUCAAGAUGAAGUAUGAUUUGCUUGUUGGGGAGAUACAUAUCCCCAUUGAGGUGACUUAGUGGCUAUUCGAAAAUUCUCCGUUCUCUCUUGUGAUUCGAGAAGGUUUUGUCAUGAGGACUUGAUCAACCCCAUUGACGGAUUUCUUUUGAUGACCACGAAAUGGAUGAAUCAAAGAGUCACAUACCUCUGUAUUAAUCUUUCACUUUCUGUUGCUUAGAAGAAAAAUGAUAGAUUUAGUUUAGUUUUUCCUGUUUUCUGCUUUAGCGUCUCGGAGAAAAAUACCCCGAAAAUAAAAGUUCUCCGAUGGUCCUAAAAAUCUAGUAUGAUUUUUUUUUGGAAUAUUUGAAAAAUACUGGGCCUCAGAGCUGGCCUGGGGGCUAGACCAGUGGGCCAGAAGCCCUGCAGCUGCCGCCCGUAUACUUGCUUUCAUGAGAGAAGCCACUAGUGAACACUAUGCCCCCCGGGUCUAUUCACACCUAUCGUUUCCACUGUCGCUUUUACUUUUCUUUGUUACUUUGUUGCUUUCAGUUCUCACUUGGCAAACAAUCUAUAAGGGAUUGACAACCCCUUCAUAGUGUUCGGUGCAAGCUCUUUGUGUUUGUGCAGGUACUUGUGAUAUUCCUUCACUAGAUCGAUACCUUGGUUCUCAAAACUGAGGGAAAUACUUACCGCCGCUGUGCUACAUCACCCUUUCCGCUUUGAGGGAACACCAACGCAAGGCUCCAAGGCCACGGGGGAAUCCUUUGCAUAUUUGCCAAGGAAGUCCCUAAAGGCGUAGCCGUAGCAGAAGGAUUCCUGGUGUCGUUGCUGAGGAGUAUCAAGACAAGAAUAGUCUUUCGUCAGCGCAUGUUUCUGGCGCCGUUGGAAGGUCUUUUGUUGCAGUAGCACCACCUCCUAAACCAACUCCUAAGAAAAGAGGUAUUCUAUUCCUCAGUCCCGAAGAUAUGAAAGAAGCCAAGAAAUCUAUGCAAGAGAAAGGCAUUAGAUCUGAACAUGUCAAAAAUCUACCACCUACCGAAGAUAUCCAUGGUCUCGAUAACCCGAUACAAGUAGUAGAAGUGAAUUCUCUGCGUAGGUUUGAUGAGAGUGAUAUUCCUUUUGACAAACCUGCUAGCCUAUGCUUUGAUGAAUUUGACANCUGGUGACAAUAUGGACAACGAUGUUCAUAAUAAUGCUAAACACCCCGAAAAUAAAAGUUCUCCGAUGGUCCUAAAAAUCUAGUAUGAUUUUUUUGGAAUAAUUGAAAAAUACUGGGCCUCAGAGCUGGCCUGGGGGCUAGACCAGUGGGCCAGAAGCCCUGCAGCUGCCGCCCCCCUGGUGGCGGCUAGCAAGCUUCUGGGGGGCACAGGGACCCCCUCCACUCAUUCCAGCUCCCAUCCUCUUCUUCUACCGCCAGAAAAAAUUGUUUCGCAGCUCAAACCCGUGUUCUUGCUCAUUUGGCCGUGAUUUUCAAUCUCCUUGCUCAAAGCACCAUUCUCCGAACCGUUUUGGGGAAAUUACUCCUUGGUAAGUGACACCUCUAUUGGUCCACAAGGUGUGGUUGGUCUUCAUUCACUUUUCUCUUGAACUUCAAAAAUUUCAGCAAAAGGAAAUUAUGUUCAGGAGGAAGUUUCAUGGUAGUUCCUCAAGUAAGAAGGGUCCCCGUCUUUCUUUUCGGGAGGCCGAACCUUAUCAACUAAGAGACGCACCGGUACAACCAUGUGAAUGGCCUUCCGAUGAGUUCACGAUCGAAGCAGGCUUCAAGGAUGAGUUUGAUACACUUGUCCGCAAUGCCGGGUUAGAAGAAUUCCUCUCAGAUAAAUGUGAACGGUAUGCUAUGCUCACUGCCUCUUUAGAUUUUCAGUUGAUCGUGACUCAUCCAUACUGUUUGAUCUGUAUGAUAAAUCCUACACCAUGUAUUUGGUGGAUUUCAAUAGGAUUUGCAAGAUACCCGAUGGGGGUAGUAUUAAUGAUCCUUCUAAGUCUUCGGUCAGAGACUUUAUCUCUAGUAUAACUGUUGGAGAAACUAGAGAUAUCACGCAAGCCACCAUAGGAAGCAUCCAUUUCCCUGCCUUGCACUACUUUGCCCUCUUCAUAGGUAGGUGCAUUAACGGCAAGGGUGCACAUUGUCACCUAUGCGCUUCCGACCUUAGUAUCCUUAAGAGCGCAGUAACAGGUGACAGGAGCUUCAAUAUGGGAGCUAUAAUAGCAAGGAGGCUGAAUAAUAAUGCCAUUGAGGGGGAUUUCUUUGGUGGAAUUUAUGCUAUACGCUUAGCAAAUUUUCUUGGAGUAUCCAUCCGUUCAGAAGACCCUCCUCUCCGUACAGCCUACCUUGAUCGUGUCGCUCUAAAAUGCUACCAGUUCCUUGAGAGGGAUCAUGGAUCCCUCCUAUACCGCUUGAUGUUUUCCAUAUUACCCUUCCUGCUCCUGCUUUCUUUGACUUUCAGGUAAAACAAAUAUACUACAUAACCAUAGGAGAGGGAGAGGAGUAUGAGAGGGAGGCGACGGCUGCUCGACUUCGUGAGGCAGCUAUUCAGGAAGUGGCUGCAGCACUCCUGAAUAACACUCAUUAUGAUUUUGGGUUCCGCCAGGACCAUCCUUGGGAGUAGACCAAGCUAGGCCAAAAGCCUAAGCUUGGGGGAGUACGUGUUCUCACCGACCCUACAUUCAUGCUUAUGCUUUCACUUUGUUAGUCGGUGUUUACACUUUGCCACUGUAUUAUCCAUGCUAGUUUAUUUUUGUUUUCUUGUUUUGUGUCCUUUUAAGAAAACCCAAAAAUAUUUUUCUUUCUUCUUUUGCUUGUUGUGUGCUUUCCCGUGUAAAUAGUUUUCUUUUUCUUUGGGUCAAGGUAGAAGAUAUUGGUUACAAUGUUUAGUGGUUCUUGCAUGCAUACCUAUUUAGCUUUCAAAGAGCCAUAUUACUUUUUCUUCUCCUUUGUGUUUGCCUGCAGAUUCAGCUUAGUCCAAUGCACGAGCACUCUUAUUAUUGUUCACAUCGUUCGAUCGUGCAAAUGAAAGGCAAUAAUGAUGAUAUAUGAUGAAGUGACUGAGACUCGAAAAGCAGGUAUGAACUCUAUCUAUUUUGUUUUUGUAAAUAUGACUAGCUUGUCAUGCCUGAUUCAGCUUUUUUGUGAGAGAACCAUGUUUGCAAUGAAAACUUAGAGAUCAUAGUUUCUAAUGCCAUGCUUAACUAGCUGAGAGCUUAUAAUGGUUUGUCUUGAAUGCCAACAUAGAUUUUGAGAUGACUAUGAUGUAGUAUGAUAGGAUGGUAUUCUCCUUUGAAUGAUUCAAGUGGCUUGACUUGGCGCAUGUUCAUGCAUGUAGUUGAAACAAAAUCAACAUAGCCUCUAUGAUGUUCGUGUUCAUGGUGAUUUAUAUCUUGUUCAUGCUUGCAUUCAAUGUUAGUCAAACUCAUUGCAUCUUGAUGACUGUUGUCGCUCUCUAGUUGGUCGCUUCCCAGUCUUUUGCUAGCCUUCACUUGUACUAAGCGGAAUACUACUUGUGCAUCCACUUCCAUAAACCCAAAAGUUUUUCCAUGAGAGUCCCCAUACCUACCUAUUUGCGGUAUCUAUCUGCCGUUCCAAGUAAAUUUGCAUGUGCCACUCUGUAAACCUUCAAGAAAUAAUCUGUUUUGCAUGGCCGAACCGCUCAUGUGUUGACAGGGGGCUAUUGGUAUCUUCCAUGUUAGGCGUGUUAUCCUCGACAUGUGUUUAUUCACUGUCAUUCACGAGAAAGGGGCGGUAAUUGGAAUGCCCAGUUUCACGCUUAAAUCGAAAACAUAACUGUAAAACAAGACUUCCCCCGGACUCAUGUUAGUAUGGACGGUACCCGAGGAUUCGGCUAGCCAUGGAGUGUGAUUGAUUGGUGGUGGGGGAGUUAAAACUUUAUUUUUCUGUUUGGGAAUCGCCUAUAGCAUGAGUAGCAUGGAAGAUAUUGAGAACUCUUGGUCAUUGCGUUGACAAUGAAAGCAUGCCACCCAAAAUUAUUAUCUCUGUUUUCAAAGCUUGAGCUCUGGCACCUCUGCAAAUCAAUGCUUCCCUCUGCGAAGGGCAUGUCUAUUUAUUUUCCUGUGGAGUCAUCCUCUUCUUAUAUAAGCACAAAUUAGAGAGCACCUCUAUCAUUUUUAUGCUUUGCUUUUUGAUUGAUAUUGAGUAUGACUAUGACUGGAUCUUCGUUGCUAUGAAUUACAAUGUUUAGUGAGCCCUUGAUCUUUGAAAGUGCUCUGCAUUUAUGUUUUGCGGUCUCAGAAAGAGCUAGCGAGAUACCACCUAUUCAUAUUGCUUCAUGCCUGUUUUGAUUGAAGUGUUGGUAUUUGAAACUCGUUAUUAUUUGCUCGUUAGCUGAUUAUGCCAUUGAUAUUAGUUUCCCAUGAGACCUCUGUGUCACUUGCUUAUGUGGUUAACUUGUGAUCUUGCUGAAAUUCUGGUUAUGAGUUAGACAUAGUUGCAACAACAAGAUCAAACAGAGUUUGUCAAAGUUUUUCUUUCUCUUCCAGUUUGUCAACUGAGUUUCUUGAGGACAAGCAAGGUUUUAAGCUUGGCGGAGUUGAUACGUCUCCAUCAUAUCUACUUUUCCAAACUCUUUUGCCCUUGUUUUAGACUCUAAUUUGCAUGAUUUGAAUGGAACAAACCUGGACUGACACUGUUUUUAGCAGAAUUGCCUUGGUGUUGUUUUUGUGCAGAAAUGAAAGUUCUCAGAACGUCCUGAAAUUUUACAGAGAAUAUUUUUGGAAAAUAUGAAAAAUACCUGCGCAAAGAUCCACCAGAGGGGAUGGGCUAGUGGGCCACAAGCCCUGUAGCCGCCCCCCCCCCUGGUGGCCGCUAGCAAGCUUGUGCGACCCACGUGGCCCUGCCGCCCCCAAACUCAGCUCUAUAAAUUCAUUUUCGUCCCAGAAAAAAAAUCAAGAGAGAAGAUUUCGUCGUGUUUGCGAUACGAAUGCGCCACCACAUCCCGUUCUUCAUCUGGAGGGCAAAUCUGGAGCCCGUUUUGGGCUCCGGAGAGGGGAAAUCAUCGCCAUCGUCUUCAUCAACCUUCUUCCCUCUCCAAUUCCACGAAGCUCUUCAUCGUUCGUGAGUAAUCUAUUCGUAGGCUCACUGGGCGGUGAUGAGUAGGAUGAGAUCUAUCAUGUAAUCGAGUUAGUUUUGACGGGGAUUGAUCCCUAGUAUCCACUAUGUUCUGAGAUUGAUGUUGCUACUACUUUGCCAUGCUUAAUGCUUGUCACUAGGGCCCGAGUAGCAUGAUUUUAGAUCUAAAAUUAUUAUGUUGUCACCAAUAUAUGUGUGUUUUAGAUCCGAUCUUGCAAGUUGUAGUUACCUACUAUGUGUUAUGACCCGGCAACCCGGAGUGACAAUAACCGGAACCACUCCCGGUGAUGACCAUAGUUUGAGGAGUUCAUGUGUUCACCAAGUGCUAAUGUGUUGGUCCGGUUCUUUAUUAAAAGAAGAACCUUAAUAUCCCAUAGUUUCCUUUAGGACCCCGCUGCCACGGGAGGGAUGGACGAUAGAUGUCAUGCAAGUUCUUUUCUCUAAGCACGUAUGAUGACACACGGAAUGCAUGCCUACAUCACAUUGACGAACGGGAGCUAGCCACAUAUCUCUCCGCGUUAUAACUGCUGCAUGAUGAAUAUCAUCCAAACAAAUCACCGACCCAUUGCCUACGAGUUUGUCCCACUGCUGCUGUUACUAUUGUUGCUGCUGCUGUUACUUGCUACUGUUUCUACUUGUUACUGCUGUCACUACUGCUGUUCCUUGCCACUGCUGCUACCUGCUACAAUUUUGGUUCGCUCGGCGUUGACGGGAAAAGACAAUUUCUGUCAACGGGCAACUUCUGGCGCCAUUGAUACAAUCGUUAGGAAUAGUCUGCCGUCAACAGAUCAUUUCUGACACCGUUCUUAUCAUACUACUUUGUUGUUGAUAUUUUGCUUGCAGAUAUUAAUCUUUCAGGUGUGGUUGAAUCUGACACAUUCAGCUGCUAAUACUUGAGAGUAUGCUCUCACUUCCUAUUGGCGUACCAACAAAUUUGGGUUGAAUACUCUACCCUCGAAAAAUGCCUCGAUCCCACGCGCUGGUGGGUUAUUGCAAGACAAUUUCUAAUUGUUGAGCAAUCGAGAAUAGCAUUCGUCCAACCAUUGCUAGAGAUCUGAUAAACAACAUUUUUCUGGCAAUGUUGCUGGGGAGUGCCAUCAUGGCUGCACACACCACAUGAGUGGUGACAAAAGCUUGCUGAUGAAUAUGCCACUGACUCCAUCACCCCUGAAGCAAAUCACUUAUGUUGACAAAGGUAAAAGCAAGGUAUUGUGAAUUGGCAAAGUGGUUAUUUCCAAGGACACGCACAUGGACAAAGUGAUGCUUGUUGAGUCCCUUGGGUUUAACCUCAUGUCAGUUUCAAUGCUUUGUGAUCUUGAUAUGGUUGUUAUCUUUGGAAAAUAUAGAUGUGUUGUGAUCAUGGAAUCUGACAGAUCCAAAGUCUUCGAAGGUGUUAGAGGAGGGGAUUUGUACAUUGUUGAUUUCUCUAUAGGUCCUCAACCAGCCACAUGCUUACUAGCAAAACCCUCGGAAGGGUGGCUAUGGCAUCGAAGACUUGGUCAUGCAGGCAUGAGGAAUUUGCACACACUGGCGAAGAACAAGCAUGUCAUUGGCAUGGAAUUAGUCAAAUUCCUCAAGGACCACCUCUGCGGUGCUUGUGAGUCUGGAAAAAUGACCAGAUCCAAACACCCCUCGAAGACUAUCAUGACCACUACUCGUCCAUUUGAAUUGCUUCACAUGGAUCUAUUUGGACCUACUCAUUAUGCCACUCUAACAAAUGAUGUAUCUUUAUAUGGCUUUGUCAUAGUUGAUGAUUAUUCCAGAUACACUUGGGUGAACAUCAUUUUGUAUAAAACUGAAGUGCAGGAAGUCUUCAAACGAUUUUCCUCAAGGGCCUCGACGAACUUCGGCGUCAAGAUCAAACACAUCAGGAGUGAUAAUGGGACAGAAUUCAAAAACACUAGUCUUGAUGCUUAUCUUGAUGAACUUGGUAUUACUCACGAAUUGUCUGCUCCUUAUACUCCUCAACAGAAUGGCGUCGUCGAAAGAAAGAACAGUACUCUGGUUGAAAUGGCAUGGACCAUGCUUGAAGAAUAUCAGACUCCUUGUCAUUUUUGGCCUGAAGCAAUCAACACUGCUUGCCAUAUCAUCAACAGGGUAUAUCUUCACAAAUUCCUCAAGAAAACCUCAUAUGAACUCCUCACUGACAAGAAACCCAAUGUAAGGUAUUUGAAAGUCUUCGGUGCAAAAUGUUGGAUUAGAGAUCCUCACCAUAGCUCAAAGUUUGAACCUAAGGCACAUGACGGUUUUAUGCUUGGUUACGGAAAGGACUCACACACGUGCAGAGUCUUCGGCACCUAUCACAACAAGGUUGUUGAAUCUGUAGAUGUGAGGUUCGAUGAAACUAAUGGCUCGCAAAGAGAGAAAUUGCCUCCUGAUCCAGAUAAGUUGUCUCCUGAGGAAGCAAUAAAGCUCAAAGAUACUGAAGACAUUGUUCCUACUGAGGAAAUUGCUGAAGAAAUGACGCCCAGCACUGAUGAAAACCAAGAAGAUGCUCAUGAGGAAAUUGCUCCAAAACAAAUUCCUCAACCCACACGAAAUCCUCAACCCACACGAAAUCAAGAAGAUGCUCAUGAGGAAAUUGCAAAUGAAGUAGAACUUGACAAAAUCCUCGAUGACAUCAACGCGCCAGGUCCUCUCACUCGCUCAAAAGCUUCACACUUGGUUAACUUUUGUGGGCAUUCUUCUUUUGUGUCUAUCACAAAACCUUCAAAAGUUGCUCAGGCUUUCAUGGAACCUGAGUGGAUUCAAGCCAUGCAAGACGAACUUCUUCAAUUCAACCUGAAUGAUGUAUGGGAGCUCGUCAAACGACCAGAUCCUUUCAAGCACAAUAUCAUCGGCACCACGUGGAUUUUCCAAAACAAGCAAGAUGAGGAUGGUCAAGUGGUGAGGAAUAAGGCACGACUUGUAGCCCAAGGCUACACACAGGUUGAACGAAUUGAUUUCGAUGAAACUUUUGCACCUGUUACUAGACUUGAUACUAUUCGAAUACUACUUGCUUAUGCUAAUCAUCAUAACAUUACCUUAUAUCUAAUGGAUGUGAAAAGCGCAUUCCUCAAUGGUAAGCUUGAGGAAGAAGUAUAUGUUGCUCAGCCCCCAGGUUUUGAGGAUCCAAAGAAUCCAGACAAAGUCUUCACACUCAAAAAGGCGCUCUAUGGUCUCAAGCAAGCUCCUCGAGCAUGGUACGAUACAUUGAAGGAAUUCCUCAUGAAGAAAGGCUUCAAACCUGGUUCACUCGAUCCAACUCUUUUCACAAAAUCCUAUGAUAAUGAACUAUUUGUGUGCGACAUAUAUGUCGAUGACAUCAUAUUUGGCUGUACUGGCAAACGUUACAGUGAUGAAUUUGCUUACAUGAUGAGUGAAGAAUAUUAGAUGUCUAUGAUGGGGGAGCUGAAAUUCUUCGUAGGUCUUCAAAUUCGUCAACGGCGCAAUGGCAUCUUCAUAUCACAGGAGAAAUACCUCAAGGAUAUUCUGAGGAAAUUCGACAUGCAUGAAUGCAAAGGCGCCAAGACUCCCAUGCCUACCAACGACCACCUCUGCACUGACAAAAAUGGUAAAGAAUUCAAUCAGCAGGUAUAUCGCUCAAUGAUUGGAUCUUCACUGUAUUUAUGUGCAUCUAGGCCAGAUAUAAUGCUUAGUGUUUGCAUGUGUGCACGUUUUCAAGCAAAACCGAAGGAAUCACACCAUAAGGCUGUGAAGCAUAUCCUUUGAUACUUAGCUCACACACCAACACUAGGAUUAUGGUACCCCAAGGGCUCAAAUCUUCAUCUUGUGGGAUAUUAUGAUUCUGACUAUGCUCGGGACCAUGUGGAUCGCAAGUCAACUUCUCGCACUUGCAUUUCCUCAGAAGAUCAUUAGUCUGCUGGUCCUCAAAGAAGCAGAACUGCGUCUCUCUCUACUUCCGAAGCUAAGUACAUUGUUGCUGGAUCAUGCUGUGAUCGAUUGCUAUGGAUGAAGCAAACCCUCAAGGACUACGACAUCAACAUGAAGAGCGUGCCUCUCUACUGCGACAAUGAGAGUGCAAUCAAGAUUGCAUACAACCCAAUACAACACUCGAAGACCAAGCACAUCCAGAUUCGUCAUCAUUUUCUUCGGGACCAUGCCCUCAAGGGCAAUAUCAUCAUCGACCAAGUGAAGAUUGACGAUCAACUAGCUGAUAUCUUCACCAAGCCCUUGGAUUAGAAAUGGUUUUGCAAGUUGCGGUGUGAGCUAAAUAUCUUAGAAUCUUCAAAUCUUUUGUAAAAACAUGCACACAUCCUAACACUUAUGCCAAAUUCAUGACUUAGAUACGCAACACACGAGGAAUCGAUUUUCUUCAACCAAUGAAGAGUAUCACUCUUCGUGUGAGGAAAUUAAUGUAGAAUUUGGUUCUCACGGCCCUACGACAAUUGUACGCGGUGCCUGAAAUCAUCAUUCUUAUACGGUGGGUCACGCCACCACACAACUUUGAAAUUCCUCAAUUUGAUUUUCUUCAAAGUUGUUUUUCUUCAAAGCUGAAAUUCAUCAACCUAACACUUUGUCACAAAAUCCUCAAGUUAGUCAAAAUCUUCAAAACCCUUGAUGAUUUUUAUUUGCCUCGAUAUAUAUAUAUAUAUAUAUAUAUAGACUGUGAUUUCAAAGUCCUCAACAACAUUCACUUAUAGCUAUUUCUUCAACUUGAUAUUUUAUCUAAGUGAAUGUGAUCAGACCCUAAUCCCCUCUAUGAUAUACUCAACCAGUCUAUUCAAUUCUUCAUAUGUGUUCUACUUGAAACUUUGUUCAAAAUCCUCACUGUGUCCUUGUCAGCUGAGGACUUUGCAACGAAAUCCUCAAAUCUUCAAAAAUGAUUUUUAAAUCGUUACACAGUAACUCAUCCCCACUUCCCACGAUCAAAUAAGCACGAUCUCCACCUCUUUAAACUCAAGCUACACGUGUCGUGCGGAGACGAAUAGGAAAGGGUAGUUCGGUUCGAAAGAAUCGGCCUAACAGUUUUCACCUGAGCUAUAAAUAUGCCCUUACCCCUUCUGUCCAAACUCUUCGUUCUCUCUCUCGACCUUCUCUCCGCCACAAGCAAAACCUAGCGCCACCGCUAGAAAUCUCGUCAUCGGCGAGGAAAAGCUUCACUGCCUCGACCUCUCCGUCGUCGAGCUCACGCCGAAAGCGGAACAUCUUCAUCCGUCGCCGCCGUAGCCGUCUUCUGCCGCCAAAUUAGGGCGCAGCAGACUCAAACCGAAGAGCUUCUACUGUUGCUACCUCUGCUCUUCGUGCUUGCUAUAUAGGGUAAAUAAAAUCAUAUUUUUACCCUCCCUUUCGAUCUACUAUUUUACCUUAGAUUCGAGAAAUCUAUUUUUCCUGAGUGACUAUCAGCCUCGCACACUCUAUUCCUCAAACACUUGAUGAAUUUCACUAAGCCACUAAAAUUCUUCACAUCAUUCCUCAAUUGUGCAAAUUUUCGAACAUGUACAACUCUAGAACCCAAGAUCAGAGUGCUUAGACAAAUUCCUCAACCCACUGGUCAAAUUCCUCAACUUUUAAAAAAAUAAAUUUCUUCAAAUCAAAGAACUCAUAUGACCUCUCCAAAUUCCUCGCACCUAUACUCUGUUCACACAUACAAAAUAUCAACUGAUGAAUCUCUAGGUUCUCAUCAACUUAACUCAUUUGUAGCAUUUCACGAAGAAAUUUUGCCAGUGUCAUCAGAAUCCUCAAGAGUGCAAAUUCCUCAGCAAAAGCCUAAGCUAAAUAAAAUGGAAGAUGACAGAAAGCAAAAGGGUGGCAAGAAACUCGAAGAAAACACUACAAUUGAUAUCCCUGAGAAUAUAUACCUUGACUAUUGCACACUAGAUGAGCAAGAACCAGUGCCAAAGAGGAAAAUCAGGCUUCAAAAGAUAGAACGCAGGUGGGCUAAGGAGUGGAAGGAAUACCGCUUCGUCACUCCAAAGUAUGCGAAGAAAUUCGCCCUCAAGUCACCUGGCAAAAGGUCUCCUCUUGAAGAUCAUCAGGUUGCAUAUCGUUCAAGCCUCAAAACUAUUGAUAAUUAUCCUGAGGAGAAAGACAAACACUUGUCUAAGCUUUAGAAGAAAGCAGAAGCUGCAGUGAGGAAAUUCAAUGAGGAAUCUGCUGCUGCCACUACAACCACCUCUUCUGUUGCUGAAGCUUCUGGCACAGCUAUUCCUCAAGUGAAGUCUAUGCCACUGAAACCAAAGUCUUCAAAGCCUAAAGAGCAAUUGCUUCAGAAGGAUGCGCCUGCGCCAAAACCGUCAGCAACUACACAGGCUUCAAGGCCUGAACACAAGAAGAUCGUCAAGCAACAGCCUGCUCACUCCAGCUCCUCUGUACCAUCUGCCAUGAGUUCAGAGACAAAGUCUUCACCAACACCUUUGAAGACUAAAAUGACUGUUGGAAGAGGCAUCAGACCCAGCCCAACAAAAGUCAUCAAAGUCCCUUCUGCAUCAGAAGGAAGUGAUGAAUAUGAUGAUGAAACUCUUCAAGCCAUCAUCCGAAACAAGCAGGAAUGCGUCGCACAAGCUUCAGGCAGCGGCAUUCCUCUUGCCAUGGACCCAAAGGUCAUGUUGGACUACAUCAUUGUCUGGUACGAUGACCCUAACACACCCAUUGAUGACUUGAAGCUUCCCCUGGUAUCAGCCAUAUGGUGGCCACAUUCAUCAAUGAGGCCAAAUGGAAGGAGGCGCAAGCCAAACAAGCAAAGACAACAAAGCUGAAGAAGGAGAAAUUCCUCAGACAUAAUCUCCUAAACCUGACGCGUGAUGCUCUUGUGUCAACCCAGGCAGAACCGAAGACUUUGGCCGACAAAUGUACCAAACUAUCUGAUCGUCAAAGUUUCAAGACCAAUUUCAUCAAGUUUGCAACCAAUGCAGUUGAUGAAUACAACAAGAAGGCUGCUCCUCCAGCAAAACCAGCGCAGCCUGAGCAGUCUCAGCCCAACUAUUAUGUUCAGCUCAUGGAGGAAGAUGAAGAAAAAGACACCCCUGCUGAGGAAAUGCCUCAAGAAAGCCGUGCUGAUGCACCGGUUAUUGAGGAAAUAGCUAAGGACAUUCCAGCUCAUAAAUCUGUGCCAGCUGAUGAAUCUGCUCCAGCUGAAGAAAAUGCUUCAGCUGAGGAAACUACUAGGACUGAUACUGCACCAGCUCCUGAAGAAAAAAUUCCUUCACCUCAAUCCUCAAAGGUGAAGAAAAUGGUUCCGUCUGCAUCAGACGUGAAGAAAACCAAGGCUACCGAGAAAGAAGCAAAGAAAAGAAAAGCUUCUUUAACUCCAGAAUCAUCAGAGGCCAAGCGUGAAAACACUCUUGAUGAAACUGCUCCACUGGAUGUUGUGCCUCUAAAGAUAGCUCCAUCAUACACUAUGGCCCUUUUCGGAAUUGACUAUGUCAUUCCUGAAGAAGAUGAGGAGAUUCCAGUUGAUGAGGAAAUGAAGGACGCUAAUUCUCACGAAACCAUGGAUGAGGAAAUUCAAAUUGAUGGUAUUUUGCCGUCCUUCGUUCCUCACAAGACGUCUGAUGAAACUGCACAAGGAUCAGCUGCAACAGCUGAAGAUUUUGCCUCCUCCUCCAAGCGAAUUCCUCAAGCCGAGGAAAACCCAGAAGAAAAUCGUCAGCCCGAAGAAAAUCCUCAACCUGAGGAAAAUCCUCAUCCUAAGGAAAACCCUCAACCUGAACCAAAUCCUCAACCUGAGGUUGAGGCUGAAGAAAAUGCUCCUGCACCCAAUACUAAAACUGCUAUUGUGGUGGUCAGCACUGAGACUACAAUGAUAGUAUCUCCUCAAGAGAAGCAGCAUAAUCUUCAGCCCAUGCAAAAUCAGCCUUUUUCAAAGAGGCCAAAGUUUCAGAAGGAAGCGUUCUAUGAAGAACGUAUGUAUUUCAUCGGCGAAAAUCCUUAUGACAAGCUUCGCAUUAGGCACAGGAAGUUUUGGACAAGGACUUAGAUCAACUAUUAUGCAUCUGUGCUCUGUGGAAGAAACAAAAUAUUUCAGCACAGGCAUAUUCCUCAUGUUGAGUUGGAAGAAAUUCCUUGCUUCGCCCCAGUCCUCAACGUUCUUCAUGAAGUCGGACUGCUGCCACUUUGCACUGAUAUCUGUGAUUGGAACAGUGAUAUCAUUCUUCAAUUCUAUGCAACUCUGCACAUCUCUGGAGACCCGAAGGAUAUCAACACUUGGGUGUUGGACUGGAUGACACAGCACACACAUUACAGAGCCCCUGCUACUGAGCUGCUGCGAGUACUUCCGGUGUCAAGUCCCUCAGAACAUGUUGUGAUGAUGUAUGAUGAACGGGAGUUGCCCAAUAAGUUGAUGGAAGUCCUCACGAAGCCUUUGCCCAAGGAUCAGCCUCCAAGAAUGAUUUUUCUGGUUCAAGACUUGAAGUAUGAACCCAGGACUGUCUACAGGAUUCUAUGCAGUGUCAUUGCUCCAAUCAAGGGCCAUGAUGAUGAAGAAGAUGUUGUAGGCAUCAUGAAGAAUAUCCUCUUCAACAUCAUCCAUGGCAUCCCAAUAAAUCUUCAUGACUUCUUUCUGAGGACUCUGGCUGACAAUGCUAUGUCACCCUUUGAUCUAAAGAUUUACGCUCCAUGGAUCAUGAGAUUCAUCAGACACAGGUGAGGCAUCAACUAUCAUGCUGAUUUCAACAACCACAUUGGAUAUAUGCCUCCUAUCAGAGUCAACAAGAAGACUUUUGAGCAUGUUGAAGGAAAAGGAAAAUCAGUCAGCGAUGAAGGUAGUCGGCCCCUUAAUGGCCAGUUUCGUGAACCAGAUGCAUAUUCUUCAUGGGAUGAUAGUGAAACUCAGGAGCCGCCAAGCCCAGUUGCCCCAAGGGUGAUGACUAACACAGAACUACUCCUCAGUCUUCAUCAGAAGGUCGAUUGCAAUCACAAAUGGGUCAAACGUCAAUUCAGUGCCAUUGUGAAAACCCUCAAUGAGACUCAGAAUGCAGUGAAGAAAAAUCACUAUUAUCUUCAUGAGGUUUUGAUCGCACGUGGGACACUUUGGCUCAUCUGAAGACUCAAGAAUUACUUGAUGAAUUGGAAUUUACUCAGGACUUCGACUGUUCGUGGCCUCCCAAGAGGAAAUUCAAGCCAAUCCCAGUUCUAGACCUUGAGGACAGCUCCUUUUCUUCAUUCCACACUGCAGAGUCUGAUGAAGAUUAAGAAGACACUGCCACCGGCCCAAGGAGGAAGCCCGCCAAGAAUCCUCAUGCGUCUUCUUCAUCAGCCAAGAAGUGUAAGUCUUCAUGGGGCGUUAGUCCUCAGUUUUGUCCCUUUUUCGUCACUUGAUGACGAAGGGGGAGAAAUAUGAGAGUUAGUCUUCACACGGGAUAUAUUUUGGGUCUUAUGAACUUUAUUAAGUUACAAACUCUUGGUUCUUCCGAAGUGUUUUAUGUAAUGAGUUGUAACUUAAGCCCGAUGGUACUCUGACGCUUUUGAACGUUUUUCUUUGCAUAAACAUUCCUCAAAAUAUUAAUGCAGGCAUGCUGAAAUUCGUGAGAUACCAUUUCUCAUCAUGCAUUCUUCAUAUUAUAUGUCAUAUGUAUGCAUGAUUUACAAGACUCAGGGGGAGAUCUCCAUGAUGUAAAUCAUCAAUGUGCAUUUGUUGUGAAAAGCAAAAUCCUCAAGAUAUGCACAUCUUCAGGGGGAGUCUCUCUGUAUCUUGAUUUCAAAUACCUCAAAUGAGUAUUUACAGUUCACAUUUUUCCCCAUUGAAGACUUAACCUAAUUUUCAUCAACCACCAAAAAGGGGGAGAUUGUAAGUGCAUCUAGUGCCCCUUAGUGAUUUUGGUGGUUUGAAGACUUAUAGGUUAAGUAUCUAAUGUGUUCAUGAGUGUACACAGGAUCUAUAAGUCGCUAAGGAGUUUGAAAUAUACGAUGAAUAUCGAACCCUAAAAAUAUAUAUCUUCGGCUGAAGACUUUGAUCACAAAGAAAUUGCGAUGAAAUUGAUAUUACACAUGAAGAUAUUGAAGAUGAGGAAUUCGGUAUGUCCUAAAGAAAAACGAUCCGAAGACUUUGAAGCAUGAAGAUUUAUUCUUUCUGGUUCAUUUUCUUCACUCUUGAGUCAUAGGAUCACCGUACUGUUAAAGGGGGUCGAGGUAACACUACGGAAUGAAUUUCCUCAUGAUGCUCAACCCAAGCAUAAUCCUACCAAAAGCCUCAGGUGAGGAAUAAGAGAGACAUGAGGACUCUCACAGUUGAGGGUCCCGAACAUUGUCGCAAUUCACGCCACAUCACCGAUCUUAUCCACAACAAUGGUCAUAUUAUUUAAGGGCAUUAAUGUCAAAUCAUGUCGAGAUGCUCCUAGGCUAUAAUUAGCCGCCCCCCAUAACCAUUAGCUGGUUGGCUGCUCCGUGAGAAACUAACACUUGUCAUUUAGAGCAACCCAAAUUCCUCAGAGUCUUCGAGAGUAAAUCAUGAGUGAGGAAAUACCCCAAACACCAAACCACAAACCAAAACCAAGUGAUUGAGCAUCACUGAAGAAUUUGUUCCUGUGUGGGACUGAAGCCUUUUACCUUUGAGGACUAUGCAUCCUCCAGACGGUUAGGCGUCAUGGUCUAGAGCAUUCCAGCAGUCAAUUGUGGAUCGCCGGGUGACCAAGUUUGUGAGGGUUUGGAAGUCUGCCCUGAAGACUUACCACGAGUGUUGGGCGAGGACUGUGUGUCCUUAUCUCAAGGAGAAUACGGUAGGGACUUUGUGUCCCGGGACUGUGUGUCCUUUGGUUUCAACACGAAGCCGCUCCAAACCAGACGUACAACUAUCACAGCAGUUGGAACUGGGUCAUCAACCAUUGUCUUCACUGUGAUACGGGUUCUAUUUCUUCAACUCUUUCAAUUCCUCAAUAUUAAAUGUUGAGGAAUUUCAUUGUCACUGUUUGAAGAAUUUGCUGAAGACUUUCUGUGAAAUUCCUCAACCUCAAAUUCUUCACGCAUGUUUAUCUUCAUCUGCUUUCUCUGUGCCUGCGUACUAUGAAAACUGUUUUUCAUAUUCCUCAUCUUGAAAACUGUUGUAGUGAUACUUUGCACCCCUGAUCCUUUGUUGUUUCCGCCGCAAGUUAGUCAUCAGUGAGGAAUUUCCCAGUGAUGAAAUUGUAAAAAUCUCCUAUUCACCCCCCUCUAGUCGAUAUAACGCACUUUCACAACUAGAGGUUCACUAGGGACACAUUGUGAUCUAUAUAUUCACACAUGUAUUACGGUUUCUGGUUAAUACAAUUAUAGCAUGAAUACUAGAGAAUUAUCAUGAAUUGGAAAUAUAAUAAUUCCGACUUUAUUAUUGCCUUUAGGGCAUAUUUCCAACAGUCUCCCGCUUGCACUAGAGUCAAUAAUCUAGUUACAUUGUGAUGAAUCAAACACCCACAGAGUUCUGGUGCUGAUCAUGCUUUGCCCGUGGAAGAGGUUUUGUCAACGGGUCUGCGACAUUCAGAUCCGUAUGUACUUUAUAAAUAUCUAUAUCUCCAUCCUGGAUGUAUCCACGAAUGGAUUUGAAGCGGCGCUUGAUGUGCUUGGUCUUCUUGUGAAACCUAUGCUCUUUUGCAAUAGCAAUAGCUCCAGUGUUGUCACAUAACAGAGUCAUCGGACCCGACGCACUUGGAAUCACUCCUAGGUCGGUAAUGAACUCCUUCAUCCAGACUCCUUCCUGUGCUGCUUCCGAAGUAGCUAUGUAUUCCGCUUCACAUGUAGAUGUCGCCAUGACGCUUUGCUUGCAAUUGCAUGCUACGGCGGCAGAAAUCCUUCUGUUGCCUCUUGAGCUUGCGUUUGUUUUUCCCUUGAAGAGGAAAGGGCGAUGCAGCUUAGGAGCAGUAAGUAUUUCCCUCAGUUUGAGAACCAAGGUAUCCAUCCAGUAGGAGAAUCGCGCCAAGUCCAGAGUACGUGCGCAAACACAAAAGAGCUUGCACCCAACGCUAUAAAGGGGUUGUCAAUCCCUUCAAGAUUGAUUGCAAAGUGAGAUCUCAAGGCGGAAAGUGCAACGAAGUAAAAUUGUAAAGGCUGUAAAUAUGGUGUGAAGUAGACCCGGGGGCCAUAGUGUUCACUAGAGGCUUCUCUCAAAAUAGCAAAUAAUACGGUGGAUUAACAAAUUACUGUCGAGCAAUUGAUAGAACCGCGCAAAGUCAUGACGAUAUCUAAGGCCAUGAUCAUACAUAUAGGCAUCACGUCCAAGACAAGUAGACCGAUACUUUCUGAUCUACUACUAUUACUCCACACAUCGACCGCUAUCCAGCAUGCAUCUAGUGUAUUGAGUUCAUGACGAACAGAGUAACGCCUUAAGCAAUAUGACAUGAUGUAGAGGGAUAAACUCAAACCAAUGAUGAAAACCCCAUCUUUUUACCCUUGAUGGAAACAACACGAUGCGUGCCUCGCUACCACUUCUGUCACUGGUUGAGGUCAUGAUAAGAUAAUAACAUGGAACCAUCAAAAAUUAUAGAUACGUUGGAGACGUAUCAAGCAUCCCCAACCUUAACUCCUGCUCGUCCUCGAGUAGGGAAGUGAUAAAGAAUGAAAUUUUGAUGUGGAAUGCUACCUAGCAUAGUUGUCCUUUGUAACUACUUUCAUGUGACAUGAAUGUUCAGAUCCGUAAGAUUCAAAACAAUAGUUUGUUGGAAUUAUGCCCUAGAGGCAAUAAUAAAUGUAUAGUUAUUAUUAUAAUUCCUGUAUCAAGAUAAUAGUUUAUUAUCCAUGCUAUAAUUGUAUUGAAUGAAGACUCAUUUACAUGUGUGGAUACAUAGACAAAACACCGUCCCUAGCAUGCCUCUAGUUGGCUAGCCAGUUGAUCGAUGAUAGUCAGUGUCUUCUGAUUAUGAACAAGGUGUUGUUGCUUGAUAACUGGAUCACAUCAUUGGGAGAAUCACGUGAUGGACUAGACCCAAACUGAUAGACGUAGCAUGUUGAUCGUGUCAUUUUGUUGCUACUGUUUUCUGCGUGUCAAGUAUUUAUUCCUAUGACCAUAAGAUCAUAUAACUCACUGACACCGGAGGAAUGCUUUGUGUGUAUCAAACGUCGCAACGUAACUGGGUGACUAUAAAAGAUGCUCUACAGGUAUCUCCGAAGGUGGUAGUUGAGUUAGUAUGGAUCAAGACUGGGAUUUGUCACUCCGUGUGACGGAGAGGUAUCUCAGGGCCCACUCGGUAAUACAACAUCACACACAAGCCUUGCAAGCAAUGUAACUUAGUGUAAGUUGCGGGAUCUUGUAUUACGGAACGAGUAAAGAGACUUGCCGGUAAACGAGAUUGAAAUAGGUAUGCGGAUACUGACGAUCGAAUCUCGGGCAAGUAACAUACCGAAGGACAAAGGGAAUGACAUACGGGAUUAUACGAAUCCUUGGCACUGAGGUUCAAACGAUAAGAUCUUCGUAGAAUAUGUAGGAUCCAAUAUGGGCAUCCAGGUCCCGCUAUUGGAUAUUGACCGGGGAGUCUCUCGGGUCAUGUCUACAUAGUUCUCGAACCCGCAGGGUCUGCACACUUAAGGUUCGACGUUGUUUUAUGCGUAUUUGAGUUAUAUGGUUGGUUACCGAAUGUUGUUCGGAGUCCCGGAUGAGAUCACGGACGUCACGAGGGUUUCCGGAAUGGUCCGGAAACGAAGAUUGAUAUAUAGGAUGACCUCAUUUGAUUACCGGAAGGUUUUCGGAGUUACCGGGAAUGUACCGGGAAUGACGAAUGGGUUCCGGGGGUUCACCGGAGGGGGGCAACCCACUCCGGGGAAGCCCAUAGGUAUUUGGGGGGGUCACACCAGCCCUUAGUGGUCUGGUGGGACAGCCCACCAAAUCCUAUGCGCCAAGGAAGAAAAUCAAAGAAAGAAAAAAAAAGGAGGGGAAGUGGGAAGGGGGAAGGACUCCCUCCCACCAAACCAAGUAGGACUCGGUUUGGGGGGGGAGAGUCCUCCCCCCUGGCUCGGCCGACCCCUUGGGGUUCCCUUGGACCCCAAGGCAAGGUCCCCCUCCCUCCUCCUAUAUAUAUGGGGCUUUUAGGGCAGAUUUGAGAUGACUUUCUCACGGCUGCCCGACCACAUACCUCCAUAGUUUUUCCUCUAGAUCGUGUUUCUGCGGAGCUCGGGCGGAGCCCUGCUGAGACAAGAUCAUCACCAACCUCCGGAGCGCCGUCACGCUGCCGGAGAACUCUUCUACCUCUCCGUCUCUCUUGCUGGAUCAAGAAGGCCGAGAUCAUCGUCGAGCUGUACGUGUGCUGAACGCGGAGGUGCCGUCCGUUCGGUACUAGAUCGUGGGACUGAUCGCGGGAUUGUUCGCGGGGCGGAUCGAGGGACGUGAGGACGUUCCAAUACAUCAACCGCGAUAUCUAAUCGCUUCUGCUGUACGAUCUACAAGGGUACGUAGAUCACUCAUCCCCUCUCGUAGAUGGACAUCACCAUGAUAGGUCUUCGUGCGCGUAGGAAAAUUUUUGUUUCCCAUGCGACGUUCCCCAACAUAGUUUGCUAUUGACAUGAAAACAAUAAUACUUCAAGCGAACUAGCAAGGUAAUCAUGAACUUUUGAAAUAAAAAGGCCAAAGAAAGUUAUCCCUACAAAAUCAUAUAGUCUGGCUAUGCUCCAUCAUCCCCACACAACUAAUUUAAAUCAUGCACAACCCCGGUAUUGGCCAAGUAAUUGUUUUUGCACUCUUACUUUGUCAAAUCUUUUUCAACUAUCACGCAAUACAUGAGCGUGAGCCAUGGAUAUAGCACUAUAGGUGGAAUAGAGUGUGGUGGUGGUUGUGAGACAAAAAGGAGGAGAUGGUCACAUAGAAUCGGCGUAUUAAAGGGCUAUGGAGAUGCCCAUUAAUAGAUAUCAAUGUGAAUGCAUAGGGAUUGCCAUACAAAGGAUGCACUAGAGCUAUAAGUAUGUGAAAGCUCAAAAGGAGAACUAGUGGGUGUGCAUCCAACUUGCUUGCUCACGAAGACCUAGGGCAAUUUGAGGAAGCCUAUCCUUGGAAUAUACAAGCCAAGUUAUAUAAUGAAAAUUCCCACUAGCAUAUGGUGGUGACAAAACAAGAGGCUCUCAAUCAUGAAGAACCUGGUGCUAUUAUGAAGCACAAGUGUGGAAAAAGAUAGUAGCAUUGUCCCUUCUCUCUUUUUCUCUUUUUUUAUUUGGUUCUUUGGCCUCUUUUUUUCUCUUCUCUUUUUUUUAUUUGGGCUCUUUGGCCUAUUUUUUAUUUUAUUUCCUCACAUGGGACAAUGCUCUAAUAAUGAUGAUCAUCACACUUUUAUUUACUCACAGCUCAAAGCUUAGAACGAUGAUAACUCUAUAGGAAAUGCCUCCGGUAGUGUACCGGGAUGUGCAACGAUCUAGCUUGGUGUAUGACGUUGAAACAUCUCGCUAGCUAUCUUACGAUCAUGCAAUGGCAAUAUGAGAGUGACGGCACAAGUCAUGAGGCGGAACGGUGGGAGUUGCAUGGCAAUAUAUCUCGGAAUGGCUAUGAAAAUGCCAUAGUAGGUAGGUAUGUGGCUGUUUUGAGGAAGGCGUGUGGUGGGUUUGUGCACCGGAGAAAUUUGCGCGGUACUAGAGAGGCUAGCAAUGGCGGAAGGUGAAAGUGCAUCUAUACCAUGGACUCACAUUAUUCAUGAAGAACUCACAUACUUGUUGCGAAAGUUUUUAUUAGUAAUCGAAACAAAGUGUUAAACGCAUACUCCUAGGGGAAGGGUUGGUAGGUGUUAACCAUCGCGACAUCCCGACCGCAACACAAAGGAUGACAAUCAAUAGAUCAAUUAUGCUCCGACUUCCUAACAUAGCGGUUCACCAUACGGGCAUGUUACGGGAAUAACUAACUUCAACACAAGUAUUUCUAGAUUCACAACACCCUACUAACAUAACUCUUAAUAUUACCAAAUCCACGUCUCAAAACUAAUUGAGAGGAAUCAAACUUCUCUUUCUACUCAAUUCACAUUAAGAUGGAAGUUUUUUGUAUCCUCUUUUUGCACCUAUCACCUUUGGGACUACUUUCAUAGCACAAACCAACUACCAAGUCACGCACCGCCGUGCUCUAAAAGAUCUAAGUGAAGCACAUAGAGCAAAAAUUAUCUAGCUCAAAAGAUAUAAGUGAAGCCCGAUGAGCAUUCUAGUAAAUUCACGAUGAGUGCAUGUAUCUCUAAAAAGGUGUGCAGCAAGGAUGAUUGUGACACAACAAAAAGAAAAGACUCCUACGAUACAAGACGCUCCAAGCAAAGCACAUAUCAUGUGGUGAAGAAAAAUAUAGCUCCAAGUAAUGUUACCGAUGGAUUGAAGACGAAAGAGGGGAUGCCUUCCUGGGGCAUCCCCAAGCUUAGGAUUUUUGGUGUCCUUGAAUUUGGCUUGGGAUGCCUUGGGCAUCCCCAAGCUUGAGCUCUUUCCACUCUUUAUCCCUUUGUCCAUGAGAACAUCACCCAAAACUUGAAAACUUCACAACACAAAACUUAAAUAGAAACUCGUGAUAUCAUUAGCACAAGAAAACAAACUACCACCUCUUUAGGUACUGUAGAAAACUUGAUUUCUAUUCAUAUUGGUGUUAGAUUACUGUAUUCUCACUUUUCCAUGGCUAGUACCCCCUGAUAAUAUACAUAGUUUCAUCAAAACAAGCAACCAACACAACAAAAACAGAAUCUGUCAAAAACAGACUAGUCUGUAGCAAUCUGUAUACUUCGUAUACUUAUGUUAUCUCAAAAAUUCUGAAAACUUACGACAAUUUGGGAAAAAUGCAUAUUAACUAGGAGCAAAAAGAAUAAACUCAAAAGCUCUUUCUGAAUAAAAAUGAAAAAUAAUCUCGUGAGCGAAAAGUUUAUGUCUUUUUCCAGCAGGAUCAAACAACCAUCACCAAGACUAGUCAUAAAGGUUUUGCUUGGAUCAAACACAAAAAUAAACACAAAAUACACAAUCAUAACAUAAUUAUGAUGGUGUGGAUGCAAAAAAACAGAAAGAAAAAGAUAAAUUCAUUGGGCUGCCUCCCAACAAGCGCUAUUGUUUAACGCCCUUAGCUAGGCAUAAGGCGAUAGAAUCACGUAUCAUCGCCUUUGGCGCUCAAACCAUAAGUAGCCCUCAUCAUAGAUUCAUAAGGCAAUCUUAUUUUCCUUCUAGGAAAAUGUUCCAUGCCCUUCUUUAAAGGAAACUGAAAUCUAAUAUUCCCUUCCUUCAUAUCAAUGAUAGCACCGAUAGUCCUUUGGAAAGGUCUACCAAGAAUGAUAGGGCAUGUAGGAUUGCAAUCAAUGUCAAGCACAAUGAAAUCCACAGGUACAUAGUUCCUAUUUGCAAUAAUAAGAACAUCAUUGAUCCUUCCCAUGGGUUUCUUGACAGUAGAAUCGACAAGAUGCAAAUUAAGAGAACACUCAUCAAUCUCAUUAAAACCCAGAACAUCACAUAAAGACUUUGGAAUCGCGGAAACACUAGCACCCAAAUCACACAAAGCAUUGCAUUCAUAGUUUUUUAUUUUGAUUUUGAUAGUAGGUUCCCACUCAUCAUGAAUCUUUCUAGGGAUAUAAACUUCCAAUUCAAAUUUCUCUUCAAGAGAUUUUAUCAUAGCAUCGACGAUAUGAUCGAUAAAGGCCUUGCUUUCCCUAUAAGAGUGUAGAGACUUUAGCAUGGAUUGCAUCAAGGAAAUGCAUUCAAUCAAGGAGAAACUAUCAUAAUUGAAUUCCUUGAAAUCCAAAGUAGUAGUUUCAUUACUACUCAAGGUUUUAAUAUCUUCUACUCCACUUUCAAUGCUUUUAGCAUCAAGAUAGAUGGACUCCGAAUCAUUGGGGCGUUUUUCAACCAAAGUGGAUUCAUAUCCAGCCCCAUCAUCAUUAGGUUUGACACAAGAAAACAAAGAAUCAAUGGGAGUCACACCAAGCACUUUAAGAUCUUCGUGAUUCUCAUCACAAAUUUCAAGUUUAGCAGCCAUUUUAUUGACUAAACUAGCCUGUUUAUCAGAAAUCUGGCCUACCAAUUUUUCUAGACGAGCAAACUGUGAAUUUAGUGCAAGGAAUUCUUUGGCCAUAUCAUCAACUUCAUUAUUCAUAAAACCCAAAAAAGAAUUUUGCUCCUUCAGUUCCCUAAAAGAGUAACUAUUGUAAUCAAACUGUGUAGACAUGAAGCCUUUAACACUAGUUUCAAUCUCUUCCAACCUCGCAUAGUAAGCAUCAAAAUCCCUUGGUUGGGCCAUACAGGUCUUAGCAGGUAGACAAGCGGGCAGAAAGGAAGAGAGAGAAAAGGGAAAACGAAAAAGGCAAACGAAAAAGGCAAAUAUUUUUGUAAAUUUUUGUUUUUCAUAAGUGGGGGAGAGGAGAACGAGAGGCAAAGAAGUAAAUGCAAGAGAUGAGUUUGCGACACUUACUUGGAUGAGUUCUUGACUUGAUCCUCCCCGGAAACGGCGCUAGAAAUUCUUCUGCUACGACGGCAGAAAUCUUUCUUCUGCCUCUUGAGCUUGCGUUGGUUUUUCCCUUGAAGAGGAAAGGGCGAUGCAGCACAGGAGCAGUAAGUAUUUCCCGCAGUUUGAGAACCAAGGUAUCAAUCCAGUAGGAGAAUCGCGCCAAGUCCAGAGUACCUGCGCAAACACAAAAGAGCUUGCAUCCAACGCUAUAAAGGGGUUGUCAAUCCCUUCAAGAUUGAUUGCAAAGUGAGAUCUGAAGGCGGAAAGUGCAACGAAGUAAAAUUGUAAGGCUGAAAAUAUGAUGUGAAGUAGACCCGGGGGCCAUAGUGUUCACUAGAGGCUUCUCUCAAAAUAGCAAAUAAUACGGUGGGUGAACAAAUUACUGUCGAGCAAUUGAUAGAACCGCGCAAAGUCAUGACGAUAUCUAAGGCAAUGAUCAUACAUAUAGGCAUCACGUCCAAGACAAGUAGACCAAUACUUUCUGCAUCUACUACUAUUACUCCACACAUCAACCGCUAUCCAGCAUGCAUCUAGUGUAUUGAGUUCAUGACGAACAGAGUAACGCCUUAAGCAAGAUGACAUGAUGUAGAGGGAUAAACUCAAACCAAUGAUGAAAACCCCAUCUUUUACCCUUGAUGGCAACAACACGAUGCGUGCCUAGCCACCUCUUCUGUCACUUGGUGAGGUCACCGCACGGUAUGAACCCAAAACCAAGCACUUCUCCCAUUGCACAAAUCAUAGAUCAAGUUGGCAAAUAAAAACCCACAACUCAAAGAGAAUUACAAGGAUAUUAAAUCAUGCAUAUAAGAGAUCAGAAGGAACUCAAAUAAGAUUCAUAGAUAAUCUGAUCAUAAAUCCACAAUUCAUCGGAUCUCGGCAAACACACCGCAAAGGAAGAUUACAUCGGAUAGAUCUCCAUGAAGAUCAUGGAGAACUUUUUAUUGAAGAUCCAAGAGAGAGAAGAAGCCAUCUAGCUACUAGCUAUGGACCCGAAGGUCUAUGGUGAACUACUCACGCAUCAUCGGAGAGGUCAUGGUGUUGAUGAAGAAGCCCUCCGUAUCUGAAUCCCCACUCCGGCAGGGCACCAGAACGUGCCCAGAUGGGAUCUUGCGGAGACAGAAGCUUGUGGCGGCGGAAAAGUAUUUUCGUGCAUCUCUUUGUCAGUUUUGGAUUUUUCUAAAUUUAUAGGCGGAAGAGGUAGGGCAGACGAGCCACAGGGGCCCACAAGCCUGCUAGGCGCGGCCCCCCUGGCCGCGCCUAGGGGGCUUGUGGGGUCCCCUGGUGGCCCCUACCUUGGUUCUCAAGUCUCGUGCGUAUCUUCUAUUCUGGGAAAAAAUCUUUUCAGAAGUUUUAUUCCGUUUGGACACCGUUUAAAAUCCUCCUGUGAAAAGGGUCAAAAACACGGAAAAAACAAGAAGUGGCACUUGGCACUGAGUUAAUAAGUUAGUCCCAAAAAAUAUAUAAAAGGCAUACAAAACAUCCAAGUUUGACAAGAUAAUAGCAUGGAACCAUCAAAAAUUAUAGAUACGUUGGAGACGUAUCAUUGCACUAGCUAAUUGCCCUAUUAUUCAAAAUGUACACGUAUUCGGUUUGUGACUUGGAGUCAUCCGGAUCUGUGUCGAAGCUAGCAUCGACGUCAACCUUUAUGACGAGCUCUUCGGCACCUCCAUAGACGAGAAACAUAUCUUUUGUCCUUUUCAAGUACUUUAGGAUAUUCUUGACCAUUGUCGAGUGAUCCACUCAUGGAUCACUCUGUGUUGGAAAUAUGCCCUAGAGGCAAUGAUAAAAUAGUUAUUAUUAUAUUUCCUGUUUCAAGAUAAUCGUUUAUUAUCCAUGCUAUAAUUUUAUUGAAUGAAAGCAUAGAUACAUGUGUGUAUAUAUAGACAAAACAAUGUCCCUAGUAAGCCUCUAGUUGAGUAGCCAGUUGAUCAAGGAUGGUUAAGGUUUUCUGACCAUAUGCAAGUGUUAUCACUUGAUGACUGGAUCACAUCAUUAGGAGAAUGAUGUGUUCGACAAGACCCAACCAUAUUUUUAGCCUUACACUUUUUACUUCGUUGCACUUUCCGCCUUCAGAUCUCACUUUGCAAACAAUCUUGAAGGGAUUGACAACCCCUUUGAAGCACUGGGUGCAAGCUUGUUUGUGUUUGCGCAGGUACUUUGGACUUGAUGAGGCCCUCCUUCUGGAUCGAUACAUUGGUUCUAAAAUUGAGGGAAAUACUUACUGCUCCUGUGUUGCAUCACCCUUUCCUCUUCAAGGGAAAAACAGACGCAAACCAGAGAAGUGAUACGUCUCAAACGUAUCUAUAAUUUUUGACAGUUUCAUGCUAUUAUCUUGUCAACUUUGGAUGUUUUAUAUACCUUUUAUAUCUUUUUUGGGACUAACUUAUUAAUUCAGUGCCAAGUGACAGUUCCUGUUUUUUCUGUGUUUUUGACUCUUUUCAGAUCUGAUUUUGGAACGGAGUCCAAACGGAAUAAAAUCCCCGAAAUGAAUUUUUCCAGAACAGAAGAAGAUCGGGGGACUUGAGGGCCAAGGCAGGAGGCCCACAGGGAGCCCACAAGCCAUGUAGCCGCGGCCAGGGGGCCCGCGGCUACCAGGCUUGUGGCCCCCUCGAGCUCCCCUGCCCUAGCUCUUUGGCCUAUAUAUUCCCUAAAAUACCAGAAAAAUAAGGGCAUCCACGAAACCACUUUUCCGUGGCCGCAAGCUUCCGUUUCCGCGAGAUCUCAUCUGGAGACCCUUCCCCGUGCCCUGUAGGAGGGGACUUUGGAGCUGGAGGGCUUCUACAUCAACAUCAUUGCCUCUCCAAUGACUCAUGAGUAGUCUAGUUCAGACCUACGGGUCCGUAGUUAGUAGCUAGAUGGCUUCUUCUCUCUCUUGGAUCUUAAAUACAAAGUUCUCCAUGAUCAUGGAGAUCUAUCCGAUGUAAUCCUCUUUGGCGGUGUGUUUGUCGAGAUCCGAUGAAUUGUGGAUUUGUGAUCAGAUUAUCUAUGAAUUAUAUUUGAGUCUUUGCUGAUUUCUUAUAUCCAUGAUUUGAUAUCCUUGUAAGUCUCUCCGACUCUUGGGUUUUGUUUGGCCAACUAGAUCUAUGAUUCUUGCAAUGGGAGAAGUGCUUGGUUUUGGGUUCAUACCGUGCAGUGACCUUUCCCAGUGACAGAAGGGGCAACAAGGCACGCGUCAUGUUGUUGCCAUCAAGGGUUACAAGAUGGGCUUUCAUCAUAGAUUUGAGAUUGUCCAUCUACAUCAUGUCAUCUUGCUUAAGGCGUUACUCUGUUCUUAUGAACUCAAUACACUAGAUGCAUGCUCGAUAGCGGUCAACGUGUGGACUAAUAGUAGUAGAUGUAGAAAGUAUCGGUCUACUUGUUUUGGACGUGAUGCCUAUAUGUAUGAUCAUUGCCAUAGAUAACGUCAUGACUUUGCGUGGUUCUAUCAAUUGCUCGACAGUAAUUCGUUCACCCACCGUCUACUUGCUUUCAUGAGAGAAGCCACUAGUGAACACUACGGCCCCCGGGUCUAUUCACAAUUGUCAUCUCCACUUUUACUUUUACUUCGCUUUGUUUACUUUUUGCUUUCACUUCUCACUUUGCAAAUAAUCUAUAAGGGAUUGACAACCCCUUCAUAGUGUUGGGUGCAAGCUCUUUGUGUUUGUGCAGGUACUUGUGACUUGACGCGAUCCUCCUACUGGAUUGAUACCUUGGUUCUCAAACUUAGGGAAAUACUUACCGCCGAUGUGCUACAUCACCCUUUCCUCUUCAAAGGAACACCAAAGCAAGGCUCCAAGGCCGCGGGGGAAUCCUUUGCAUAUUUGCCAAGGAAAUCCCUAGAGGCGUAGCCAGUAGCAAGAAGUAACAAGAAGAAUUCCUAAGCGCCAGGGAAGGACUUUUUUCGCCGUAGCAGAAGAAUUUCUGGCACCGUUGCCGGGGAGGAAGAUCAAGUCAAGAACUCAUCCAAGUAGGUGUCGCAAACUCAUCUCUUGCAUUUACUGUGUUUGCCAAUUGCCUCUCAUUUUCCUCUCCCCCACUUCACCAAUUUGCCUUUUUCGUUCACCUUUUCGUUCGCCCUUUUUCUCGGCUGCUCUUUGUUUGCUCGUGUGCUUGCUUGCUUGCUGAAGUCACCAUGAACGAAAACACCAAGAUUUGUGACUUCUUGAAUACUAAUAAUAAUGAUUUUAUUAGUACUCUGAUUGCUCCCGCCACUAGUAUCGGGGGGUACUAGCCAUGGAAAAGUGAGAAUACAGUAGCUCAUCAUCAAUAUAGAUGGAAUUCAAGUUAGCUACAGUACCAAAAUAAGUGGUAGUUUUUUUUCUUAUACUAAUGUUAUCACAAGUUUCUGUUUAAGUUUUGUGUUGUGAAGUUUUCAAGUUGUGGGUAACGUUCUCAUGGACAAAGAGAUAAGGAGUGGAAAGAGCUCAAGCUUGGGGAUGACCAAGGCAUCUCAAGCUAAAUUCAAGGACACCAAAAAGCCUAAGCUUGGGGAUGCCCCGGGAAGGCAUCCCCUCUUUCGUCUUCAAUCCAUCGGUAACAUUACUUGGAGCUAUAUUUUUAUUCACCAUAUGAUAUGUGUUUUGCUUGGAGCGUCUUGUAUCUUAGCAGUCUUUUCUUUUUGUUGUGUCACAAUCAUCCUUGCUGCACACCUUUUUGAGAGAGAGAGACAUGCACUCAUCGUGAUUUUGCUAGAAUGCUCAUAGUGCUUCACUUAUAUCUUUUGAUCUAGAUACUUUUCCUCUAGUGCUUCACUUAUAUCUUUUGAGCUAGAUACUUUUGCUCUAGUGCUUCACUUAUAUCUUUUGAGCUAGAUACUUUUGCUCUUGCGCUUCACUUAUAUCUUUAGAGCACGGCGUGCAUGAUUUGGUAGUUGGCUUAUGUUAUGAAAGUAGUCCCAAAUGUGCUACGUACCCAAAGAGGAUGCAAAAGCCUACAUCUUCAUGUGCAUUGAGUAGAAAGAGAAGUUUUGAUUCCUCUCAAUUAGUUUUGAGACAUGGAUUCGGUAAUAUUGAGAGUUAUGUUAGUAGGGUGUUGUGAAUCUAGAAAUACUUGUGUUGAAGUUAGUGAUUCCCGUAGCAUGCACGUAUGAUGAACCGCUAUGUUAGGAAGUCGGAGCAUAAUUGAUCUAUUGAUUGUCAUCCUUUGUGUUAACGUCGGGAUCGCGCGAUGGUUUACACCUACCAACCCUUCCCCUCGGAGUAUGCGUUUAGCACUUUGUUUCGAUUACUAAUAAAAACUUUCGCAACAAGUAUGUGAGUUCUUUAUGACUAAUUUGAGCCCAUGGUAUAGAUGCACUUACACCUUCCACCAUUGCUAGCCUCUCUAGUGCCGCGCAAUUCUCGCCGGUACUCAAACCCACCAAAUUCAUUCCUCAAAACAGCCAACAUUGUAAGUGCAUCUAGUGCCCCUUAGUGAUUUUGGUGGUUUGAAGACUUAUAGGUUAAGUAUCUAAUGUGUUUGUGAGUAUACACAGGAUCUAUAAGUCAUUGAGGAGUUUGAGAUAUUUGAAGAAUAUCGACCCCUAAAAAUGUAUAUCUUCAGUUGAAGAAAUUGGUCUGAAGCUGAAGAAAUGAAUCGCGAAGAAUCUGCGAUGAAAUUAAUAUUCCUCAUGAAGAUACUGAUAUUGAGAAGACCGGUGGUUCCUGAAGAAAAUCAUUCUGAAGAAAUUGAAGCAUGAAGAUUUACGUUUUCUGUUUUACUUUCUUCGCAUUUGAUGAAUAGGAACACCGUACUGUUAAAGCGGGUCAAACUAACACUAUGGAAUCGAUUUCCUCAUGCUGCUCAACCCAAGCCAAAUACUACCAAAAGCCUUAAGUAAGGAAUAUGAGUGACAUGAGGACUCUCACAGUUGAGGGUCCCGACCGUUUCGAUAACCACGCCAAGUCACUGGUCUUAUCCACUCCAACGGUCAUAUUAUUUAAGGGCAUUAGUGUCAAAUCAUGUCGGGAUGCUCCCAGGCUAUAAAUAGCCACCCCCCACAACCACUAGCUGGUUGGCUGCUCCGUUAGAAACUAACACUUGUCAUAAGAGCAACCCAAAUUCCUCAGAGCCUUCGAGAGUAAUUCAUCAGUGAGGAAAUACACCACCCACCGAAACCACAAACCAAACCUAGUGAUUGAGCAUCACUGAAGAAGUUGUCCCUGUGUGGGACUGAAGCCUUUUACCUUUGAGGACUGUGCAUCCUCCAGAUGGUUAGGCGUCAUGGUCUAGAGCAAUCUAGCAGUCAAUUGUGGAUCGCCGGGUGACCGAGUUUGUGAGGGUUUGGAAGUCUCCCCUGAAGACUUACCACGAGUGUUGGGCGAGGACUGUGUGUCCUUAGCUCAAGGAGAAUACGGUAGGGACUCUGUGUCCCGGGACUGGGUGUCCUUUGGUUUCAAUACCAAGCCACUCCAAACCAGAUGUACAACUGCCACAGUAGUUGGAACUGGGUCAUCAACGACUGUCGUCUCUGAGAAUCGGGUUCUAACUCCUCAACUCUUUACUUUCUGUGUAUUAUGUGUUGAUGACUUUCACUGUGACUGUUUGAAGAAUUUGCUGAAGACUUUCUCUGAAUUUCCUCAACCCCAAAUUCUUCACAAUAGUUAAUCAUCGUCUGUAUUCUGCGUGCCUGCUUACUGUGCAAUCUGUUUUCACAUUCUUCACUCUGAAAUGAUGCUGGUGUGAACAUUUGCACGUCUGAUCCUUUACUGUUUCCGCUGUAAGUUAGUCAUCANNNNNNNNNNNNNNNNNNNNNNNNNNNNNNNNNNNNNNNNNNNNNNNNNNNNNNNNNNNNNNNNNNNNNNNNNNNNNNNNNNNNNNNNNNNNNNNNNNNNNNNNNNNNNNNNNNNNNNNNNNNNNNNNNNNNNNNNNNNNNNNNNNNNNNNNNNNNNNNNNNNNNNNNNNNNNNNNNNNNNNNNNNNNNNNNNNNNNNNNNNNNNNNNNNNNNNNNNNNNNNNNNNNNNNNNNNNNNNNNNNNNNNNNNNNNNNNNNNNNNNNNNNNNNNNNNNNNNNNNNNNNNNNNNUAGUCGAUAUAAUGCACUCUCAAUUGGUAUGAGAGCAAGGUACUCCCUUGUUUUGUGUGAUUUUGGUUUAACCACCUGGAGUUUUAGUUAUGUCGACUGCAGGCAUGUUCAAGGUGACUGCAGCAUGUCCUACCUACGAAUGGAAGAACUUUCCCUUAUGGAAGAACAAAAUGCAAAUGCAUCUACAAGCUAUUGAUAAUGAUCUCUGGUAUAUUGUGGAAAAUGGCGUCCCCAUCAUUUCUGCGAGUGUCACUGCAGCUGAUGUGAAGAAAUUCAAGCAACUUGAUACUCAAGCGAAGAACAUCAUCUGUGGCCAUCUGAGCCUUGGCCAGUUUGGAAGAGUAAGUGCUUUGGGCUCUGCAACACUGAUCUGGGAGAGACUGUGCAAGGUAAACGAAGGAGUAUCAACCCAGCGUGACUCUCGUGUUGAUAUUCUUCGCAAUCUCUUCAAUCGCUUCAAGAGACAUGACAAUGAAUGCUGCCAAGACACCUUUGAUCGCCUCACUGAUAUAUCAAAUGAACUGCAAGCACUGGGAGCAAGAGACAUCACUGAUCACGAAGUUGUGAAGAAACUGCUGAGAUCCUUGGAUUCUUCAUUUGACACUCUAGUUCUGAUGAUUCAAGAAAGACCAGACUACAAGAUGCUGGAUCCAGCUGAUAUCCUUGAAAGGCUAAAUACUCAUGAAUUCCAGCUAGAAGAAAAGAGAGAUCUAUAUGGAGAAAGCUAUUCCAGACCACGUGCACUGAAGGCUAGAGCAAUUUCCUCAUCUGAAGAAGAAGACACAGAUGACAGCAGUUGUGACCCUGAAGAAUUUGGACAGGAGCUUGCAAUGCUUGUGAGGAAAUUCCAGAGAUUUACACGACGAGGCCAGUUCGUAAAUCAUCAAGAAGAGACAUGAGGAAAUCAGAAUCUGCAUCUGAGGACUACAAGAAACGGACCUGUCACAAGUGCAAGAAAUCAGGUCAUUACAUUGCUGAUUGUCCCCGCUGGGGAAAGGAAUCAAAGAAGAAGAAAUACAAGGAUGACAGUUCUGAUGACUCGAAGAAGAAGAAGAAAUCUUCAAAAUCCUCAUCUUCAAAGUCCUCAUCACACAAGAAGACUAGCUUCAGAAAGGCUCGGGCACUUAUUGGCAAGGAAAUGGACUCCGAGGCAGAAUCAAAGGAAUGUGAUGAAGAAGAAGGCUCUGGAGAAGACUCAGAAUCCGGACAGGCUAGUCUUGCACUAGCAACCACUUUCGUCAGCAAGUCAAUCUUCAAUCUUGAAGAAAAUGAUUGCACCAUCCAUACUGAUGACUAUGCUGAUGACAUCGCUCCAACCUAUUGCUUCAUGGCAAAAGGUUCAAAGGUAUCAAAUAAUGCCUCCUCCUCUGAUUCAAGUGACUCUGAACAUAAUGAUUAUAAGAAACCCAGUUACAGUAAACUUGCUAUCAUUGCCACUAAACAACAAACUGCUCUGGAAAAGCUUCAAAAACUGCUAGACAAAAGUGAUGAUCUGUUGAAUGAUGAAAUGAACCUUAACCAAAUCCUCACUGAUGACAUGAGAAGUCUUCAGUCUAGAUUUGAUAAUCUUCAGGAUCGUUAUGAUACACUCCUCACUGAUCAUGAGAAGCUUUCCUACGAAUUUCUUCAAAGGAAGCUUGAUCUUGAGAAGCUGAGGAUGUCUCAUGAUGAUCUUCGUAUGGAAAAUGAUUCAUUACUAGCUCAACAGAUCAGCGCUAGUCAAGUUGAAUUUAUUCCUCCAUGUCUUAAAUGCAUUGAACGCGAAACUGCCAAUUCCUCACCAGAAUCAUCAAAUGCUACCAUUGCUACAAAUUCUUCAACUGCACCUGUUGUGUCUAUUUCCUCACUUGAGGAAAACACAAAUGUUACUGAUGAAAAUGCAGGUUUGAAGGAAUUGUACAUGACAGGCAUGUACAAAAGUCUCAAAGGACAUCAAACCCUUUGUGAUGUGCUCAAAAAGCAGAUCUUGAACAGGAACCCGAGGAAAGAAGGAAUUGCCUUUGAGAGGAAAUUAAAUGCUGAUGGAUCUUAUUGGAAACCUGAGCAGUAUCCCAAAACCUCAUGGGUUGCUUCUACUGGGCCUCCUUUUGAUCCAUCUAAUCUAACUGGCUUCUCAUGUGAAUUAUCCUAUUCCUCGGAUGAAUCAUUUGAUUCCAACUAUAAACUGUUCAAAAAUCAAUCUGGUGAAAUAUUUGCUCGAUAUGUUGGAACUAACUGCAGGAAUGGCCCUCCUCUGAGGAAAAUCUAGGUUCCCAAAAGUUGUCUUGAAAAUCUUCAGGUGAAUGUCCUCAUGACACGACCACAGAAGAAUCUGAACUCCAGAUCAAAUUCCUCAGGAGGACCAAAGUCUUCAAGAGGAUCAAAGUCCUCAACUGGUCAAAACUAUGCUCGUACCCGUGCUUAUGUAUCUAACAUGCAGGGAAACUACAAGGAAUAUGAAUAUGAGCGUUACUCCUCAAAUCAUUAUGUUCAUAAAUCCUCAAACCAGUUCUCUGCAUAUUCAUAUGAGUACUUUAAUGCCCCUACUAUUAAGAGAAGUGCAUUAGCUUCAAUGCCACCUUUCUCAUAUGGUGCUCGCAGGAUGAUGAACGCUUUGCCACCCCUUCAGAUGUGGGUGGUGAAGAAAUCGAACUAAUCACUUCUGCAGGUCACGUCUCCAGAUGAAAAUCAUCAUCUGAAGAAUUUGCUGGAGACUUGAGGAAAUGCUUGAUAGGACGCAAGCUAAUAAUUGAUGAAAUAGAAAUAUUUCACAUGUCCUUACAUUUCUGUUAUGAUGAAAUUAGUAUCAUAUUCUUCAAAUCUGAAGCAUAUGAGAUGGUAAGCUGUACUAAUUCAUCUGCAGGAUGACAAACCCAAAAAUACUGAGUGGGUUCUCGAUAGUGGCUGCACACAUCACAUGACUGGUGAUAAAAUCUUAAUGAUGAAUAUGCCACUAACUCCAUCACCUCUGAAGCAAAUCACAUAUGCUGACAAAGGUAAAAGCAAGGUAUUGGGACUUGGCAAAGUAGCUAUUUCCAAGGAUAGGCAUAUGGACAAAGUGAUGUUGGUUGAAUCCCUUGGUUUUAACCUCAUGUCAGUCUCGAUGCUUUGUGAUCUUGAUAUGAUCGUUAUCUUUGGUAGAUAUAGAUGUGUAGUCAUCAUGGAAUCUAACAGAUCCAAAGUCUUCGAAGGUGUAAGAAGAGGGGNNNNNNNNNNNNNNNNNNNNNNNNNNNNNNNNNNNNNNNNNNNNNNNNNNNNNNNNNNNNNNNNNNNNNNNNNNNNNNNNNNNNNNNNNNNNNNNNNNNNNNNNNNNNNNNNNNNNNNNNNNNNNNNNNNNNNNNNNNNNNNNNNNNNNNNNNNNNNNNNNNNNNNNNNNNNNNNNNNNNNNNNNNNNNNNNNNNNNNNNNNNNNNNNNNNNNNNNNNNNNNNNNNNNNNNNNNNNNNNNNNNNNNNNNNNNNNNNNNNNNNNNNNNNNNNNNNNNNNNNNNNNNNNNNNNNNNNNNNNNNNNNNNNNAAAACCUCAGAAGGAUGGCUGUGGCACCGAAGACAAGGUCAUGCAGGCAUGAGGAAUUUGCACACGCUUGCAAAGAAGAAGCAUGUCACCGGCAUCGAAUCAGUCAAAUUCCUCAAGGACCAUCUCUGCGGUGCUUGUGAAUCUGGGAAAAUGACCAGAUCCAAGCAUCCCUCUAAAACCAUCAUGACCACUACACGUCCAUUCGAAUUGCUUCAUAUGGAUUUAUUUGGACCUACUCACUAUGCCACACUAACCAACGCAACAUCUUUAUAUGGCUUCGUCAUAGUUGAUGAUUAUUCCAGAUAUACUUGGGUGCAUAUCAUAGUGUAUAAAACUGAAGUGCAGGAAAUCUUCAAACGAUUUUCUUCAAGGGCCUCGACGAACUUUGGCAUCAAGAUCAAACACAUCAGGAGUGAUAAUGGAACUGAGUUUAAAAACAUAGGUCUUGAUGAUUAUCUUGAUGAACUUGGUAUUACUCACGAAUUGUCUGCUCCUUAUACUCCUCAGCAGAAUGGUGUCGUCGAAAGGAAGAACAUGACUCUGGUUGAAAUGGCAAGAACUAUGCUUGAAGAAUAUCAGACUCCUCGUCGCUUCUGGCCUGAAGCAAUCAACACUGCAUGCCAUAUCAUCAACAGGGUAUAUCUUCACAAAUUCCUCAAGAAAACCUCAUAUGAACUCCUCACUCACAAGACACCCAAUGUAAGUUAUUUCAAAGUCUUCGGUGCAAAAUGCUGGAUUAGAGAUCCUCACCAUAGCUCAAAAUUUGCACCUAAGGCACAUGAAGGUUUUAUGCUCGGUUAUGGAAAGGACUCGCACACCUACAGAGUCUUCAACAACUAUCACAACAAAGUUGUUGAGACUGUAGAUGUGCGGUUCGAUGAAACUAAUGGCUCGCAAAGAGAGCAAUUUCCUUCUGAUCCAGAUAAGCUGUCUCCUGAGGAAGCAAUAAACCUUAAGCCUACUGAAGACAUUGUCCCCACUGAGGAAAUUGGUGAAGAAACGAUCCCCAUCGCUGAUAAAAACCAAGAAGAUGCUCCUGAGGAAAUUGCUACAGCACCACUUCCUCAGCCCAGACAAAAUCCUCAACCAGCUCAUCCGAGGAUUGCAAACGAAGUAGAACUUGAAAAAAUCCUCAACGACAUCAAUGCGCCAGGUCCUCUCACUCGCUCAAAAGCUUCACACUUAGUUAACUUUUGUGGGCAUUUUUCCUUUGUAUCCAUCACAGAACCCUCAAAAGUAGCUGAGGCUUUUCUGGAACCACAGUGGAUCCAAGCUAUGCAAGACGAACUUCUUCAAUUCAAGCUGAAUGACGUAUGGGAGCUCGUCAAACGACCAGAUCCUCGCAAGCACAACAUCAUCGGCACCAAGUGGAUUUUCCGNNNNNNNNNNNNNNNNNNNNNNNNNNNNNNNNNNNNNNNNNNNNNNNNNNNNNNNNNNNNNNNNNNNNNNNNNNNNNNNNNNNNNNNNNNNNNNNNNNNNCGGAAAAUCCACUUGGUGUCGAUGAUGUUGUGCUUGCGAGGACCUGGUCGUUUGACGAGCUCCCAUACGUCAUUCAGCUUGAAUUGAAGAAGUUCGUCUUCCAUAGCUUGGAUCCACUCCGGUUCCAGAAAAGCCUCAGCAACUUUUGAGGGUUCUGUGAUGGAUACAAAGGAGAAAUGCCCACAAAAGUUAACUAAGUAUGAAGCUUUUGAGCGAGUGAGAGGACCUGGCGCGUUGAUGUCGUUGAGGAUUUUGUCAAGUUCAACUUCGUUUGCAAUCCUCAGAUGAGCUGGUUGAGGAUUUUUUCUGGGCUGAGGAAGUGGUGCUGAUGCAAUUUCCUCAGGAACAUCUUCUUGAUUUUUAUCAGCGAUGGGGAUCGUUUCUUCAUCAAUUUCCUCAGAUGGAACAAUGUCUUCAGUAGGCUUGAGCUUUAUUGCUUCCUCAGGAGACAGCUUAUCUGGAUCAGAAGGCAAUUGCUCUCUUUGCGAGCCAUUAGUUUCAUCGAACCGCACAUCUACAGUCUCAACAACUUUGUUGUGAUAGUUGUUGAAGACUCUGUAAGUGUGCGAGUCCUUUCCAUAACCGAGCAUAAAACCUUCAUGUGCCUUAGGUGCAAAUUUUGAGCUAUGGUGAGGAUCUCUAAUCCAGCAUUUUGCACCGAAGACUUUGAAAUAACUUACAUUGGGUUUCUUGUCAGUGAGGAGUUCAUAUGAGGUUUUCUUGAGGAAUUUGUGAAGAUAUACCCUGUUGAUGAUAUGGCAUGCAGUGUUGAUUGCUUCAGGCCAAAAGCAACGAGGAGUCUGAUAUUCUUCAAGCAUGGUUCUCGCCAUUUCAACCAGAGUCCUAUUCUUCCUUUCGACGACACCAUUCUGUUGAGGAGUAUAAGGAGCAGACAAUUCGUGAGUAAUACCAAGUUCAUCAAGAUAAUCAUCAAGACUAGUGUUUUUGAACUCGGUUCCAUUAUCACUCCUGAUAUGUUUGAUCUUGAUGCCAAAGUUCGUCGAGGCCCUUGAAGAAAAUCGUUUGAAGAUUUCCUGCACUUCAGUUUUAUACACUAUAAUAUGCACCCAAGUGUAUCUGGAAUAAUCAUCAACUAUGACAAAGCCAUAUAGAGAUGCUGCAUUGGUUAGUGUGGCAUAGUGAGUAGGUCCAAAAAAUCCAUAUGAAGCAAUUCGAAUGGUCGUGUAGUGGUCAUGAUGGUUUUGGAGGGAUGCUUGGAUCUGGUCAUUUUCCCAGAUUCACAAGCACCGCAGAGAUGAUCCUUGAGGAAUUUGACUGAUUCGAUGCCGAUGACAUGCUUCUUCUUCGCGAGCGUGUGCAAAUUCCUCAUGCCGGCAUGACCUAGUCUUCGGUGCCACAACCAUCCUUCUGAGGUUUUNNNNNNNNNNNNNNNNNNNNNNNNNNNNNNNNNNNNNNNNNNNNNNNNNNNNNNNNNNNNNNNNNNNNNNNNNNNNNNNNNNNNNNNNNNNNNNNNNNNNNNNNNNNNNNNNNNNNNNNNNNNNNNNNNNNNNNNNNNNNNNNNNNNNNNNNNNNNNNNNNNNNNNNNNNNNNNNNNNNNNNNNNNNNNNNNNNNNNNNNNNNNNNNNNNNNNNNNNNNNNNNNNNNNNNNNNNNNNNNNNNNNNNNNNNNNNNNNNNNNNNNNNNNNNNNNNNNNNNNNNNNNNNNNNNNNCCCCUCUUCUUACACCUUUGAAGACUUUGGAUCUGUCAGAUUCCAUGAUGACUACACAUCUAUAUCUACCAAAUAUAACAAUCAUAUCAAGAUCACAAAGCAUUGAGACUGACAUAAGGUUAAAACCAAGGGAUUCAAUAAGCAUCACUUUGUCCAUAUGCCUAUCCUUGGAAAUAGCCACUUUGCCAAGUCCCAAUACCUUGCUUUUACCUUUAUCAGCAUAUGUGAUUUGCUUCAAAGGUGAUGGAGUUAGUGGCAUAUUCAUCAGUAAGCUUUUAUCACCAGUCAUGUGAUGUGUGCAACCACUAUCGAGAACCCACUCAGUAUUUUUGGGUUUGUCAUCCUGCAGAUGAAUUAGUACAGCUUACCAUCUCAUAUGCUUCAGAUUUGAAGAAUAUGAUACUAAUUUCAUCAGAUCAGUAAUUUCAUCAUAACAGAAAUGUAAGGACGUGUGAAAUAUUUCUAUUUCAUCAAUCAUUAGCUUGCGUCCUAUCAAGCAUUUCUUCAGGUCUCCAGUAAAUUCUUCAGAUGAUGAUUUUCAUCUAGAGACCUGACCUGCAGAAGUGAUUAGUUUGAUUUCUUCACCACCCACAUCUGAAGGGGUGGCAAAGCAUUCAUCAUCCUGCGAGCACCAUAUGAGAAAGGUGGCAUUGAAGCUAAUGCACUUCUCUUAACAGUAGGGGGAUUAAAGUACUCAUAUGAAUAUGCAGAGAACUGGUUUGAGGAUUUAUGAACAUAAUGAUUUGAGGAGUAGCGCUCAUAUUCAUAUUCCUUAUAGUUUCCCUGUAUGUUAGACGCAUAAGCACGGGUACGAGCAUAGUUUUGACCAGUUGUGGAUUUUGAUCCUCUUGAAAACUUUGGUCCUCCUGAGGAAUUUGAUCUGGGGUUCAGAUUCUUCAGUGGUGGUGUCAUGAUGACAUUCACCUGAAGAAUUUCAAUACAGCUUUUGGGAACCCAUAUUUUCCUCAGAGGAGGGCCAUUCCUGCAGUUAGUUCCAACAUAUCAAGAAAAUACUUCACCAGGUUGAUUUUUGAACAGUUUAUAAUUGGAAUCAAAUGGCUCAUCUGAGGAAUAGGAUAGUUCACAUGAAAAGCCAGUUAGAUUAGAUGGAUCAAAAGGAGGCCCAAUAGCAGCAACCCAUGAGGUUUUGGGAUACUGCUCAGGUUUCCAAUAAGAUCCAUCAGCAUUUAGUUUCCUCUCAAAGGCAAUUCCUUCUUUCCUCGGGUUCCUGUUCAAGAUCUGCUUUUUGAGCACAUCACAAAGGAUUUGAUGUCCUUUGAGGCUUUUGUACAUGCCUGUCACGUACAAUUCCUUCAACCCUGCAUUUUCAUCAUUGACAUUUGUGUUUUCCUCAAGUGAGGAAAUAGACACAACAGGUGUAGUUGAAGAAUUUGUAGCAAUGGUAGCAUUUGAAGAUUCUGGUGAAGAAUCAGCAGUUUCACGUUCAAUGCAUUUAAGACAUGGAGGAAUAAAUUCAACUUGACUAGCGCUGAUCUGUUGAGCUAGUAAUGAAUCAUUUUCCAUACGAAGAUCAUCAUGAGACAUCCUCAGCUUCUCAAGAUCAAGCUUCCUUUGAAGAAAUUCAUAGGAAAGCUUCUCAUGAUCAGUGAGGAGUGUAUCAUAACGAUCCUGAAGAUUAUCAAAUCUAGACUGAAGACUUUUCAUGUCAUCGGUGAGGAUUUGAGUAAGGUUCAUUUCAUCAUUCAACAGAUCAUCACUUUUGUCUAGCAGUUUCUGAAGCCUUUCUAGAGCAGUUUGUUGUUUAGUGGCAAUAAUUGCAAGUUUACUGUAUCUGGGUUUCUUAUAAUCAUUAGGUUCACAGUCAGUUGAAUCAGAGGAGGAGACAUUAUUUGAUACCUUUGAACCUUUUGCCAUGAAUCAAUAGGUUGGAGCGAUGUCAUCAGCAUAGUCAUCAGUAUGGAUGGUGCAAUCAUUUUCUUUAAGAUUGAAGAUUGACUUGGUGACGAAAGUGGUUGCUAGUGCAAGACUAGCCUGUCCUGAUUCUGAGUCUUCAUCAGAACCCUCUUCUUCAUCACAUCCCUCUGAUUCUACCUCGGAGUCCAUUUCCUUGCCAAUAAGUGCCCGAGCCUUUCUGAAACUGGUCUUCUUGUGCGAUGAGGGCUUUGAAGAUGAGGAUUUUGAAGAUUUAUUCUUCUUCUUCAAGUCAUCAGAACUGUCAUCCUUGUAUUUCUUAUUCUUUGAUUCCUUUCCCCAACGGGGACAAUCAGCAAUGUAAUGACCUGAUUUCUUGCACUUGUGACAGGUUCGUUUCUUGUAGUCCUGAGAUGCAGAUUCUGAUUUCCUCAUGUCUUUUCUUGAAGAUUUACCGAAUUGGCCUCGUCGCGUAAAUCUCUGGAAUUUCCUCACAAGCAUUGCAAGCUCCUGUCCAAAUUCUUCAGGAUCACAAAUGUUGUCGUCUGUGUCUUCGUCUUCAGAUGAGGAAAUUGCUCUAGCCUUCAGUGCACGUGGUCUGGAAUAGCUUGGUCCAUAUAGAUCUCUCUUUUCUUCUAGCUGGAAUUCAUGAGUAUUUAGCCUUUCUAGUAUAUCAGCUGGAUCAAGCAUCUUGUAAUCGGGUCUUUCUUGAAUCAUCAGAACUAAAGUAUCAAAUGAAGAAUCCAAAGAUCUUAGCAGUUUCUUCACAACUUCGUGAUCAGUGAUGUCUCGAGCUCCGAGUGCUUGCAGUUCAUUUGAUAUGUCAGUGAGGCGAUCAAAGGUGUCUUGGCAGCUUUCAUUGUCAUGUCUCUUGAAGCGAUUGAAGAGAUUGCGAAGAAUAUCAACACGAGAGUCACGUUGGGUUGAUACUCCUUUAUUUACCUUGCACAGUCUCUCCCAGAUCAGUGUUGCAGAGCCCAAGGCACUUACUCUUCCAAACUGGCCAGGGCUCAGAUGACCAUAGAUGAUGUUCUUCGCUUGAGAAUCGAGUUGCUUGAAUUUCUUCACAUCAGCCGCAGUGACACUUGCAGAGAUGAUGGGGACUCCAUUUUCCACAAUAUACCACAAAUCAUUAUCAAUAGCUUGUAAAUGCAUUUGCAUUUUGUUCUUCCAGAAGGGAAAGUUCUUUCCUUCGUAGGUAGGACAUGCUGCAGUCACCUUAAACAUGCCUGCAGUCGACAUAACUAAAACUCCAGGUGGUUAAACCAAAAUCACACAGAACAAGGGAGUACCUUGCUCUGAUACCAAUUGAAAGUGCAUUAUAUCGACUAGAGGGGGGGUGAAUAGGAGAUUUUUAGAAUUUCAUCACUCAGGAAAUUCCUUUUGAGGAAAUUCCUCACUGAUGACUAACUUACAGCGGAAACAGUAAAGGAUCAGACGUGCAACCGUUCACAACAGCAGUAUUACAGAGUGAAGAAUGUGAAAACAGAUUGCACAGUAAGCAGGCACGCAGAAUACAGAUGAUGAUUAACUAUCUUGAAGAAUUUGGGGUUGAGGAAAUUCAGAGAAAGUCUUCAGCAAAUUCUUCAAACAGUCAUAGUGAAAGUCAUCAACACACAAUACANNNNNNNNNNNNNNNNNNNNNNNNNNNNNNNNNNNNNNNNNNNNNNNNNNNNNNNNNNNNNNNNNNNNNNNNNNNNNNNNNNNNNNNNNNNNNNNNNNNNAUCAGACGUGCAACCGUUCACAACAGCAGUAUUACAGAGUGAAGAAUGUGAAAACAGAUUGCACAGUAAGCAGGCACGCAGAAUACAGAUGAUGAUUAACUAUCUUGAAGAAUUUGGGGUUGAGGAAAUUCAGAGAAAGUCUUCAGCAAAUUCUUCAAACAGUCAUAGUGAAAGUCAUCAACACACAAUACAAGAAAAGUAAAGAGUUGAGGAAUUAGAACCCGUUUCUCAGUGAAGACUGUUGUUGAUGACCGAGUUCCAACUGCUGUGACAGUUGUACAUCUGGUUUGGAGCGGNNNNNNNNNNGGAAAAGUAAAGAGUUGAGGAAUUAGAACCCGUUUCUCAGUGAAGACCGUUGUUGAUGACCCAGUUCCAACUGCUGUGACAGUUGUACAUCUGGUUUGGAGCGGCUUGGUAUUGAAACCAAAGGACACCCAGUCCCGGGACACACUGUCCCUACCGUAUUCUCCUUGAGCUAAGGACACACAGUCCUCGUCCAACACUCGUGGUAAGUCUUCAUGGCAGACUUCCAAACCCUCACAAACUUGGUCACCCGACGAUCCACAAUUGACUGCUCGAUUGCUCUAGACCUUGACGUCUAACCGUCUGGAGGAUCCGCAGUCCUCAAAGGUAAAAUGCUUCAGUCCCACACAGGAACAACUUCUUCAGUGAUGCUCAAUCACUANNNNNNNNNNUUUGAAAGCUUUGAGGAAUUUGGGUUGCUCUUAUGACAAGUGUCAGUUUCUAACGGAGCNNNNNNNNNNNNNNNNNNNNNNNNNNNNNNNNNNNNNNNNNNNNNNNNNNNNNNNNNNNNNNNNNNNNNNNNNNNNNNNNNNNNNNNNNNNNNNNNNNNNCGGUCACCCCGCGAUCCACAAUUGACUGCUGGAUUGCUCUAGACCAUGACGCCUAACCGUCUGGAGGAUGCACAGUCCUCAAAGGUAAAAGGCUUCAGUCCCACACACGAACAACUUCUUCAGUGAUUCUCAAUCACUAGGUUUGGUUUGUGGUUUCGAUGGGUGGUGUAUUUCCUCACUGAUGAAUUACUCUCAAAGGCUCUGAGGAAUUUGGGUUGCUCUUAUGACAAGUGUCAGUUUCUAACGGAGCAGCCAACCAGCUAGUGGUUGUGGGGGGUGGCUAUUUAUAGCCUGGGAGCAUCCUGACAUGAUUUGACACUAAUGCCCUUAAAUAAUAUGACCGUUGUAGUGGAUAAGACCAGUGACUUGGCGUGGUUAUCCAAACGGCCGGGACCCUCAACUGUGAGAGUCCUCAUGUCACUCAUAUUCCUCACUUGAGGCUUUUGGUAGGAUUUGGCUUGGGUUGAGCAUCAUGAGGAAAUCCAUUCCAUAGUGUUACUUUGACCCCCUUUAACAGUACAGUGUUCCUAUUCAUCAAAUGCGAAGAAAGUAAAACACAAAACGUAAAUCUUCACGCUUCAAUUUCUUCAGAAUGAUUUUCUUCAGGAACCACCGAUCUUCUCAAUAUCAGUAUCUUCAUGAGGAAUAUAAAUUUCAUCGCAGAUUCUCGCGAUUCAUUUCUUCAGCUUCAGACCAAUUUCUUCAACUGAAGAUAUACAUUUUUAGGGGUUGAUAUUCUUCAAAUAUCUCAAACUCCUCAAUGACUUAUAGAUCCUGUGUAUACUCACAAACACAUUAGAUACUUAACCUAUAAGUCUUCAAACCACCAAAAUCACUAAGGGGCACUAGAUGCACUUACAAUCUCCCCCUUUUUGGUGGUUGAUGACAAUUAGGUUAAGUCUUCAACAGGGAUCAAAAAUAUGAAGUGUAAAUGCUCAUUUGAGGAAUUUGAAAACAAGAUUCAGAUAGACUCCCCCUGAAGAUGUGCAUACCUUGAGGACUUUGCUUUUAUAGCAGAUCCACAUUGAUGAUUUAUAUCAUGGAGAUCUCCCCCUGAGUCUUGUAAAUCAUGCAUACAUAUAACAUAUCAUAUGAAGAAAAUGAAGAUGCAUGAUGGCAAAUGGUAUCUGACGAAUUCUAGCAUGCGUGCAUUAAAACUUUGAGGAAUAAGCAUGCGAAGAAAAACGUUCAAAAACGUCAGAGUACCAUCGGGAUUAAGUGACAACUCAUUACAUAAAUAAUUCAGAAGAGCCAAGAGUUUGUAACUUAAAUAUAGUUCAUAAGCCCCAAAAGUAUCCCGCUUGAAGACUAACUCUCGAGUUUCUCCCCCUUUGUCAUCAAGUGACAAAAAGGGACAAACUGAGGACUAACGCCCGUGAAGACUUCAUUUCUUGGCGGUUGAUGAAGAGCCGUGACGCUUCUUGGGGGUAGUCUUCUUCCUUGGGCCGGUUGCUGUGUCGAGUUGUUCCUCAUCAGAUUCAACGGUGCGGAAUGAAGAAAAGGAGCUGUCUUCAAGGUCUGGCACUGGAAUGGGCCUGAACUUCCUCUUGGGAGGCCACGACCAGUCAAAGUCCUGCUCAAAGUUCAUUUCUUCAAGCUCAGUCUGAGUCUUCAGAUGUGCAAGUGUAGCCCAGGUGCGAUCGAAAACCUCAUGCAGAUAGUGAUGAUUAAUCUUCACAGAGUUCUGGGUUUCAGUGAGGGUUUUCACAAUGGCACCAAACUGGCAUUUGACCCAUUUGUGGUUGUGAUCCACCUUCUGGUGAAGACUGAGGAGAAGCUCUCUGGUGGUUAGCACGCGAGGAGGAACAGGGCUUGCUGGACGAGUCUCAGCAUCAUCCCAUGAAGAAUAUGCUUCUGGCUCUUUGAACUGGCCAUCAAGGGGCCUGCUGCCUUCUUCAAUCAUAGAUUUUCCUUUUCCUUCGAUGGGCUCGAAAGUCUUCUUGUUUACCCGGAUAGGAGGCAUAUAACCCAUGUGGUUUUGGAAAUCAGCGUGGAAGUUGAUGCCUGUCCUUGUCCUGAUGAAUCUCAUGAUCCAUGGGGCAUAAAUCUUGUGAUCAUAGGGGCACAUGGCAUUGUCAGCCAAAGUCCUCAAGAAGAAAUCAUGGAUAUUGAUAGGAAUACCAUGAAUGAUGUUGAAGAGGAUAUUCUUCAUGAGGCCUACAACAUCUUCUUCAUCGUCAUGGCCUUUGAUUGGCGCNNNNNNNNNNNNNNNNNNNNNNNNNNNNNNNNNNNNNNNNNNNNNNNNNNNNNNNNNNNNNNNNNNNNNNNNNNNNNNNNNNNNNNNNNNNNNNNNNNNNUAUUCCAUUUGGCAGCUCACGCUCACCAUAAAGAUUUACUGCCCCAUCUGAGGGAAUUGGUACGGGCAGUUCUCUGAGGAGUUCAGAAGCCGGAGCUUUGUAGUGAGUAUUUUGGGACAUCCAGUCGAACACCCAAGUGUUGAUGUCAUCAGCGUUGCUAGAGAUGUUAAGAGUUGCAUAGAACUGAAGAAUAAGCUCACUAUUCUAGUCUGAUAUGUCUGAGCACAUAGGGAGCAAACCUGCAUCAUGGAGUACACUGAGGACUGGUUCCAGGCAGGGUAUUGCUUCAAGCUCAACAUGAGGAAUGUGCCUGUGCUAGAAUAUUUUGUUGCGGCCACAGAGCACUGAGGAAUAGUAGUUCAUCUGAGUCCUUGUCCAAAACUUCAGAUGCCUCAUUUGAGGCUUGUCAUAAGGGUUCUCUCCGAUGAAAUACAUGCGUUCUUCAAAGAAAUCUUCUUUCUCAAACUUUGGACGCUUGGAGAAUGGUUGGCGCUGAUCUGGCUUAAGAUUCUGCUGAGGAAUGGGAGGGGAGACAACCAUGGCAGUCUCUGGGUUGAGCACAAUGAAUUCAUUGUCUUGGGCGGGAACAUUUUCUUCAGCAUUUUCCUCAGGUUGAGGAAUUUCAUCAGCUGGUACUUCUUGCUCUGGCUGAGCUUCAGGCUGAGGAAUUUCUGCUUCUUUCUCAGCUUGAGGAGUUGGGUCAGCCUGUUCAGAACGAGGAGUCUGCUCAGAAUGUGCAUUUUCCUCAGCUUGUUUUUCUUCAGCUGGCUUUGUGGCAGAAGCAUAUUCAUCAGCUGCUGCAGCUGAAGCUUGAGCAGUCGCUGUCUGAGGAACAAGAGGUUGAGGACUGUCAUCAAUCUGGAUUUCCUCAUCAGUGUGUUCCUCAGAGGCGACAUCCUUCAUUUCCUCANNNNNNNNNNAGCCCUUGUAGUUGGGUCAUCAAUGACGACCAUGUCAUAUGAAGGGGCGACAUUAAGAGGCACUGGAUCCAGAGGAGUAGUUUCUUCAGUUUCUUUGAGGCGCUUUGCCUCUGUCUUUUCUACUGCUGAGGAUGCUUUUCCCUUCUUUGCUUCCUUUUCAGCAGCCCUUGUCUUCUUCGCGUCUGAUGCAGACGGGAUUAUCUUCUUCACCUUUGAAGCUUUUGGUGAAGGUGUUCUUUCUGCAGAUUCUUCAGCUGGUAGUGAGGAACCAGCUGGAACAGAGUCAUCAGCCUGCUUUGAUGAAGCAGCUGGAUCAGGAGCAGUCUCAUCAGUGGUUGCAAUUUAAUCAGUUGCAGUUUCCGUGAUGAUUUCUUCAAUGGCCGAUUCAUCAGCACGGCGCUCCUGGUGUUCUUCCUCAGCUUGAGGAGUUUCCUCCUCAUCAGGAGAUGCAUCUGCUGGCUGCUCAACCAGAGCCUGAGGAGUUGGUGCUGGUUGUGCGGUUUUCUUGUUGUAUUCAUCAACAGCACUAGUGGCUAGCUUGAUGAAAUUGCGCUUGAUGCUUUUGCGAUCUGACAGCCUGUCAUACUUGUCAGUCAGUACUUGUAGCUCUGCCUGAGUUGACACCAGUGCAUCAGGAGUCAGCUUGAGGAGAUUCUGCCUGAGGAAUUUCUCCUUUUUGGCCUUUGCAACCUUUGCCUGCCUGGCCUGCUGUUCCUUCCACUUGGCUUCAUUUAUGAAGGUGGCCACCAUGUGGCUGAUGCCANNNNNNNNNNNNNNNNNNNNNNNNNNNNNNNNNNNNNNNNNNNNNNNNNNNNNNNNNNNNNNNNNNNNNNNNNNNNNNNNNNNNNNNNNNNNNNNNNNNNUGUGCCACCCUUUCUUGCUUGUUUCUGAUGAUGGCUUGCAGGGUUUCAUCAUCAUAGUCAUCACUUCCCUCUGAUGCAGAUGGGACUGCGAUGAUUUUGCUGGGGCUGGGCAGAGGUGCACGUUCAGUAGUUGCCAAAGUCUUCACAAGUGGUGUUGAAAGACUUUGUCUCCGAGCUAGUUGCAGCUGGGAGUGAGGAGCUGGAGCUGGCGGUCGUAGGCUUCACGACAUGCUUUUGUACUGGUUUUUAUUGAGGCUUUGGAGGUGGAGCUGAGGAUUUUGGUGCAGAGGAGAUUGGUGUUGAGGGUUUUGGCGCUGAUGGUUUUGGUGUUGAAGGUUUUGGAACUGAGGGUUUUGGAGCUGAGGGUUUUGGAGCUGAGGGUUUUGUGACAGAAGCCUGAACAGACUUCUCUUGAGGCUUUGGAGCCCUUUGCUUUGAUGGCACAGAAUGCGUGUGAGGAAUCUCUGAGCCUGAGGUUUCUGCCGCUCAGGAAUUAGGAGCACCGGAGGCAGCAGCUGAGGAUUCAUUAAAUUUCCUCAUUGCAGCUUGUGCUUGCUUCUUGAGCUUGGCCAGAUGUUUUUCUUUCUCAUCUGGGUAAUCAUCAAUUGUCAUGAGACUUGAGGGAUGUGCUACUUGAUGAUCCUCAAGUGGGGCCCUUCUGCCAGGAGGCUUAAAGCGAAUUUCUUUGCAUAUUUUGGAGUCACAAACCUGUACUCCUUCCAUUCCUUUGCCCAUCUGCGUUCAAUCUUCUGCAGCCUUAUCUUUCUCUUGGCCAUUGUCUCACGUUCUUCAUGAGGCGUACAAUAGUCCAAGUAUAUGUCCUCAGGGAUAUCAGCAGCUGUGUUCUGCUCCAGUUUCUUUCCUCCCUUCUGUUUUCUCUCUUCCUCCAUUUUCUUCAGUUGAGGACUUUGCUGAUGAUUUUGAACUCUUGAGGAUUCUGAUGAGCCUUGAAGAGUUUCUUCCAGAAACGCUGCAAAUGAGUUAAUGUGAUGAGAACCGAGAGAUUCAUCAGCUGACAUGUGUGUACGUGUGAACAGAGUAUAGCUGCGAGGAAUUUGGAGAGGUCAUAGGCGUUCUUAGAUUUGAAGAAAAUGAAAAAGUUUGACAUUUUGAGGAAUAUAACCAGUGGUUGAGGAAUUUGCCUAAGCAUACUGUUNNNNNNNNNNAUCCGAAAAUUAGCACAAUUGAGGAAUCUCGUGAAAAUCUUAGAUGCUUAGCUAGUUCAUCAAUGAUUGCGGUGAUAGGUAGUGUUGGAGGAAUCACGUGCGCAUCGUAUCUUGAGGAAAAACAGAUUUCACAUAGAAGAGGUAAAAUUUCAGAUCUAAUCUACUGUAAAAAUGGGAUAUAUUUACCCUGGAAGGUGCGAACAAAGAACACAGAAAGUAGUAUUGGAGAGGCUCUUCGGUCGAGUGUCCAAUGCACCCUAACUUGGCGGCAGAGGACGUCUACGGCGGCGGCGGACGAAGAUGGUCCGACUCCGGCGUGAUCCUGGUGACAAAAAGGUCGAGGCAGUGAAGCUCUUCCUCACCGGCGACAAGACUACCAGCGGUGGCGCUAGGGUUUGGUGGAGUGUGCUGUGGCAGGAGAGCGAUGAGGCGAAGAAGAGGAUACAGAGGGGGAUAAGGACAUAUUUAUAGCCCAGAAGUUACUGUUUGGCGCGAAAGUUUCGGACCAGAUAGCCCCUGCCUCUAUGUCUCCGCAGGACACGUGUAGCUCCCGUACGAUGCGGUGGAGAUGGUGGAGAUCGUGGUUAUCCGAUCGUGGGAAGUGGGGGUUCAGUUACUAUUCCUUUAAAGAAAAGAAUUUUUGAAGAUUUGAGGAUUUUCGUUACAAAAUCAUCAGCUGACAAGGAUGCAGUGAGAAUUUUGAACAAAGUUUCAAGUAGAACGCAUAUGAAGAAUUGAAUAGACUGGAUAAGUAUAGCAUAGAGGGAAAGUAGGGUCCGAUCACAUUCACUUAGCAGAAACAUCAACUUGAAGAAAUAGCAAUAAGUGAAUGCCGUUGAGGACUAGAAAUCACAGUCUACCUAGGCAAAUGGAAGUCAUCAAGUGUUUUUGAAGAUUUUGUAAUAGAUCAUCACAAUGAAGAACAACUGUUCUGAAGAAAAAUGCAUUGUGAGGAAAUUGAUCAUUUGAAGAAUGUUGAUUACAGACGCCGCAUACAAUUGUCGUAGGGCCCUGAGAAUCAAUUUCAUCAACUUUGCAUAAGUGUUAGGAUGUGUGCAUGUUUUUACAAAACAUUUGAAGACUCUAAGAUAUUUAGCUCACACCGCAACUUGCAAAACCUUUUCUCAUCCAAGGGCUUAGUGAAGAUAUCUGCUAGCUGAUCAUCAGUCUUCACAUGGUCGAUGAGGAUAUUGCCCUUGAGGACAUGGUCCCGAAGAAAAUGAUGACGAAUCUGGAUGUGCUUGGUCUUCGAGUGCUGUACUGGAUUGUAUGCAAUCUUGAUAGCACUCUCAUUGUCACAGUAGAGAGGCACAUUCUUCAUGUUGAUGCCGUAGUCCUUGAGGGUUUGCUUCAUCCAUAGCAAUUGAGCACAGCAAGAACCAGCAGCAAUGUACUCAGCUUCGGCAGUGGAGAGUGAUACGCAGUUCUGCUUCUUUGAGGACCAGCAAACUAGUGAUCUUCCGAGGAAAUGGCAUGUGCCAGAAGUUGACUUGCGAUCCACACGGUCACAAGCAUAGUCUGAAUCAGAAUACCCUACCAGAUGAAGAUUGGAGCCCUUGGGAUACCAUAAUCCUAGUGUUGGUGUGUGAGCUAAGUAUCGAAGAAUAUGUUUCACAGCCUUAUGGUGAGAUUCCUUCGGUUUUGCUUGAAAACGUGCACACAUGCAAACACUAAGCAUUAUAUCUGGCCUAGAUGCACAUAUAUACAAUAAGGAGCCAAUCAUAGAACGGUAUACCUGCUGAUCGAAAUCUUUACCAUUUUCAUCAGUGCCGAGGUGGCCGUUGGUAGGCAUUGGAGUCUUGGCACCUUUGCAUUCGUGCAUGUCGAAUUUCCUCAAAACAUCCUUGAGGUAUUUCUCCUGUGAUAUGAAGAUUCCAUUGCUUUGUUGACGAAUUUGAAGACCUAAGAAGAAUUUCAGCUCCCCCAUCAUGGACAUCUGAUAUUCCUCACUCAUCAUGUUGGCAAAUUCAUCAUUGUAUCUUUUGUCAGUACAGCCAAAUAUAAUAUCAUUGACAUAUAUUUGACACACGAAUAGCUCAUUAUCAUAGGAUUUAGUGAAAAGAGUUGGAUCGAGUGAACCAGGUUUUAAGCCUUUCUUCAUGAGGAAUUCCUUCAAUGUAUCAUACCAUGCCCGAGGGGCUUGCUUGAGGCCAUACAGAGCCUUUUUGAGUCUGAAGACUUUGUCUGGAUUCUUUGGAUCCUCAAAACCUGGGGGUUGAGCAACAUAUACUUCUUCCUCAAGCUUACCAUUGAGGAAUGCACUUUUCACAUCCAUUUGAUAUAAGGUGAUGUUAUGAUGAUUAGCAUAAGCAAGUAAUAUUCGAAUAGCUUCAAGUCUAGCAACAGGUGCAAAAGUUUCAUCGAAAUCUAUUCCUUCAACCUGGGUGUAGCCUUGGGCUACAAGUCGUGCCUUGUUCCUCACCACUUGACCGUCCUCAUCUUGCUUGUUUNNNNNNNNNNNNNNNNNNNNNNNNNNNNNNNNNNNNNNNNNNNNNNNNNNNNNNNNNNNNNNNNNNNNNNNNNNNNNNNNNNNNNNNNNNNNNNNNNNNNCACGGGGGGCGGUGGCUGUUGGGAAUGAGGGGCUGGGGCUCUCGAUUCCAGGGAGGACGAAGGAAGCCGACGGGAGAUCUGUCGGUGGGGUGGGUGGGGUGCUUGCGAUAGGAACGGGGGGGACGUGGGGUGGCUCUCGAUUGCGUGGUAGGUGGGGAAGGGGAUGAGAGACCGAGGGGGAGGUGGGGCGGUAGGUCUCGGUCGGUGGUGGCGAUCCCCUGGCGGCGGCACUGGGAAGCGGGGGGGAGAGUCAAGGUCUCGCUAGGGUUUGUCCUGAGCGGGCGGCUGUGGCGUGGCCGGCUGGGCCUCUAGGCCGAGUUGGGCGAGGGGGUGGGGGGGGUUCUCUUUCCUUUUUCCUUUUUUUUAUUUCUAAUUUUUUUGUACCUUAUUUUAUUUACUAUCUUUUAUAAUAUACUAUAUGUACUUUUACUUCUUUCUUUUUAUUUAUUUCUUUUCUGUUACUAUAUUUCUCUACUCUAUCUUAUUUAAGGCUCCACUUCUAAAUAUAUAUUUCCAAAAGUGCCUGAUUCAUUUGUAUACUUCGCUAGGUAAUCUGUAUAACUCCCCGACGUUUUUAUUUUAACAACAUAAAAUAUUUUCUCGCUUGACUUAAUCUCAAGGUUUCGAAUUUCGAUUCGGUUUCAACCAACAUGACAACAUUGAUAUAAUUCACGAUGACGUGGCAUCAUUAGCACAGGAUCACUGUUGCUUAAUUACAAUCAUCACUGUAGCAAAAGUCGAGGAUGUCACACCCUAUUACCUUGUGGACCCCUCGUGUCUCCAUAUUACCUAAUUCCAUCCAUAUAAAUUCUCAAAUAUUGGGAAAACAUCGGAGGGCCACCUGAAACACUUAUUCCACCACUGCAAGUCUCUCUUCCAACGGGAGGCCAUCUAGAGACCUUUUCUGGUGCCCUAUCGGAGGGGGGAUCGAUCAUGGAGGCCAUCUACAUCAACCUUGCUGCCUCCAUGAUGUUGUGUGACUAGUCCACCACAAACCUAUGGGUCCAUAGCUAGUACCUAGAUGACUUCUUCUCUCUAUAUGAUCUUCAAUACAAAGUUCACCCGAUUCCCGCGAUGAUCUAUUCUAUGUAAACUUCUUUGCAUUGUGUUUGUUGGGAUCCAAUGAAUUGUGGGUUUAUGAUCAUAUUUUUCAAGAAUAUUAAAUGAGUCUUCUUGGAAUUCUUUUAUGCAUGAUUAUUAUAACUUCGUAUUUCUCUCUGGUCUAUCGGGUUGGUUUGGUCAACUAGAUUGAUUUAUCUUCAGUGGGAGUGGUCCAUUGUGAUGGGUUCAAUCUUGUGGUGCUCAAUGCCGGUGACAGAAAGGGACAUGACACGUAUUUUUAUUGCUUUCAUGAAGUAUAAAACAUCGGGGUUAAUAAAAUUUAUUGAGUUUGCUUUGUCUACAUCAUGUCAUCUUACCCCAAGCAUUACUCUCUUUCAUACUAAAUACUCUAGAUGCAUGCUGGAUAGUGGCCGAUAAGUGGAGUAAUAGUAGUAGAUGUAGGAAAGACUCGUUCUACUUCCUCAUGGACUUGAUGCCUAUAUACAUGAUCAUUGCCUUGAAUAAUAUGUCAUGACUAUGCGCUUUUCUGUUGAUUUCCCAACAGUAAUUUGUCUAACCACCAUAUGCUAUCUUCAAGAGAGAAGCCACGAGUGAAAACUAUGCCCGUGGGUCUACUCAAGUUAUAUCACAAAAAACAUAAAAAUAUUGGUGUCAUUUACUAUCUAUUAUUCAUAUUCAUAUUUAUAUUAUCUAUCUAUCACUACUUAAUCCUUGCAAGUAACGAGUUCAAGGGGCUUGACAACCCUCUUUCCCGCGUUUGGUGCAAGUGUUUGGUUGUGUGUCUGCAGGUGCUCACGACGAAAGUUUGCUUAAUACUCCUAUUGGUUUGAUAACUUUUGUUCUCACUAAAGUAAGUACUUAUCUCUAAUGUGUUGCAUCUCCCCUCCUCUUCGUGGAAAAAUCCAACGCAGAUUAUAAGUAGUGAUUGUUUCUUCAGCGUAUUGUAUACAUGAGUCAUUUGGGGCUUUAUUAGUUUAGAGCCAAGCAUAUGCCUUCAAACCUAAAAGAGUCAUUUAAAAUUAUUAUUUUAUGUGCAAGAAAAUGGAGAUUUUUUGUAGGAUGCAAAUUGAGGUUUUACAUAUACAUUACACACUUUUGACCCAACCAAAUAUAUGUUUUCAUUUUAAAGCUUACAAGCUUUUUUUUUACAAAGUUUCCAUUCUAAAAUUUACAUACUCCUAAAAUUUCUCAUCACAUGAUUUUUUUUCAUGUAUAAUUUUUAUGUGAUAUAUUAUAUUUAAAGAAAAUUUUCAAAUAGAUCACAAUUAAUAUCAUUGAGUUGUACCAACUAUUUAGAAAUCAGUUGCCCUUCUUCAUUCUUGGUUAACUUUUACAUGGGGUGUAAGCUACCAAUAGCAUGGGUAUUCUCCCCAGUUGUCUCUCAAAUGUGGUAGGAUCAUACUUAUCAUACCGAGGCACAAAUUGUGACUCGGGGUAUUGUUCGAGACCCGAGGGUCAUCAUUUUUCUUGAAUUUGCAUACAAAACCAGCACCUUCAUCGCGAUGAUGUUGUGCUUACUUGUGCCAAAUCCCAUUGAAUUUCUCGCUUCAUGUGAAGCUCUUGUAAAAUCCCUUUUAUAGGGUUCCCUUAAAUAUAGCAUUCUUUGCUCAAGUGCAAUUUGGCUAAGACAUAAUUUAGUGAAUCCAUUGAACCAUGAAUAUUGGAUGCCAUGGUAUGUGAGGAUGUAGAAAUCGGUGUGCUUACAUCGAAUGACGAAGUGGGUGCAUGGUUUGAGUCAUUUCAAGUGAUUUGAGUUGAAUCUUUGGUAGUGAGGAAUUUCUUAGAAAUAUGAGAUGCACUCAUAGGACAAAGAUUUCCAUUAAGGGCUUUCAAGCAAUCAUGAUUUUGUUUCAAGUUGAGCAUCUUGAGGUUUAGCCUCUAAAACCUUAAAAGCCUCUUUAUGAUCAUGGGGUUGAAUUUGGUAUUUUGAGUUUAGUUUUUAAAUCUCACUAGUGAGAGCCUCAUUUUUGCUCAUCGCAUUAUAAUCAACUCUUCUUGCUUCACACACAUUUUUAGCAAGUGUGUCGUGACUCAAAAUAUCAAGUUUCUUUUCAUCAAGCAAAUCAUCAUCAUAGCUAUUGAAAUCGAUGAACUCGGGUUGUGUUAGGGUUGUUGACCAUGAAGCCUCUUGCAGAUCCACCAACUUCAUUUGGAGGGUCAAAUAAAGAUUGAGGUCUGGUGGUGACGAGUGCAAUUACGGCAACACAUUCAUCAUCACUAUUGAAGACGGUGUAGUAGUUUGACCUGGAUUAGGAGCUGAAUACCGAGUCACCAACAUUUUCAUGUGACCUGUGCUUAGAUUAUCUCUUGGGGGUAUUCAGCUUUCUUUGUGCGUCCUUUCUCUUUGGUAUUUUCUUUCUUUCCUAUCAUAAUUGUCCAUUCUUUUUCUUCUUGGAGAUUGUGCACUCUUCUUGGUAGAUUCACAACAAUUGGUGAUGAAGAUUCUGUAUUGUCCACAAUUAUAGCAACGACUCUCCUUUGGGCUAGACCUCUUGAUGGUCAUUGCUUGAUCUUGAGUAGCGCUAUCGUUGGUCUUCAAUUUAUUCUUGGAGUGCAUCUUGUUGAAGUCGCGGUUCAUAUGAGCAAGUUCUACACUAGAGACCUCCUUGGGGUUGUCCACAAUUGUAGUCUUGUGAGUACCACGGGCGACUUUGUAAGCUCUAGCAUUCUUUGUGUUGAGAUGAUUGAAAAUGAAUAUUUUCCUUGUCCUCGAUCACAUUUCAUGGACGGCAAUCGCUUCCUACGACAUUCUGCUCCACAUGUGACAGUCAUGUUGGCCAUGGAUCUCAAACGCUCAUAGACAUUCUAGGUGGUGUAUGGUUGUGAUCCCUAGAACAUGUGAGAUGCUUACACUGGUGUGUUGGGAUUGGGAAUGGGGGGAAGAAACCGACACCUCGAUCUCGAGAGACCGUACUGAGAGAGAUGAUCGCAAGCAAGGGCACAAGCUCAUGGUGAUGGAGUUGGACAAUGAGGAAAGCACUGGGACACCAAAACCGGGAUGACUAGACCAACCCUUGCUAGAGGAAAUCGCUAACGAUUCUCUGCCAAAUCGCCUCUCAUCACGAUUUAGGUGAUGUUUGGUUCUAAGCCUAGGUAUGCCAUAUUUUGCCACACAUUUCUUGUCACGCUUAUCUAAGAUUAGUUCUUCAAAAAUGUUUUGCCAUUCAAUGCCUUAAAAAGUGUGAUAGGUUUCCCUUAGGCUUGCAAACUUACAGUUCUCCUCCUGGGGGCCGUUGUGAAGCUCUCCGGCCUCCUUCGCUCUCAGGUCACCUUUUUCGGGUGAAAGCCACCACAGGGUCGGACGAUGGCAUCAAUCCAUGUCGCUUCCUCUCCUGAGGGCGUCGUCUUCAAGACUAUGCUUUCAUGCAUGCUUUCCCGGGGCUGGACUUGCACGACAUCGCGACAGGUGGCCGACGAUGCGAGAGGUGCUGACUGGAGGGGCCCUGAGGUGGAGCGGUGUUACCUCCUCUCCAUCGACGGCGGCGUGGUGACGUCGACGGUAGGCGUGGCAAGGUUGAUGCGUCGGUACCUACUCUGAAGAUGGAUUGGUGGAAAACGGCGGCGGCGGCCUCUGAGAGUGCGUCGGACCGAUGUGUGCCCCAGACCUGACAAGUGGCUUGGUUGGGGCCUUCGGUUUUAGAUGUUAGACUUUGUUGCAAGGUGUGUUUAAUAUUCGGCUCGGACAAUCAACACCCCUUCAUCAAGUGCAUGAGAGUAGCAACAGAUGUUACCAAGAUGAUGACUUCAAACUUACUGAUGUUUUCUUUUGUAAGGUCUUUAUUUUUUUCUAAACGAAGGCAAAAGAUUUACCUCAUUCAUUAAUUAAGCAGAAGAGUUGUCCGGUUAACAAAUGGAAACCUGGACGAAAACGGUUACAAACCGUUGAGCGGCACUCGCGUAAUAUCCCACACACCUCACAUAGAGGGUCUCACCAACAUCACACACCGGUUUCAUCGUCAUCACUUCUCCCCAACAGGCGUCAUCGUCCUCCCUAAUCUCCAAGCAAGCACUUCGACUUCUCCGAAGACAAACGUCGAACCAACCCACAUCGUAGAGUAUGUGUGAAUACACAAGAAGGCACGUGCCAAACUCAGCCUCCCGCGUCAAGGACAACGCAUCUUUGACUCUAAAAGAUAGCUUUGAAGAAGAAUUAUGCAAGGCCGACGCUGCGAAAGACCAUCGAACAGACCACCAGAUUUUAUAAGAUCUUUAUGAAUAACUAAUGAAAUGACUGCACGAGAUCUUCCUUCCUUUUCAAAAAAAGUAUGAUAAAAUAUGGCAUUCCUAGGCUUUGUACCAAAUAACCCCUAGUCAAUUACGGAACCGUCGCUUGUCAACACUGCUGGCUAUGGUGUGGAGUUUGGAUAUUGGCAAAGCCGGUGGUAACGCAACUUUCAUUUUCUAAGAGCACACCACAUGUAAAAAAUCACAACUGCAAUGCUGAAAUGUACUUAACUUGUCCGCACAUCUCCUGCCACGAGUCUUAAGUUUCAAAUUUUGCAAUAGUUCAUGGAACAGAACAUGAACAAGCUUCCAUAGAAAACUACCUAGGGCCCACCAAAGCAUCGGUGGAUGAUAUCCUGAGUGCUCCAUGUCGUUCGGAUAGCCGAGACACGGUCAGUGAUGCAUGCAAGGCGACAUUAGGUCCUGUUUGGAACCAUAAUAGAUUAUAAUAAUCUGAAUUAUAAAGAUAGAUUACAUAAUUUGAUUUAUAAAAUUAAUGUAGGUGGAUAUAUUUGGAGGUCAAAUUAUAUAAACUGUAAUCCAGAUUUUACAUUGCAUCAUGACUUGUCUGUCCUCUGCAUUUUUCUAAAAAGAGGAGGGUGACGGUGGUAGAAAUGUAAUUAUCUUCAACUUUACAAGAAUAAUGGAUCAUUAGCAACCCAUAAUCUGAUUUUAAUUGGGAUAGAGUAGGUUGUGAGUUUUUAAUAAUCUAUUUAUUUAAUUUUUAUAAUCUACAUCAUAAUCUGUCAUGUUUAAAAACAAAAUAGAUUAUGAAAACUGAAUUAUAUAAUCUGAAUGGUUUCAAACAAGGCGUUAACAAUGUCCAACCCACCGGACCACAGCUCUAAUCCCGGCAGUCACCAGCUGUGGCUGUGCGAUACCAAGUGCGGUAACCUGACACCAAAUUAACAUACUACAAUCUGUAAAUUAAAUUAAACUGAAGAAGAAAAAAAACAACCCAACCCAUUUUUCGCCCAUGGGAAAACGGAAGCUCACUGUCAGCCACGACAAAAAGUCCAUCGCUUUCCCGUCCGUCCUUUUCGGCUGCAAUUUCAUACCAUAGUCCGCCACCGGGGGAAUGAGAAACCUCGGCCGUCGACAAGGCGCCAUCCUUUUUCUUUAUGUGCUACACGGCUGGCCGACCAACCGCACCUCCGCCGGGCGCGAGGAUUUGCUCGCCACCCCACCCCGCCGUCGCGGCUGGAGGCGCACCCGGGUAAGGUUCAGGUUCAGCGCACGUAGAUGGGAUGGCCAUCCGGUGAGGCACGUGCAGAUUGGGGCCAGUUUUCUUUAUUUUACUAGGGAUAAUUAAGAGGAGAUACACCUACUCCUUUGUCUCUCUAGGUGUCCCUGACUAGGUAAACAGAUGGCGGUACUAGGUAUGCUUCGGUAUGAACAAGCCACGCUUCAGUAUUAUCCGCUUGAAUUGUUUAAAUGUUGUGAUGUUCCAAGCAUAUCCUUCUGUUCUGUCGAUCGACAUGGGGAAUAGAUGAAUUGCGGAGAUAAAUAAUGUUCCAAGCAUAUCCUUCCGUGGCCGAGAUGGGAAUUAACUAUGCUGGCCGGUAGUACGGUGAUGAUCCAUGUUGGACACAGUGCAAUGUCAUGCCGUGCAUGCAUAUCAUCUACUCCCUCCUUCGGCUCACAAAUAUAUUUUUAUCGAUCGGAUGUACACGUAGUACUCUCUCCGUUUCUAAAUACAAGACCUUUUAGAGAUUACAUCAUGGACUACAUGCGAAUGUAUAUAGACAUAUUUUAGAGCAUAGGUUCAUUCAUUUUGCUCUGUAUGUAGUCCAUAGUAGAAUUUCUAAAAGGUCUUAUAUUUAGGAACGGAUGAAGUACAUAGUAGAACGUUUUAGUGUGUUUGCUGAUUCACUUUAAUUCAUAUGUAAUCCACAUUAAAAUACCAAAAACAUCUGCAUAUUGGUGAAUGGAGGAAAAUCACGUGCAAAGAAAAGAAAAGAACGUGUAUGUACUCUUCCCUCAAACUUUCCUGCGCAUCGGUCGAUUGACCACUUAAUUAAAAAAGAAAAAACAUGUGCUUGCUUGCAUUCUCUCAUGUUUAAGCUGUCCGUAGUAAAGGAUGGUUCGUAUCCAUGUUUCCUUUUUGUAUACUUGCUUCGUUCUAAAUUUUUUGUCUUAGAUUUGAAGAGUCAUCUGGCAUUCUAGCGUGAUCCUUGAACCUUUUGAUGGAGGCACGAUAGUUCUUCGCGGAGAAAAAUGGAGGCGCGAUAGUUCUUCCCGGAGAAAAAUCCAAUGCGCGACGGAAAGAAAGCCUACAUGCACGCAUGGCAUACUACUUACAACAUGGCUGCCGGCAGCUCACAGCCAAGAAGCGGAAUCCACACGUGGUGCAAUGCAAACUGGAGGUCCGAAAGCACAGAGGAGAGGAGAGGACGCACGUAGACGCGCGGGCAUUCGAGGAGCCGCCGAGCUAGGCUGGUCGCGGGGAUAUAUUUUCCGCCCGGAAAAUCCAUCCUGGCUGUCGCGCCUUUGACUCUUCCGUCUCUUUCAGCCCAGCCCAGCCGUCGCGGGGGUCAAACCCUCGUCUCCGCGGGGAACCUUCCGCGCAGCUGCUGCAGCCCACGCCCGUCCUCAUCAAGCAACGGAAGAAGCCCACGAACGAGCUCGCCCGACCCGGCCCACGUGCCGCGGGCAGGGGCCCGUAUCCGUAUAUAGCCGCCACGGGCGCCCCGCCCAACAAACCGUACUUGGUCGUCAAGGAAACGAGCCAUCAUCAAAAGAGGAGGCCCCAGGAGGCGGUAUCACAACCAUCCAGCCAGCCAGCCAGCCGCCUUUCUCUUCUCUUUCAACGCCGGGCGCCCGCGGAGGGCCGGUGGAGCGAGCGAGCGAGCGAGGAGGGGGAGGAUGAUGACGGCAAUGGUGAAGGCCGAGGCGAUGACGGCGGAGGCGGAGGGGAGCAGCGGGCGGAGGGACGCGGAGGCGGAGCUCAACCUGCCGCCGGGCUUCCGCUUCCACCCCACGGACGACGAGCUCGUCGUGCACUACCUCUGCAGGAAGGUGGCGGGACAGCCGCAGCCCGUGCCAAUCAUCGCCGAGGUCGAUCUCUACAAGUUCAACCCCUGGGAUCUGCCCGGUGCGUGUCCCCCUUCUUCCUCCCUCCCUCCUCUCCUUACUCCUCCCACCAUCUGUCUGAUUCAAUGUGUAUGUGCGCCGUGCUGACCUCGGCCGCGGGUUCCCGUGCAGAGAGGGCGCUGUUCGGGAGCAGGGAGUGGUACUUCUUCACGCCGCGCGACCGCAAGUACCCCAACGGCUCGCGCCCCAACCGCUCCGCCGGCACCGGCUACUGGAAGGCCACGGGCGCCGACAAGCCCGUGGCGCCCAGGGAGAGCGGCGGCAGGACCGUCGGCAUCAAGAAGGCGCUCGUCUUCUACUCCGGCAGGGCGCCCAGGGGCGUCAAGACCGACUGGAUCAUGCACGAGUACCGCAUCGCCCAAGCCGACCGCACACCCGGCAAGAAGGGAUCCCUCAAGGUAAUUAAGCCCACCGUCUUCCAAACCUGUCCGUCUAUCAUCAUUGCACUCCCGCUGCUCGAUCGAUGCUGAUUGCUGAUCCUCUGUUUUUGUUUCUCAUGUGCGGCUAUCAUUUGCAGCUGGACGAAUGGGUGCUGUGCCGGCUGUACAACAAGAAGAACAACUGGGACAAGGUCAAGGUGGAGCAGGACAUGGCUGUGGUGCAGGGACAGAAUGGGGAGGUCAUGGACGCGCUGGCCACCGACGCCAUGUCCGACAGCUUCCAGACGCACGACUCCUCGGAGAUCGACAACGCCUCCGGCCUGCAGCAGCAGCACCACGGCUUCAUGGACAUGGCGCAGCGGCAGGCCAGGGAAGGCAUGGUGACGGUCAAGGAGGACAGCGACUGGUUCACCGGCCUGAGUAUGGACGACCUGCAGACUUGUUACAUGAACAUGGGGCAGAUGGUGAAUCCAGCGGCGAUGCCUGUGCACGACGGCAGCGGCUAUCUGCAGUCGAUGAACUCGCCUCAGAUGAUGAGACCCAUGUGGCAAACAAUCUUGCCACCAUUCUGAGAUGGAAGAAGAAAGAUAUGGUGUAAAUUAUGUUUGAAAUAGAAGUGAUUAGACAAAUACUUACUUUGAACUAGAAAGAGAUAGAAAUUUCCCAGGCAUGAUUCUGAAGAUGUGGUGGUAGGCUUGUAGCAGUAUUUAUUCUUUGGUUUCGAUCUAUAAAUUUGGUAUUCUAAACAAACAUGUAAUUUUAUUCCCAUAUAAUCUCAAGUCUAAACACCAAACUUGUUCUUCUGACCCUUGAUCAAUCUGAUCUGAACAAAUCUGAAACAUAUACUCUCUCCGUCCCGACCCUUGAUCAAUCUGAUCUGAACAAAUCUGAAAUAUAUACUCCCUCCGUCCCGUAUUACUUGUCUUGGAUUUGUCUAGAUACCGAUGUAUAUCUAUAUCUAGAAAAAUCUACACAAUUAAUUUGAGACGGAGGUAAUAUAUGAUUAUCUCACAGCUGAUAUUUCAUUUUUCACUUCUUCCAAUUGUUUUCAAAAAUAUAUUUGGUGUUUAUCCGAAUUUAGUUAUAGUGGGUUCAGAUAUUAACAGCAUAAUGGUAACAUUCAGUGCAUACAUGAACAGGCAGACUGCAACUGGUUGUCGACCACGCAGCUAUCGGUUAAAGUUGGGACGUGAUCAUGCACUAAGUUAGUCUGCAUCAUGAGUCAUAUGAGUUAGCGACACUUGCAGGCUAGCAGCUAUAAGAUGCCAUGAAAUUGACAGUAGACACUAGUAUGACAAGCAUGGUUCAGUUGGAUGUAGCUUGCACAGGGAAAGUAAGUUGUUUCCACCAUAACUGUAUCCAUUACCUGUCAUCGUCUUAUCAACAAAAUUUAAAGCAACUUGCAUCAACACCAUCUUUUGGAGACUGGACUGCAUAACAGAGUUCAGGAUAUUAUGUACUCUAAGUGACAACUGACAGAACAAGCCACUUGCUGUUAGCAGGGAUAUCCUACAGGAUAUUACAGAAAGGUAUUAAAACAUCAGAUGCGAUGAUAAGUUGGUUGACUCGUACCAUAUUAUCCAUUAGUAUGAUGAUCUAAUCCACUAGCUACAAGGCCUAACUGAAGCCACGGGAUAGCAGAGAAAAGAACACCUAACUGAUCAGAUAUAACUGGAAUUCUGGUAAACUCUCACCUCAGAAUCAACAGAUUCAUUGAUUACAAGCAGGCUGGCGGCAACCCGACCCAGCUUCGAUCCAAUGUGCUCUUGUUGCUGGACUAUUUAGUGUGCACAUGCACUGAAUUAAUGCUAUCAGAAAGGUUGCAAUGGCUGACUGGCAGAAAGAGAACAAUAUGUUUGUCAAGAAGAAAAUUAUAUAACCUAAAACUUACAUAGCGGCGGAUUCUGCAGUGGGAUCAGUGGUCACUAAAUGAUUAUAUGUGAAUAUGCCAGUACACUAAUGGAAUAGUUGUAAGCAUGAAAAUCGAACUGCUAAUAUUUAAUAAAGAUACAUAUUGAAAAUGUGUAUUUAGUACCAAACCAUAUGAAAUGAUCUGUAUGAAUCAUUAUUUCGUAAAAUCUAAGCACAUAUUAUUAUGCUAAAGUAUAGGAGUCAGACCAGUAUGAAUAUGGUGAACAGUCAUUAUAUGUUGUGAACCAAUCAUUGAACAGGUACUUGGUGCAAACUACAAGCUACAAAAGAAGGGUUACAGCAAAGUGAAGCAUGUCCAAGUUUAAACAGGAUAAACCAUAGGUUGCACUUUCUAAUUCAAAUCUACAGCCAAGCAAUCCAAUGAGAAUGAAAAUAACUGCGCAAACAUACUUUUUUCGAAUACGGCAGGAGCUCUGCGCCUUCAGUUAGAAGGAAGAAAGUUUGAUUACAGACUGGAACAAAGGAAACCGAACAGCAUACCCUAAGCUGAGGUCAUCGCUGACAAUUCUAACAAAAGCCAAAGGGCCCUUGCAAGCAUGGCUUCCUUGACCAAACCGGCCAAAGCAAAGUAGAUGAAGAUCACUUGAAAGUAAUCAGACUCGUCUUUCUGAAUAACCAAAUAAUCUCUCUCCAAAAUGCCCACCAGUUACUCCAAAACAACACCCGUGUCUCUUUUUAUAGAUCACUUCCGAGUGGCCUUCAUCUUUACCACUCUCUACGAGUUACUUUGAGAGACACCGAGCCGCGUCUUGAGCCGACAGAAGCUGAUGCCUUGGCAAGCUCUCUGCCUGAACGCCACGCCUGUAUCAUUGAUUCAGUCUUCUCCUCUGGUGAAAAUCCCUUGGCUUUCAUCUCUUCGUAAUACUUUGCUGCCUCCUCUAGCUUCCCGUUCAAGAACAAUCCAUGUAUGAACACAAUGUACGCGCUCCGAUCAGGGGUCAACCCAUUUGCAGGCAUUGCGUUCCACAGUUUCUCCACACUAUCAUGCUGCUUCCACCUGCAGAACUUCCGGAUCAACAUAAUAUAAGUGUCCAUCUCUGGCUCGCAAUGUAGUGCCUUCAUCUUAUCCAACAGAUCAAAGACCUCAGUGGGGCUCGUAGCAACAUCGAACAACGCAUGGAAUGUCCUCACCGAUGCCAACAGCCCCCUUCCUACCAUCUCAUCAAACAUCUCCCUUGCCUCCUGGACCUGACGAGCCUUGCAAAGAGGCCGAAUGAGGGAGUUGUAAGUCGCCGUGUCCGGUGUAACCCCCUUCUCCUCCAUGCUCCGGACAAGCGCCCUUGCCUCAUCCACGCACCGUCCCUUAGCGAGCGCGUGCACAACUGCAUUGUAGACCUUCCGGUCUGGCACGAUGCCAGCCUCCUUCAUGCGGUUAAAGAGCUUCAUGACCGAGUCCAAGCUCCCGGCCUUCGAGAAGCACGAGAUCAUACUCCCAUAAGACACAACGUCCCUCGCGACAGCCCUGAGCUCCAUGACGGUCCAAAACCUCUUGGCCUCACGCACGCUGCAGACCAUGUUGCACCAGCCGUUGAGCACGAUGUUGAAGCCCUUGGUCUCGAACGGGAACUCCUUGUCACUGGACAGAAGCAGGUGCUCCGCGUCCUUGACGUUCUUGUACCGGCAGAGGGCGCCGAGGAGGCCAUGGAACUGGGGGACCCCGGGCUGAAAGCCGAAGGUCGGGAGCGACCGGAACGCGGCGAUCGCGCCCGCCACGUCUCGCGCGGCGCAGUAGCGCCGGAUUAGGAGGAGCACCGCCCUCGGUGACGCGAGCGACCUGCGGCGCAUUUCGUCGAGCAGGGCGCGCGCGUCGUCGAAGCGGCGGUGCCUGGCGAGGAUGGCGAGCAUGGAGUGGCACGCGUGCCGCCCCGGGGCGUAUCCGGGCUGCGGCCGCCCCGCCCAGCGGAACGCGGCGUGCGCGGCGGCCCAGCUGUUGCGGAGGCGCGAGAGCGCGGCCACCACGAGCGUCUCGGAGGCCGCGGCGCCGCAGCGCUCCAGGAGGGCCCCGGCGCGCGCGGCGUCCAAGUGGGCGCCCUCGGCAGCCGCGACGACGGCGUCCACGCCGCGCGCCACCUCGGGCGGGAGCUGCUGCUGGUCCGGGAAGGAGAACGGGUCGUCGUCAUCCUCCCCCUCGCUGCCCUCGCCGCCGCCGGCCGGCUCCCGCGCGGUGGAGAGCCGCGGGGCGUUGGGCGGGAGGAGAGGCCGUCUCCUCGGCGGAAGGCUGGAGAAUCCGGGGCCGGAGAGGCGCGCGAUCGCUCCGGCGAGGACCCUGCGCAACAUCGAGGAGGGGCGAAGAGUGAGGAUCGGGCGGCGAGUUGCCUCGUGUCAACUGCCGACAGAGCAACGUAGCACGCCCGGGAAGGGCAAGCAAAAAAACACGAUCUUUUUGUCUCGGACGCUGGCGCGGGAGGGAGAAAGCCUCGGACGAUUUCGAGCCGAGCCGAGCCUCCUCCGCCUUCUCUCUAGACAAGGUAUGCGCCCUCUCUCUCUCUCUCUCNNNNNNNNNNNNNNNNNNNNNNNNNNNNNNNNNNNNNNNNNNNNNNNNNNNNNNNNNNNNNNNNNNNNNNNNNNNNNNNNNNNNNNNNNNNNNNNNNNNNNNNNNNNNNNNNNNNNNNNNNNNNNNNNNNNNNNNNNNNNNNNNNNNNNNNNNNNNNNNNNNNNNNNNNNNNNNNNNNNNNNNNNNNNNNNNNNNNNNNNNNNNNCUCUCUCUCUCUCUCUCCAUUGCGCCGUGACAUAUUCUAAGUACUAGAUGAGAGAGGCGUUGGCCGUUGGGUAGGGCUGGGCUGGAGAAGACGGAGCACCCCUCAUGGCGCGGUUCCCGGCUGACGUCUUGAGGCAGGGAUGCCGACCCUCCCAUGAUGCCGCGGCCGCAGACGCUCACGUCCGGGGCCUGGUGGCCCUUCUCCUGAGGCACCAGGCGGAGAGGCGCCCUCUCCUCCAGAUCCAUGCCCAGCUCGUUGCCCGCCAGGUGUUCGACCGCCGUCCCACUCCGUGGCACGCGCUCCUCAAGGCCUACUCCCGCGGCCCUCUCCCGCAGGAGGCCCUGAGCCUCUUCAGGGACGCGCGCCGGCACGCCGCCGACGACACCUACGCCUUCGUGCAUGCCCUUGGGGCCUGCGCGGCCCUGGCGUGGCCGCGGGCCGGCGCGCAGCUGCACGGGCUUGCCGUUCGCAAGGGGUUCGAGUUCCACGCCUACGUGCACACCGCCCUCCUCAACGCUUACGUUGUGUGCGGGUGCCUGGCAGAAUCUCGGAUCGCAUUCGACGAGAUGCCGGCGAAGAAUGCGGUUACUUGGAACGUGAUGAUCACCGGGUUUGCUGCGCGGGGCGAGGUUGAGUAUGCGAGGCUGCUCUUCGAGCGGAUGCCCUGUAGGAAUGUUGUCUCGUGGACCGGGAUGAUUGAUGGGUACACGCGUUCCUGUCGCUCUGUAGAGGCCGUGGCUCUCUUCCGCCGCAUGAUGGCUGAAGCCGUUGAUCCAAGCGAGAUAACUGUGUUAGCGGUUGUACCUGCGGUAUCUAAUAUUGGAAGGAUUCUUUUGGGUGAGGCCUUGCAUGGCUAUUGUGAGAAGAAGGGGCUUCUUGUGUUGGACAUCCGAGUUGGGAAUUCGCUCAUAGACCUGUAUGCCAAGAUUGGGUCUAUAAAGAACUCACUGAAGAUUUUCCAUGAAAUGCUGGAUAGGAGAAACUUGGUGUCAUGGACAUCAAUAAUUUCAGGGUUUGCAAUGCAUGGGUUGUCAACGGAGGCUGUUGAACUGUUUGCAGAGAUGAGAAGAGCUGGAAUUAGGCCUAACAGAGUCACCUUCUUAAGUGUUCUCAAUGCUUGCAAUCAUGGUGGGCUGGUCGAGCAAGGAGUACUGUUUUUCAAAUGCAUGGUUUAUGAGUACAAUCUGACGCCAGAGAUCAAGCAUUUUGGUUGUAUCAUAGACAUGCUAGGUAGGGCUGGACGGUUAUCAGAGGCCGAGCAAGUAAUAAGUGGUCUGCCUAUGGAGGUUAAUUCAGUCGUGUGGAGGACACUGCUGGGUUGUUGCAGUAAGUAUGGGGAAGUGGAGAUGGGGCAGAGGGCAAUGAAGAAGAUACUAGACAUCGAAAGAGAAUCUGGAUCUGAUUUUGUGGUUGUAUCCAAUAUGUUUACUGAGCUUGGAAGGUUUGGUGAUGCUGAAAGAUCAAGGAAGCUAGUAGAUGAGAGGAGUGUUGUUAAGGUUCCUGGGCUUGCUUUGGUUGGUGAGAGUCAGUAAACCAGAACCAAAUCAUAGAAAGAAGUUCCACGCAGUUUUAAGAGUUUUUGUUCCAUCAUUAGAAUUGUCUCCUUGCAUUAUACCAAAUGCGAUUGGAUCUUCCUACUUUAUGGUGGGUUUAUUGUGUUCUUUUGCCUUUUAUAUAUUUCAUGCAAAGUUAAAAGAACUAAGAAUUCAGUUUAUUUCUUCUUGGCUGCUGAAUGAUUGUUGAAUCAUAUGAGCUUUGUAUUUAGAAACCACCAUCUCAUUGUCCACUACUCGCUUUUUUUGUAUAAUAUGUUGUUAAUAAGCAUCGACAGUAUGCUCAUUUCUUCCACUUUCUAAAUGACUAGUUCGCGGUAUAGUCUUUGUCGCUCUUUUACUUAUCUUGGUAAUCCCUUGCAGGAAGCAGAGGCGUUGGAUGACAUGUGCAGUACUGCAUUUCCCCUCACUGGCCCACAGUUAAUGGAAAAUUCUUGUUUCUUUUCAGCAUUGUAGUGAUGGAAGCCAUAAAGAAGCUUCAUGGCCAUCUCAUUGUUUCUGGGCUGUACAAUUGCCAAUAUGCAAUGUCCAAGAUUCUCAGAUUCUAUGCUAUUCUACAACCUGAUAUGGCUCUUGCUUAUAAAGUAUAUGGGCAGAUUGAAGCACCAACAACUUACCUUUGGAAUAUCAUACUCAGGGGGCUUGCUCAAAGUGAUGCACCGGAAGAUGCAGUUGCUUUCUACAAGAAGGCUCGAGGAAAAGGUAUGGAGCCGGACAACCUGACGUUUCCAUUCGUAGUGAAGGCGUGUGCAAGGAUUAGUGCUCUCAAGGAAGGGAAACAGAUGCACAGCCAUGUACUGAAAUUCGGGCUUCUUUCAGAUAUCUUUGUUUCCAAUUCGUUGAUUCAUCUGUAUGCUGCCUGUGGUGAUUUGUGCUGUGCAAGAUCUGUUUUCGAUGGGAUGCUGGUUAAGGAUGUGGUGUCCUGGAACUCUUUGAUAUGUGGAUAUAGCCGGUGCAAUAGAUUGAAAGAGGCUCUGAAGUUAUUCAGGUUGAUGCACGACGAAGGAGUGAGAGCUGAUAAGGUCACUAUGGUCAAGGUUGUUUCUGCAUGCACUCGUAUAGGAGAUUGGAGCAUGGCAGAUUGUUUGGUUAAAUACAUAGAGGAUUACUGCAUCGAGGUGGAUAUCUAUUUGGGCAAUACUUUGAUAGAUUACCAUGGCAGACGUGGGCAGCUGCAAUCGGCAGAAAAGAUUUGCUUUAACAUGAAGGAUAGGAAUGUCGUGACACUGAACGCAAUGAUCAACGCAUAUUCAAAAGCCGGAGAUCUGGUUUCGGCAAGAAGGUUAUUCGAGGAAAGUCCUGGCAAAGAUCUGAUCUCAUGGAGCUCUAUGAUAUCUGGGUAUUCGCAAGCUAGUCAGUUCUCUGAUGCUUUGGAACUCUUCAGGGAGAUGCAGAGAGCCAAGGUGAAACCAGAUGCGGUCGUGCUCGCGAGCGUACUCUCUGCCUGCGCGCACCUAGGAGCGCUUGAUCUCGGCAGGUGGAUCCAUGACUACGUGAGCAGAAAUCAGAUCGAAGCCGACACCAUCCUGCACAAUUGUCUGAUCGACAUGUACGCGAAAUGCGGAAGCACCAAGGAGGCGCUGGAGGUCUUCAGAGAAAUGAAAGAGAAGGACACCCUGUCAUGGAACUCGAUCAUAAUGGGGCUGGCGAACAACGGCGCCGAGGAGGAAGCCCUGAACGCCUUCCGCGCCAUGCUCGCCGAAGGGUUCAGGCCGAACGAGGUCACCAUCCUGGGCGUGCUGAUCGCGUGUGCCAACGCGGAGCUCGUCGAGGAGGGGCUCGGCCACUUCGACAGCAUGAGGUCGGUCCACGGCAUGGAGCCGCAGAUGAAGCACUACGGCGUCGUCGUCGACCUCCUGGGACGCGCCGGUCGGCUGACAAAGGCGCUGAGGUUCAUCGCCGAGAUGCCCGUCGCUCCUGAGCCCGUCGUCUACAGGAUAUUGCUGGGGGCGGCCAGAACGCACGGUGAUUUGGGCGUCGCCGAGGUGGCCGCCCAGAGGCUCAGGGAGCUGGACGGCGGUAACAGCGGGGACUACACGCUGAUGAGCAAUGCGUAUGCGGGUGCUGAUAGAUGGGGCGACGCCAUGCAGGUCAGGCAGCGGCUGGAAGAUAGUCGUGUGAGGAAAUUGCCCGCUUGCAGUGUCGUCGACUGUUGACCCUGGUAGCUACAGCUCGGGUCCAUGACCAAGAGAAAUAUGUCAGUUAUUCUGUAGCCAAUUUUGUCAUAACGAUGUGAGUAAUACAAAAACGAUUACUCCUUCCGUUUCUAAAUAUAAGUUUUUUAAGAGUUUUCACUAGAAAACUACAUAUGAAUGUAUAUAGACAUAUUUUAAAAUAUAGAUUCAUCCAUUUUACUCCGUAUUUAGUCAUCUUAUGAAAUCUUUAAAAAGACUUAUAUUUAGGAACGGAAGGAGUAUGUUUUAAGAUGUACCACGUAUCAUUCUGUCUCAAAAUAAGUGUGUUUUAAGUGUGUUAACUCUAGUACAAAGUUUUUAAAAUAAGUGUCUUAGCUCUAGUAUAAAGUUAUACUAAGUUUAAAACAUGUAUUUUGAAACGGAGGAAGUAUAUUACUUGUAUUCAUAAUAGUAUUUCACGCUGAAGAAACCUUUAGCCAGGAGGCAAUUAACAAGCCGCAAUAGCGAUCGACCCCUAACGGUUUGAUCUGGAUCUAACUUCAUAAGGCCUUUUUCGGUUCCACCUCUUCUCAAAAGGAUUAAAAGGAAUUAAGAUGAAAUUUAACUUGUAGCGGAUUAUAUCCACCUCAAUCCAAGGCCUAAGGAGCAUCAGUCCACGCCGGCUCCAGGGCCAACGCCAACCGGCCCUUCAAUACCAAUUCUUCCUUAAAUCCGCAGCAGUCAUCGCCACCGCACUCCAACAGCAACGCAUCCCCGUCCGGCUCAUGAGCUGGAAUACCAUUGUUACUAUGAGCACCUUCAGCUCAAAUCCGCUUCAGGCAUCACCACCGCGCUCCAUCUCCGUCCUCUCAUCAGCAACACCUCAGACAAGCAGAGCACGGGCUGGAAGACCAUUGUUUAUCCAAGUAGAAACAAUGAGCGCCACCAGCAAAUGAAAUAGAAACACUUGGACUAAAACAGCCCUGGAUCUGGAAUCACCACCAGCAAAGGAACAAAGCCAAAUUUGUCAUCUAAAGUAUUCGCAGCAAGUUAUCCGCUCACUGCUCGUGCUCUUAUAAAUCUGCUCCUCCUUUCCUAAAUAUAAGACCUUUUAAAGAUUGUAUUAUAAACUACGGAUAUACAUAGACAUAUUUUAGAGUAUAGAUUCACUUAUUUUGCUCCGUAUGUAGUCUCCUAGUGAAAUCCCUAAAAGGUUCUAUAUUUUGGAACAGAGGGAGUAUAACUCAGCCGCGUUUAAGUUUAAGUGUAACCGAGGAAUCGGUUUCCAUUUAUUAUCCAAGUAGCAAGACCGUUUCAGUGUAGCUACAGAAUUAGAAAUAAGACUGGGCACUUCUGCACAACGGCAAUUGCGAUGAGAAAACUUGUGAUAAGAACCAGCACAAGUACCAUUCAUUGUAAAUAAACUCAUCGAGACAAUCCAAAACGUUAAGACCAUUCAGCCUCACAGAAAAGGUGCAAAUUCAAGAGGGCAAGGUAACUUGAGAAAGGUCUAUGAUAGUAGGAUAGGAUAAGAAACAAGGCUAGGCAGCACAACUCUAUGUCUAUGAUGUAAUCGACUUUCAACGCUUGCCGCCGCCACCGCCAAGCUUUGGGCCCUUGGAACCCUUCUGCACGGCACCCUUGCCCCCCUGUGACUUCUGGGACUUGGUCACCUCUGCCUUCUUGGCCUUCUUCUCAUCCUUGGUCUUCUUGAUGCGCUCCUUGAUCUCACUGCAACAUGAUGAAUCAAGGGUAAGAUGAUUGAAAAGCAAACAACAAUACCAACAGUUGCUAGAAGAUACAAAGUUAUCGAUUUCUGCAACAGAAGAUGUAUGAGUAGACACAAUGCUGGUACAGUUCGCUAUAAUCAUAUAGGAAGAUGGAAAAUGUACCGAAGAGCGGCUUCUCUGGCAGCAUCACGGACUUCAGGCUUCUCAGCCCUCUUCUUCUGGAUAACUUCCAGUGUGGCACCAACAAUCGACCGUGAGUACGGCUUCUUGGUGGUGCGGCGCCUCUUCUUGGCAGCCUCAGCAUGGAUGUCCUGCAUUGUCACAUCAAAGCACAGCCCAGUAAAUACGCAGGACAGGACAAAUCAGUAACCAAAAACAAAAAAUAAUCCUUUGUUGCAGAAGGAAUUGCACGCAUAAAUACAAGCAUGCUAGCAGAAGCAGUGUAUGCAUCUAUAAAUAACAUAACAAAUGUGAUGUAAUUGUCUCUUAAUAAUACCAAUGCACAAAGCAUAUCAAACUGUAGGGAGGAAUUUGCCCUCAAAUCAAGAACAGGCGAAAUGCAAAUCACAAAACAACCAGGUUCAUGCAAGUAAGUUUUAGCAACAUUUCUUUGGCAUAAAAAGGGAUAAUACAGUAACUGCAUGAUGGAGAACAUUAGACCAAAAAUUAGUAUCUUAGCAGGCAAAAUGUGAUACCUUCUUGUGCUGCUUCCUGUACAUUGCUGUCCAGCAAAGCUUUGCAGGCUUCAAGCGGUUGUGGAAGUAGCGCUUGCAUUUUGAGUUGGCAAAGAGGAAAACCUGAAGUACAAAAUAUUUGAAUCAUUAGUCGGUUGUCACUGUUUGAAGAUGAAUCAACAUAAAAUCUUCUAGACUUAAUACUUAUGACCUAGUCCAUUCAAAAACAAUAUGGUGACGUAUAUAAAACAAAGUUUACCUGUGAAUCUGAACGAAUGAACCUGAUACCCUUCCCUGGGUAAAUCUUCUGGCCGCUAAAACGGCAAAGCUCAGUCCUGUAGAACAAAUGAAACAACAAUUUGAGCACUGAAGACAACAAUUGUAAAACCAUACUUGAGAUAUCACUACUAUCAAACUAAGUACAGAAGGCAUGCUUAUUUGCAAAAACUUAGUAUAUACUUACUUCAGAACCAUCUUCUCAGCCUUGGAGAACUUUCACAAGCUCCUACCUAAAAAUGAGAUCAGAACAAACAUUAGCAACACUUCAUAAUAAGGACAUAAAGCAAGGAAGCGGACACAAAAGAACAAUCAACAACAAAGCAGGCUCGGUAGCAUGGAACAAGCACAAACACACAAUCCUCAAAACUCAUAAUGACCAACGGGGUGUAAAUUGUGUACCCUUGUGGAUACUAAGUGUGUGAUAUUGGGCGACUACUGGCUGCAGAAAGUGGGGUAAAUCUCUGCUGCAAAGCGGGUUCCCUGUUACUCUUGCACAACAAAUAAUUGGCAACUGAGCAACCAGAACGGCUACCGUGCCUCAGUACUUGUGCUCUGGUCCAAGUGAAAAAACUACAGGUUGUGAGAUUCGACAUAGUGGACCUCUUACUAUCUUUAGGCACAAAAGUUAGCUGAUUAUCAAGUCUACUCACAGGAGAAACUCUGGACACAAACAAUGUCCAUCUCGCACAAGAAUCAAACGAGUGAUGUUGGGCGACUACUGGCGGCAGAAAGUUGAGUUCAAUCUCUGCUGCAAAGCGGGUUCCCAUGUUUCUGUUGCACAACAAAUAAAUGGCAACUGAGCAACCAGAACGGCUACCGUGCCUCAGUACUUGUGCUCAGGAUCCUACUGUAGACAAACAUAGAAAAACACAACACCUUAAGCGUAAAAGGCUGGGUGAUUACUGGGUAACUGCCGGCAGCAGAAACACAACGACACUUGUACUGCACGGUAAAUAUUAGGCCAUCGAAACUACAACAGCGCAUCCGUGUUCGGUGCCCCAGGACCUGUGCAAGAUCUCACGAACAGCAGGCAGAUAAUCAGGUUGCGAAACAAAACUACCUGCGGUUGAGGUAAUGGACGCAUCCAGAUCACGGAACAACAAACCAUGCGUCGUCCCAUGGCGCGCUCGCCCGCAUCUAAAGAAAGGACUCGCGCAAAACGAACGCAACUCGAACACCCAUGACGGCGAAACCCUAGGAACUAGGCAGCUGCCGGUGACCUUACGCUACGAACCGAAGGACGCGGCGGCCUAUCAUCGGGAUCCAGACCAACCAGACCUUGCGAAACGAACGGAAGAACUGGUGGACGAGCUGCGCGGCGUGAGGAGGACCGGCGGCCGGACGGACUGACCUAGGAAGACGGGAGAGAUGGAGCAGAGGAGGGAGGGAUGGAGGGAGAGGAUGGGAGGGAAGGUACCUUGAGCGAGGAGGAGGCGCGGAGGCGGCGGCGGAUGGGGGGAGUGGGGGGAAAUGUGUGCCGCGGGUAGGGUUUUGAUGACCUCGCGAGGGGUGGGGUGGGCGUGGGCGUGGGGUUGUUGGGCUAAUGGGCCGUUCGAGUAGGGUUUGCUGAUCGUAGCCCACUGUUGCUGGACCGGAUUUUUCGUCUAGUAGGUUUUCUCCUCGUGUGUAUAAAAAACAGAAAUUCGAGGAUUUUCCUGUCAACCUAGGAUCCAAAGCAGGCCCUGGUUUCAUUUCUGGGCUUGGCAUUGGACAGUAACUGCAUUUUCGUUGGGCCACGUUUGAUGCAACCUCGUGGCUGCGGCAAGGCAAAACGCUUAUAUUAGCGAAGAAGCGACUUUUUUUCUUUCUUUCUUUUUCCUUGGGUAAAAAAGAACGACCUCUAUUUAGAUCUUGUUUGGUACUGCUGUAUUUUAAAAAGUUAAUGUGGAUUGUUCCGGUUAGAGCAUCUCUAACAGACCCUGUAUAAAGCCAACUCAUAAAAAUCGUUUACAAUUUGCAAAAAAAGGGUUUUGCGGACCGACAAGGGCGUGGGGAGAGUCAGAUCCCGCAAAUCGAACUCGUAACAAAGGAUAUUCAUAGAAGAUGCUUUUUUACGGGUCGACGAUGCGGGGUCUACUCGGGCGGCACCAGUGUCCACCUCGCAAACCGAAGAUCCCGUAAAUCAGAAUUACAAAUGUGCAAUAUAAGUAAAAUGUCAAUAUUACAAAUAGAGUAAUCAUCCAAAGUACAAUAAUUAUGCAAAUCGCCGUAGCAAACUAAAAAGUUCAAUACAAAACUUGUCUCGUAUACAAGUCACACAUGAAUGCAACGAAAAUGAAUGGAAAAAUGGAAUGUGUUACUGCCCAGCUCUUUGCCAAUGGUGCUCAGUGAGAUCCUUCUGAAGUUGACAGUGGGUGUUUGCAUUUUAAAUCUCCAUGUAGGUAUGAAGAAAAGCUCUAAUUAGGUUAGGGUCUCUAGCUGGUUUGACACGGCUACCCACAUUGUCAUAGAAGAAUUUCAAGUUCAUGCCUCUUUCAUCUUCGAGAAUCAUAUUGUGAAGAAUAAGACAACAUGUCAUGAUGUUUUCAAGGAUAGCUUGUCUCAUAACCGAGCAGGACCACGAACAAUGGCAAACCUAGAUUGCAAAACCCCAAAUGCUCUUCAAUGUCUUUUCGGUCUGCCUCUUGUGCCCUUGCGAAUUCAGACUAUUUCCUCUUUGGAGGUCUUUGAUGCUCUUCAGAAAUGUGCACCAAGAAGGGUAUAUACCAUCUGUAAGAUAGUACCUUUUGUAUAUUCAUAUCCAUUGAUAGUGUAGUUGCAAGGUGAAACAUCGUCACUAGCAAGCCUAGCAAGCAAAUGAGACCGUUCCAACACAUUGAUAGCAAGCCUAGCAAGCAAAUGAGACUGUUGCAACACAUUCAUAUCAUUUAGAGUACCCGACAAACCUAUGCACGGACUCAAUUGUACUAUCUUCCCUAAUGUGAAGGUACUCAUCGGUAUAGUCAGCGGGAACGCCGUAUGAAAUUACCCGCAUAGCUAUCGAGAUUUUUUGAUAUGCACUAAAUCCCUUCAAGCCCGCGGUAUUCCUUCUUUGAGUAAAAUAUCGACAAUUGACCUCACAAGCUUGAACAAUUUUUACAAAAAGGGAUUUGCGCCUACGGUACCUUCUCCAGAAGAGGUGUGGCGGUGUCGUGGGAAUGACCCUGACAAUAGUACCUAGGGGUACGAACGAAGGGGCGAAGUCUAACUAGGCGUAGAGAAUACACGCGGAUGUACGAGUUCAGGCCCCACUCGAAGGUGGUAACAACCCAACGUCUCGAGCCCUGAGGCUAGUUUUUUCUUAUGGGGUAUGAAAGAUUACAAGGUGCUGAACCUUGAGCAGGAGCCCGGGAGUGGCUUAUAUAGAGUGCGCCGCGACCGGACGAGCUUCAUUAUAAGGGUAAUUAAUGCUAAUAACUACGAAAGUUACUAGAAACUGUUGUUAUAACUCGGGCGUGUUACUGGUAAAGCGGGCCUUCACUGCACUUCAUUGGGUAGUUUAAGUCCUUAGCCGUUGCAGUCUCUUCGUUGUCCCCGCCUUGUUAUAAACCGAGUGUCGGAGGGCGUCCGACUGGCAUUAGGCGAUCCGAGUGACCUCAUGUAACCGAGUGAGGACACAGUUAUCGAGUGAGGUCGAGACUACAUUGACUUGUAAGACAAUGAUGUUCGUACGGGGCCUUAGGUGGGCCUAUGGAAACAGGUUUGUAGGCCUAUCCCUAAUGUACAACCCCGUCAGUAGCCCCCGAAUCAGUAGAGGUUUUUCUGGCCGAGUGAAUGACUCCCUUUGGUAGCCUUGGCGUCUCGGGGACACGGAGGUUGCUGCCAGGGGCUGCGUCAUUCGGAUUGUUAGAUAACCACUAUGGAUUCAAGAUCAUGGAAUUCCGAAUGCCCGGACAUGCCGGUAUGUCUGCCUUCGAUAAGAUCGAAUAUCUUUCGGGAAGAUAGAUCCAGUGAUUCGGACGAUUGUAGGCUCAGAGCUCCAACAGUCCAACCGGUGAGGUGGGACGGAUCCAGCUCGUAUCAAAGUAGGGGUGAUCUGAUCGCCUCCUUAUAUUGCCCGAGUGAUCGAGGUCCCGCGGAGGGACAGACGAAGAGAAAACUCGGUUCACCUCAUUGUUGGGGAACGUAGUAAUAAUCCAAAAAAAUCCUACGUGUCACCAAGAUCUAUCUAGGAGAUGCUAACAACGAAAGAGAGGGAGUACAUCUUCAAACCCUUGAAGAUCGCUAAGCAGAAGCGUUGCAAAGAACGCGGUUGAUGGAGUCGUACUCGCGGCGAUUCAAAUCGCGGAAGAUCCGAUCCAAGCGCCGAAUGGACGGCGCCUCCGCGUUCAACACACGUACAACCCGAGGACGUCUCCUCCUUCUUGACCCAGCAAGGGGAGAGGAGAAGUUAAGGGAGAGCUCCGACAACAUGACGGCGUAGUGGCGGUGGAGCUCGUGGUUCUCCCGCAGAGCUUCGCUAAGCACUACGGAGGAGGAGGAGGAGGUGUAGGAGGGGGAGGGUUGCGCCACGGGCAAGGGUUAAGCUCCCAUGCGCCUCCCCAUGGUAUAUAGGGGCGGAGGGGGCUGGUUUCUUUCCCUCCAAGUCCAUUGGGGCGUUGGCAAAGGCGAGAGGAAAGAAAUUCCAUCCUUUCACUUCCACACCGAUUGUUAUCCCCCUUUUUUAGGGAUCUUGAUCUUAUCCCUUCGGGAUAUGAUCGUAUUCCUUCUAAGGGGGGAUCUUGGUGCGCCUUGACCAGGGGUGUGGGGCCUUGCCCCCACUAUCCACGUUCAUGUGGGUCCUGAACGUCCCAAACGUAUCUAUAAUUUAUGCUUGUUCCAUGAUCUUUUGGGUGACAUUAUUAUAUGUUUUGCUAUAUUUUUAUAUCAUUUUACACAUAUUUGGACUAACCUAGUAACUGAGUGCACCCAGUACCAGUUUCUGUCUGCUCAUGUCUAUUUUGCACGGGCUUUUACCCAAUUUUCCGAAGCCCGAAAAAUCCCAAGAAAAAUAUAUAAAAUCAGCGUACCGAAAACUUCCAGGUCACCGAAGAUGGGUCAGAGGGGGGCAGGGGCCGCCCAGGUGACCUGUGGGCGCGACCUACGCCCUGGUCGCACCAAGAGGCCGCCUGGGUGGGUCCCACGCCCUCCGGUGCCCUCCUUUCGUCUAUAUUUACCCCUUGGCAAGGAAAACCCCAUACAGGAUCCAGAAUCACGAAUUUCUCCAUCGUUCCGCCACCGCAACGCUUCCGAGAUCGGGAGCGUCAGGAGACCUCUUCCCGACACCCUGCCGGAGGGAGGAUUGACCUCCGGGAGCUUCUCCACCACCAUGGACGCUUCCCGGACCUGCCGUGAGUAGUCCUCCUUGGACAAUGAGUCCAUGACCAGUAGCUAUGUGAUGUCUUCUCUCCAGUCUUAUGCUUCAAUGCUUAAUCAUUGUGAGGUUCCCUACAUGAUCAAGGCAUCUAUGUAAUUCUCUUGCUAUUGCUAUGCUCGGUUUGUUGGGAUCCGAUGGAUUAUGAGAUUAUGUUCAAAUUGUUAUGAGUUAUAUAUUUGAUUAUCUUUUUAUAUUACGUUCCUUAGUAAUUCAUGCAUGUUCUCCGUUGCUAUUUAUUGAUUUGGCCGAGUAGUAGAUUGUAACUCCAAGAUGGAACAUUAUGCAUGAUCGUGGGUUCAUGCCCUCGAUCUCUAGCUUGAGUGACAGAAACAUGAGACUAGGGGAUGUGUUGUUGCCAUCAGGGAGAAAACAACGAUGCUUGUGACCACGGUUGCAAGGAUUGUUUUGUUGAAAAUAUGCCUUAGAGGCAAUAAUAAAUUAGUUAUUAUUAUAUUUCUUGUUCAUAAUAAUCGUUUAUUAUCCAUGCUAGAAUUGUAUUGAUUGAAAACUCAAAUACAUGUGUGGAUACAUAGACAACACACUGUCCCUAGUGAGUCUCUAGUUGACUAGUUCGUUGAUCAAAGAUGGUCAAGGUUUCCUGACCAUAGGCAUGUGUUGUCACUUGAUAACGGAAUUACCUCAUUAGGAGAAUCAUGUGAUGGACAAGACUCAAAUUAUAAACGUAGCAUGUGAUCGUGUUAUCUUGUUGCUAUUGUUUUCUGCGUGUCAAGUAUUCAUUCCUAUGACCAUGAGAUCAUGUAACUUACUGGCACCGGAGGAAUACCUUGUGUGUAUGAAACGUCGCAACGUAACUGAGCGACUAUAAAGGUGCUCUACAGGUAUAUCCAAAGGUGUCCGUUGAGUUAGCAUGGAUCAAGACUGGAAUUUGUCGCUCCGUGUGACGGAGAGGUAUCUGGGGGCCCACUCGGUAAUACAACAUCACAUAUAAGCCUUGCAAGCAAUGUGACUCAAGUGUGAGUCACGAGGAUCUUGUAUUACGGAACGGGUAAAAAGACUUGCCGGUAACGAAUAAGCGACUACAUUUUCGUUGGGUCAUGCUUAAUGCAACCUCGUGAUUGCGACAAGGCAAAACGCUUAUAUUAACGAAUAAGCGACUUCUUUUCUUUCUUUAUUUUUCCCGGGUAAAAGAAGUGACCUUUAUUUAGGUUUUGUUUGGUACUAGUGUAUUUUAAGGAGUUAAUGGUGAUUAUCCCGGUCAAACCUUUAACCCCCUCAUAUCCCAAAACAACGUUUGAUUCUAGUGUAUUUAACUUGUUUCAUCCCCAUAUUUUCUCAUAAAUCCCAGAACUCUAGUGCAUUUUUCUCAAUACCCAAUACACUACCUUUACCUAAUGGAUUGGAGAUAAAUGAGGAUUUGAAGGGAUUGGAUAAAGGUUGGAGUUUCACCCAAUCCCUAUGACAAUUAUCCUCACCAAUCCACUCAAAACCCUAGUACCAAACAAGGCCUUACAAGAAUAUAUCACCUGAGUUAUACACGUCCUCCCUCCAUUCCAUAAUUCUAUGGAGCUCUUUUUUAUUAGUACUCCCUUCGAUCCAAGUUAAUUGUCGCAGCUCUAAUAAAACUUUGUACUUAUGUUUUUUUUAACCCCUUUAAAAUCCGCCGUACAAAUUAUUUGAUGAUUGCACUCGCGGUUUCAGGUACGACAACACAUGCAUACAACUGAUACACGUAACAAAUGAAACACAGCAAAUCCCUACUGGUCGAGAACAAAACUUUAGGAUACAGUAAAAAUGUUCUGGGCGUUCAGCUGUCUCCUCCGCGUGGAUUUCUUCGCCUUGCUGCUUAUUUUAUCACGAUCGGAAGUAGAAGUACAUAUCCAUGUGUAAACUCUUCGCUCUUGCAUCGGAAUAAAUAUACCUGCUUUCAGCUACCAUCUUUGUCCGGCUCAGAGCUUACGAUCGGCAGGUUCCUUCUGUACUGAGGAGAGGUUAAUCUCCUCUCCAACGGCGUCUUCCGCUUGCUCACAACGAAUCUGUUCACCCCCUUCCUCAUCGGCAUUAUCUCAGGGAAGUCCUCAUCGGGGAUGUUGGCGAGCUCGGAGAUGUCCUUUAUCUGGGCUGCCCUCCUGAACCAUCUCUCGGCCUUGGCUUCCUCGGACAUGUCCAGAGGAUCAGGGUCCUUCACAGCAGAGCCUUCUAAGCUCUUUCCAGUAUAACCUCCACUUCCGUAGCUUGAGUAGCCUGUUGCUUGAUUAGGGUUUGUGGAACCAAUGCCGGUAGUGGUAGCCCUAGUAUCAGGAUGUGAACCACUCCAAUUUUGGUUGUUGUUGCUGCUCCAAGCAUUGCUGUUGCUAUUAUUACUGUAACCGGGCGCAUAAGACGGUUGUGUAGAGUAGCUGCCGUGAUUAUAAGUAGAUGUAUCUCGGCCCUCGUUGAAGCUCCCCUGAGAGUAGUUUGAGUUUGGAGCGUGGGUAUCCAAAGUGCCACUGGGUCGACCACCCGUCUGAUGAGGUUGCUGCUGAUACUGGUAGUUGCUGGAUCCACCUCUGCCAUCAUUAAACCUGCCCUGUGGGUAGUUUGUGUUCCAAGCACCAGUAUUUGAAGUUCCACUAGAUUGAUCGCCCAUCCCAUGAAGUUGCUGUUGUUGCUGGUAGUUGCUAGAUCCACCUCUGCCAUCAUUAAAACUAUCCUGUGAGUGGUUUGUGUUCCAAGCUCCAGUAUUCGAAAUUCCACUAGAUCGAUCACCCAUCUCACGAGGUUGUUGUUGAUGCUGAUAGUUGCUAGAUCCACCUCUGCCAUCAUUAAACCUCCCCUGUGAGUAGUUUGUGUUCAAAGCACCAGUAUUCGAAGUUCUAAUAGAUUGAUCGCCUAGCUCCUGGGGUUGCUGUUGAUGCUGAUAGUUGCUAGAUCCUCCUCUUCCAUCAUUAAACGUCCCCUGGGAGUAGUUUGGGUUCCAAGCACUGGUAUUCGAAGUUCGACUCGAUCGAUCACCCACAUCAUAAGGUUGCUGUUGAUACUGCUGGCUGCUGCUUCCACCCUGUGUAUAACCACCUGUACUCGAGCUCUGCUGAGAGUAAUUUCUAUUCCAGUUCUCAUUAGUCAUGUUGCUACUUCGCUGAGGGCCAAUCACCUGUGAGGUGUUUUGGCUAUUUCCCGAAUUUCCUGGUGAAGCAUUUGUUUCUGGUAGCUUAUCAGCUGAUGGAGGACUUUCUGAUACUGUUCCUGUAUCUGGAGUGCUCUCUGCUGGCGCAUCUUUCUUGGCAAAAUAAUCAGGGGGGAACGGAACAAAUGGGACGAAAUCGGAAUUGUCAGCCUGCUCAAGCACACUGCGCCUCUUGUACUGCGGUGAUGCCAGUGACCGGUCUUUUUUCUUACUAAUAACAAACCGAUUCUCUCCUUUCCUCAUUGGCAUAAUAUCAGGAAAGUCUUCAUCAGAAAUAGCACUUGAAAGGUCAUUUACACUGUCGAGUUCUGCGACUUUCUUGGACCAUUUCUCAGCAGUAUCUAGCGAUUUAUCGACAUCCCUCCUCCCAGUUGAGGCCUGUGUGGUAUCCGGUGUGGAACUUCCAGUUUCCUUAUUUAUUUGGCAGUCCGUAUCUGCCUGUUCAUUACUGUUUGCAUUCUGUGGCUUGGUAAACAGAUCAGCAGAUAAUGGCACAAAAGGAACAGGGUCGAUAUCACCAAGAUGGCCUGUUAAUUUCCUGGGAGGCCCAGCAUCUACACCCCCAUUAUCAGAUUGGUUGCUUGGGGCAGAGGUAGAUGCAGAACGCCCAAGUAUCCUGUCUAAAGUUUGACUAAUCUUGGAGUCGGAUGCUGUUGCUUGAGGGCUAUUAUUACUGCUGUACUGUGCACUUGACAAUCUUCUCUCCAAUGGUGUCUUGCGUGUGCUAACUACAAAUUUAUUGACCCCCUUCCUCAUAGGCAUAAUCUCAGGAAAAUCCUCAUCAGCUGCCAGACUACUCAAAUCAGCAGAAUCGUCAAGUUGAGAUACUUUGCUCAACCAUCUUUCUGCCUUCUCAUCAUUUUCAGCAAGUUUUCUCUCAAUGUCAGAUCUACCAGCAUUGGUUACACUAAGAAGAUCCGCCACACCGCCUAAACCAGCACCAGCAGAUGCAGUUGUCGCUGGUCUUUUGCAAGCACAUCUUAAGCACGACAUGUUCCUCCCAUAAUUAUAGAAUUCACACCUUGGCAAAAGGACAAUACAAAGUCAGCCAUUCGAAGCAUAAAUACACUUCAAAGCACAAAAACGAAGUUAGGAAGUCGAAGCUUACUGAGGGCAUUCCCACUCUCCGCCAGUCAACAUCUUCUUUGGCCGAUGCUCAUUGCACUCAAGGCACCUCGCAUUUCUUGCAAAGUUCAUAAAGCUACAUCUGUAGGUUGCAGAGCAUAUUUAGAGUCAACAUUACCAAAUACAUGAACAAGGGUAAAAUAUUUCAAAUAAGUAGUGAACAAACCAGUAGCAAAUAAUCUCAAAUGUGUCCAACAAUACAAGUAGUUGUGAAUUUAUUUUACAGAUGCGAGUUUUGUGCCGCUUUGUACAAAAUUAUGAGAAUAGCACAUAACUGGCCAUGUUUAGUUAAAUGUUGGUUAAGAAUAUAGAUGAUAAAACAUACACAAAGGUAAAACAAGCCAAGUGAUAAAAGAUUAUGAAACAACAACGGUCAAAAAUGAAAAAUGAUUUAUUACAUAGAUGCAUGCUUGUGCAAGAACUCUUUUCUACAGCACAAGAAAACAAGUGUGUAUAUUUUAGCUGUAUCACAUCUAGGAAGAGAAGAUGUAGAAAUGAGUUGGCACUUUAAAGUAAGAUGAUGUGGCAUGCAACUGUUCAAUUGAUAAAUAAAAAUAUCCACAAUAUACCUUGUGCAAAUCCAAUCACCACGUUUCAUCUCAACAUUUUGUCCUGGAUGCCUAGAGAAUCGCUCAGGUUGAUUAUCAACUGUUGACUCCACAAAACUGGAGGUGUGGGGAAGUCCACUAAAAUUAACUAGCUCAGCCAAGAUAUUUCUCACAGCUGAAUCAGUGAGUUCUUUGUCUUCCAAAUAGUUGUUUGACGAACCAUAUGUGUAACUUAACAAGUACCGAACGAUGUCCACAGUUUCCGCUCUGACUGAUUGAAUUGCCUGGCAAAAGUUAUCACAUCUUUAGUGUCUUGACCAAUACAGUUUUAUCACAUUGCAUAAUGUGGAUCAACAUUUAUGAAUUGGCAACUGAGAUCUGUUGCAAGAAUUCUUAAGAAAUCUGUUGUUCCCAUACAGGAUAUGCUUAUGGUCUAUCCCCAAGAAUCCCCCUUUCGAAUUCAAUUUCAACAAAUGAAAUAAAUGGGAAUACUUCUACCACAGAACAUCUCAACCCAAAUCCCAAGUCAAAUAACUAACUAUAUAUGUAAUGAGAAACAUUUUUGCCUUAAUCCCUAUCCAGAAAGGAAGGAUUUGAAUUUGUUCUCUUAAAGCUCCAGCCUCCUCCGCCCUCCUCCACAACACUGAGGCCCUAAUCACCACCAACGCUUCCUCCCGAUGACGCAACCCCCACACCAGCUGCCAUGCCUUCAUGCCUCUAGCUGGCGCACGUUAUGUUUUGUGACUUGGUAGUUAAAUAAGUUCUUAGUUGAGCUCUGUGCCCCUCUGGCUGUGUUUAACAGUACAAGUCAUGCAUUUGCUAGUUAAGCUCUGUUGUUCACAGCUCGUUAGACUGCAAGUUGCAUUCAGUAAGGCUAAGGUGUGAUGGAUGUUUUCCUCUAACUACAUAUAUACUGACUGCCUCGUAUUACUUUCUGUAAAAUGCCAUGUAACCACAGUUUUAUCCCUGGCGAAAUCGGAACUGAAGAAAAUAGAGUAUUCCUAUCUGACAUUCAACAUCAUCCAUCAUAAAAGCAACAAGGGGUGUGAUAAAGGUUCAGUGAGAAAUGAUGAACUGAAAUGCUCAAAUUUUUAUUGGAAUUAUACAGAGGAGUGCCCCUGAACUGAGUGGCAUGUUUGGUCUUUCCUUCUUAAUUAUAUUUUCUACUGUAUCGUUCACGAUAUAUGGCUACAAAUCCGGCAGAGCAAACAUAUGUAUUAACUUGAGCUAACCAAAAUAAUAACCCACUACUCCCUCCAUCCCAAAAUAAGUGUUUCAAGCUUAGUGUAACUUUGUACUAGAGCUAAUACAAAGUUAAGGCAUUUAUUUUGGGACGGAGGGGGUACUAGUUGACUGAUGAUCACACAUUUGUAAAAUCUACUGUAACCUUACUAGAAAACCACUCCACAAGUGAGAUGUGAGUAUGUGACCAACUUGCAAAAUGGAUAAGAACUCACAUUGUCAUCUUCACCGGCGAGGUAUUGCUGCAGCCGCUGCGCAGAUUCCUCCCCUCUCUUGAAGAGAGCCGGUGCAACGUUAGACACCACAACCUCGACAUCCUUCGUGGGCAGCGACCUGCGGUCACACCCAAUCAAUCAGCAACGUGAAGAAGAAAAGAAAAAAGCAGGACAGAUGGCCAAGUGAUUCACUUGACCUGAGAAGGUCGGGCCGGUCGCGCGCGAAGGCCAGGCAGGAGGACACAGCGGACUCCGCCUCGGCCGACAGGCCGCUGCCGGAGGGGACGGCGAGCUCGUCGGCGGGGGAGGGGGCGCGGGCUGCGUAACCGGCGGCCGCGAGGCGGUCCACGAGGCGGGACCAGUCAGGGAAAGGGACGUGGGGCGGUGGAGUUGACGAGGCGGAGCUGGAGCUGUAGGGAAGGGGUGAGGCGGCGGCGGCGGCGGCCGAGGUGGAGAGCGUGCGGAGGGGAGAGGGGGAGGAGAGCAGGUGUUGGCGGCGGGAUGCCGCGGUGCGCGAGGAGAGGAUGAGCGCGAAGGCGGCGGCGGAGGGCCGGAGACGGAGCGGGGAGGAGGUGAGCAAGAGGGAGGAGAGCAGCUUGGAGGCGCUGCCCAUGGCGACGGCGGAGAGCCGAGACCUGGAGAGGGUUCUACGCCUCCUGUAGGCCUUUGCCCUGCUACUCCCAAAUUGGCGGCCCAGCGGAUGGUCGGGUGGGUUUAGCCGGACGGCGCUGUACAAGAAAUAUCUCGGCAUGAUCGCACGGCUAGGAUUCACCAAUCACCCCGACAACUCGAGAGAGAUAGAGAGAGGAACGCCCGUUUAUAACCCUGACUGAUGAAGUAGCAAAACCGGAUCAAAUGCCCCCUAAACAGAUUUUGAAGACCGCGAGUGCUCAGUUAAACUAAAGAAAGAUGAAAGGGGAAAAGAUACUCCAUAUAAACGGGAGUACUCGGCAUACUCCCCUAGGGUUUAACCUAGGGUUCUCUAGUCCUCCGGCAACUCCUGUCGAGAGUUCCCCCGUCCGGUUAUCAAUCGUGCCCCGUGAUUCCCCCGUACCCUCUCCGCCCCGGGCCCGACAUCUCCCUGGUGUUUGUGGUUGGUGUGUUGGAACUAGGGUUUAGGGUUUUUCAAGGCUUCGGAGUGAUCUAGAUCUUGAGAUGGCUGAUCUGUGAGAUGCAAGUGGUUCCAAGGCGCAGCAGGAGGACCCCAGCAGCCUGAUUGCGCGUCUAACCCUGCAGGAUGAUGAGAUCGAUGAUCUCGUCUGGGAAGACGAGGUGGAUGCAGCAGAGGUCCAAACAAAGUGGCUGGCCAUCGGCCGCCUGUUGUCUGGGAAAACUUUUAGCCAAAGUGCCCUUAUUGCCGAUAUGAGGGCUGCGUGGAAUCCUGCUCAGCCGGUGAUGUGGAGAAGGAUUAACCCAAAUCUGUUUUCGAUCCAGUUCAAUUGCCUGGCUGAUUGGAAUAAGGCCAUGCACCAAGGGCCUUGGGAUUUUAAUGGAUAUGCUCUAAUCCUGGUUGAGUACGAUGGUUUCUCGAACCCGGAGAAAGUUAAACUAGAGAGGUUGGAGACAUGGUGCCAGAUUCAUAAGCUACCUGAUGGUGUUCUGAAGAAUAAGAAGUUUCUUGAAAAUCUCGCGAAAAGAAUAGGUGAAGUCUAGGAAGUGCAAGUGACACUACCAAAUGGUUUUGUUGGUGAGUUUAUCCGGGUGCGUGUUAAACUGGACGUGGGUAAGAAAUUGACUCGUGUGGUGAGUUUCACAAAAUCAGGUGUAACAGAACAAUACCUGGUGAAGUAUGAGAAGCUUCCUACUUUUUGUCAUGCGUGCAGUGUUAUGGGACACUGGUAUGAGGAAUGUGGGACUGGUGAGCAUGACACCUCAAAAUUCGAAUGGGGUCCCUUCAUAAUGGCUACUCGCCGAGGAAGAGGAGGCGGUCGAGGGGGAUGAGGUAAUGGUCGUGGAUACAAUGAUGCGGAGGACUCCAAUGACUUAGGAGGACGAGGUCGUGGUAAAAGAGGUGGAAGAACUGGGGGACAAGGAAGAGCUGACCCUAAUGAUGAUGAUCCUGAUGUGAAUGAUACGCCGGAAAAGGAUGAACCACCGACGAGGACAGAGACUGAGGUGUAUGACCCAAGUAGGAGUUGGUGUUUUAACGCACAGAUUGAACAGAGCAAUGCAAACAUGGAUGGCGCGUCGACUCUGCUAGGGAAAAGGAAUGCUACAUACCUGGUGCAGAAACCAAAGGAGUCUAGAGUUCCUCUGCUCACAGGACCUGGACUGGUGGCGGGGAGAGUUGAUCAGUUUGAUGGCAACAUAGGAAAUGAUACUUCAGCUAGCUCUUUGGGAGGCAAGGAGGUUACCACACCACAGAAAUCCAUGAAUAAGAAGAAACUGAGAGUUUAUGGUCUGGAAGUUGCUCAAUCCCUGGAUGAUAAAAUAUCGGCGGCCUCUAAUAUGGAGACUGACCGGACAUCAUGAAAAUAAUAAGGUGGAACUGUCGUGGACUCCUAGGAGGCCCGGCAGUGCGCUCGCUUCUGGAUAUCCAGAGGCAGCACAACCCAUAUGUGUUUUUUCUGUCCGAAACACAUCUGGAUGUUGACAAGGCAGAAAAUUUGAUGAGGAAACUCAAAAUGGACCACAACCUGGUGGCUCCUAGCAAUGGACGAAGUGGAGGUCUAAUGCUAGUCUGGAAGAAGGAGGUGAGGAUCUACUCCCGGACUACGACUUCUGAUUUCAUUGAUGUUGAUAUUGAGGAGGAUAAUGGGAAUCUCUGGCGCCUAACUAGGAUUUAUGGGGAACCUAGUUGGGACCAAAAAGAGAGGACCUACAACAUUCUGCGAGAUUUACAUAGCCGAGACAAUGGCCCGUGGGUUGCUUUGGGUUAUUUUAAUGAAAUAUUAGUGUCAUUAUAGAAGGAGGGUGGUGUUCCUAUACCACGAGUAAGAAUGAAGGCAUUUCAGGAUGCCCUGAUGGAUUGCUCGCUUGAGGAUAUGGGUUGUGAAGGGGGUCAGUUUACUUGGUUCAGAGGUGGAUUAAAAGAGAGAUUAGACCGAGCAGUAUGUAAUGGAACGUGGACGCAAAUGUAUCCCUUCGCUGCGCUCCGAAACCUUGAGCUAGGAAAAUCGGAUCAUCGGCCCAUUCUUUUAGAUACAGAACACCUUGCAAAUAUCCAGAACACCAAGAAUAGACAGAUGAAAUUUGAAGCAAGAUGGCUUAGUGAGGAGGCAGUAGAGGACAUUGUCCGAUGUGCUUGGCAAAAGGCCAUGCAGAAUGGGCUAUGCCCAAAGUCCAAAGAGAAAUUGGGUCUUGUGCAUAAAGAUUUACAUAUCUGGGAUAGGAAAGUGCUUGAAGGGCCUAGAGCCCGUAUCAGGAAGGCCCAACGGGAAUUCGAAAGUUUGGCGCGCAAGCCGUCUUUGAUGGAGAACAGAAUGAAAAUGAAAGAGCUGACAGUAAAGACUGAAAACUUGCUGGAACAAGAAGAGAUGUUCUGGGUACAGAGAGGGAGAGCAAACUGGCUGCGUCAUGGAGACCGCAACACCUCUUUCUUCCACAACUUCGCUUCUGCCAGGCGGAAAAGAAAUACUAUUAAGCGCUUAAAAAUGAUAGCAAUGGUUGGGUAGAAGGUAAUGAUAACAUAAAACCCCUGAUUUAUGAUUAUUUCACCAGCUUGUUCUCUAGUGAAGCAGGCAUGCCUGACCCAACGUUGCUGGCAUCAGUAAAAAGAUUGGUCUCGGAAGAGAAGAAUGAUAUUCUCAUGGCCCCAUACACUGCCACAGAAGUCAAAAAAGCUCUAUUCCAGAUUGGUGAUCUAAAGGCCCCCGGGCCGGAUGGAUUACAUGUUGUCUUCUUUAAGCGCUUUUGGCACAUUAUCGGUGAGGAACUAACAAAAGAAGUACUUGAUGCUAUUAACUCCAUAAGAAUUCCUGAAGGUUGGAACUCUACAAACAUCGUUCUUAUUCCGAAGGUUCAGGUACCGGAAACAAUCAUGCAGUACCGUCCAAUAAGUCUUUGUAAUGUUGUUUAUAAGAUCAUAUCAAAGAUGUUGGCUAAUAGGUUGAAAAAGAUAUUACCAGAAGUCAUUUCACCCACCCAAAGUGCUUUUGUUCCUCGGAGACUUAUCACUGAUAAUGUACUCGUGGCCUAUGAAUGCUUCCAUGCUAUAAAGAAAAAAACACAUGGUUCAGAUGGCUUAUGUGCAGUCAAAUUGGAUAUGCACAAGGCAUAUGACAGGGUUGAAUGGGGCUUCUUGAAAUCAAUGAUGCAACGAAUGGGGUUUCAUGAGCACUGGGUAGAGUUAAUGAUGGAAUGUAUGUCUUCAGUAAGGUAUAAAAUCAGAGUUAAUGGUGAUGAAACAGAGGAACUAAUACCAUCCCGGGGUUUGAGACAGGGGGGUCCAUUAUCCCCGUAUCUAUUUCUGAUCUGCUCUGAAGGUUUAUCUAGUAUGCUCUUGCAAGAAGAAGAAAAUGGGGGACUAGAGGGAGUGAAAGUGUGUAGAAAUGCACCUUCAGUUUCACAUUUGCUGUUUGCGGAUGAUUCAUUAAUACUAAUGAAGGCAAUCCAGAAAAGUGCUCUCACUUUGAAAAAGGUGCUUGAUAUGUAUCGCCAAAGUUCUGGUGAGAUGGUAUCCACGGGUAAAUCCAGUAUAUUUUUUAGUCCCAAUACAACAGUUCUAGUAAGAGAAAACAUUUGCGGUACACUGGAUAUAUUAACCGAGGCUUUAACUAACAAGUAUCUCGGGCUACCAGCCAUGGUUGGAGUUGACAGAAGUGAUUGUUUCCAGCAACUUGUUGAUAGAGUAUGCCAAAAACUAAAGGGAUGGAAAGAAAAACUUCUAUCUUUGGGAGGAAAAGAGAUUUUGAUCAAAGCAGUGGCACAAGCAAUUCCCUCUUAUGCCAUGUCAGUUUUUAAUCUUUCGAUGAACAUCUGCAAGGCUAUAACGGAUGAAAUUGUGGGUUUCUGGUGGGGAGAUGAUGAGCUGAAAAAGAAAAUGCACUGGAUGGCGUGGUGGAAGAUGUGUGUUCCAAAGAGGAUGGGAGGACUCGGUUUUAGGGACCUACAUAGCUUUAACCUUGCUAUGUUAGCAAAGCAGUGUUGGCGCCUAAUCCAAAACCCAGAAUAUUCGUGUGCCCGUGUUCUUGGCGCAAAAUAAACAUCUUCAUAAAAAAUCUAAUUACAUGCACUCAACAUGUAAAAACUAAACUCAGGUAGCUAAGCAUCUAGGACAUGGUAAAACAAGUUUCGAUCUAGAAAUUUGCACAACAAAAUUUCAACUUUUAACAGAUCACACACAACAUGAAUCAAAUUAAUCUGCGAUUUCUUUUUGUGCAUGUGUGCUCUGGUACUAGUAGCUACAUAUAGGUAGCUCAAAUGACGACGUACAAAAUAGUAGAGAGGACGAGGAUACAAAGAUGAGUUAACGUACGUGUCAUAGCGCGCAGGAGGGCGACCUUGCCGGGCAUGGGCAUGGUGCCGGGUCCCUGGCGACGGAGCGACGCGCGUGAAAGAGCCGUUGGAUGGCGGUCGUCCUCCUAGUGCGUCGCGGCCUCCGUCGUGCCGUCGUCACGGUCUUCAAAGGCAGCAACACCACCACAACACACACCUCCUCUUGACUGACUGUUCCAUUCGAUUCAAUCCCGAGCUCGUGCUACCACGACAUGUUGUUGGGGAGAAAGUUGCCGGUGGGGUGAAGGAGAAGGGAAGUCGACAGGAGUAGAACGAGAUCGAGACGAUAGGGCGGCAGCUGGUGGUUUAUUGGCUUUCUCCGCCGCGUCGGCUGUCGGAAGGGAAAGAGAAAGGGGAUGAAGAGAAUACAUACGGGAGGAUGAGAAUACGGGAGUUUAGGGUGUGUUUGGUUUCAGGACGAAGUGGAAUCGGACGGGUUGUUUCCAUCCCUACAUUCGUUCUCGUGUUUAGUUGGGUUAGGAACCGAAAUUGAGUCAUCCGCAUGCAGGGAAUAUUCCCUGCAGAUGCUUCACCAAGUGAUUCCGUCGAUUUGGAGGAAUCCACUCGUCAUUCGUCCAUGAAAGCAAAGAAAAAAAGAAAUAACCAAGCAAUUCUCACCGUGCUCACCCCCGCACCCGAACAAAAGUUUUCGUGGUUAUUUUUUUUCAUUUUCAUGAUUAUUUUUUUCGUGGUUAUUUUUUCAUUUUCGUGAUUAUUUUUUGUAAAUAUUUGGUAUGUACUCAUGAUCAUAUAUUUUUAUUUGCAUGUGUUAAAAAUAGAAAGAAAAUGUUGUUGAAAAUUUAAAUUAUAGGUUUGUCAAAUGCAAAGAACUCUAUUUGUUUAGAGAUGUAAUCUCAUCAUUUACAUCGAAGAGGUGAGUGACAUCAGAUUCUUCUCAUUGCAUCUCUCCAACUAAACAUCGGGACGAGACCAACCCAUGACAUUUUUUAUUGUCAACUGAACAUAAGGAUGGUACCAACCCAUACCUUUGGGAUGAAACCAUGACAUUUCAUGACUUUCGGUCCUCAAACCAACCCAUGACUUUAGUGAUUUGUUUUCGUUAGAAAAGAGACGCUCGAAAGAAAUAUCUUGCAAAGCGUUCGAUGAAGAAUUGACGGUGAGGAGCACCGGAACUGGAGUAGGCAAGCCUAGUUCAUAUUAUUUUUUCCGGCCGGGUUCCUUCCAGCGUGGCAAGGUGGACCUUAACCGCCAGGUCAAACCAACGGAUUUCCCCCCCCAAAUCAAUCUUCCCGGUCCGUCCUCCUCCUCCUCCUCUUUGCUCACCGCUCGGCCACCGCAACCGCAGACGCCACCAGCCGCAAUUCCUCGGAGCGAAGCGAGAGAGAGAGACGGGAGAGUAGAGAAAUGCAUCCGCCGAUGCCACCGCCGCCGCCGCGUCGUGUUGCUGGGCUACCGCGCCCGAGCCGGGUGAGUUUCGAGCGCAAGCUCGAUGACUUCACCGUCACCGCUGCGGCGGCGCCCGCGCUUCUUCCGCUGCUGCGCCGCCCCAGGGUGCCCGGUGCCUUCGGCGACGCGGAGGCGGAACCGUCGGAGAGGUCCACCGCGGACCACUUCUUCGAGCGCACGGACUACGGCAAGAAGACAGGGGUGGACGCCGAGGCGGUGCUGCGCCUGGAACGGCCCAUCGUCCGCCGCCGCGUGCCCUGCGACGAGAAGGCAGGUGCCUUCGGCGACGCGGAGGCGGACCCGUCGGAGAGGUCCACCGCGAACCCCUUCUUCGAGCGCACGGACUACGGCGAGAAGACGCCGGCCCUGGACAACGACGCCGGGCCGGGCCCGUGGGUGCUGCCGCGCACCGGCCUCCUCUUUUCCGACCCCAGGGUUUUCGGCGACGACAAGAAGAAGACAGGGGUGGACGCCGAGGCGGUGCUGUGCCUGGGCCUGAUGUGGCGCACCGGAGGCCGGCCGGUACUUCUUCGACCAGACGGGGUUCGACCACGCGGCAGUGCAGGGCCUGGAGCGCUGCAGCCUCUCUGACAACCGGUCGAGUACGGCGGUCAGCGACGAGGCGGGCAUUGGGGAUGACGCGUGAAUGCGGGGUGCAAGCUGCAAGGUCGGUUGAUCGUCGCGCUCGUUCGAUUUAUUUUUCCGCUCGUCCAGGAAUCAUUGGAGCGACAUGGAUUUGAUGUGCGAUCUUUGUUGAUCUUUGCUACUGCAAUAUUUCUUGAUCAGCCUGUUCUCGGUUAACUGUAAUCCAAGACAUCUGUUCUUCCUCUUGAUAUAUAUAGCCUGCUAUUGGAAUUGGGAUGUCAAUUGAGGCCUUAGGAAAUUUCUUAUGGUAUUAUGCUGUUGCUGGCCAAACUCCAGUAAUCACUUUAUGUUGCCUAGACGGCUAGACGCAUAAUAAUUCUUGAACUGUUAUUUUACUACAAUGAAAGAACAUCAGGAGCUGAUACUAGGAGCAC